AAGAUGAUCGGGUUAGCUGCCAGAUCUGUAAAAAGAAAGGUCAUACCGCUAUAGCAUGUCACAACAGGCACAACGAGCAAUUGUAUCCCACUCCACCGGAAAGCAAAGCACGUCAGGACGCCUAUUCUAAAAAGGCUACAACUCAAGCUACUGCUUAUGCUCUAUGGUUUCCCAACUCGAGAUCUACGGAUCACAUUACGUCGGAUAUGGAAAAUCUGCAAGUUAAGAAAAAUAACUCUGAAAAUCAAGGUAUAAUUACUGCUAAUGGUAGUCUUAUGCAAGUUUCUACAAUUGGUGAUUCCACUUAUGAUUGCGGGUUUAAUUCUUUAAAGUUGAAUGAUAUUAUUCAUACUCUUACAGUGAGGAAAAAUCUUAUUUCUAUAAAUAAGUUGUAUAGGGAUAACAACUUUUCUGUGAUUUUUGAUGCAAAAUCUAUGACUAUUAAGGACCCGCGUUCGGAUAAGACGAUUGCAAAAGGAAAAGCCGUGGACGGUCUUUAUCAGUUAGAGUUGAAGGAGGCAAGAAGAACGGCUGAAGUGUGCUUUGGAGAAAGAGCAACCGUAUCACUAUGGCAUGCUCGGCUUGGUCACAUACAUGAACAAGCUACAAAAAAUACAAUUACAAAAUUUUCUCUUCCAGUUUGUAAUAAAACAAUGGAUAAUUGUAGUUCAUGCUUAAUGGGGAAAAUGCAUUGCUUACCAUCUUCAUCUCGUGAAUCAAACUCAGCAUCUGAAAUUCUUCAAAUAGUUUAUGUUGAUGUAUGGGGACCGUCUCCGAUUGCAUCUACAAAUGGUCAUCGUUAUUAUAUCAACUUUGUCGAUGGUUUUUCAAAAUACAAUUGGUAAUUCCCAAUUAUUCAAAAAUCAGAUUCAUUGUCCACUUUUAUAAAAUUCAGGUUGCACAUUGAGAAGAUGACCGGAAAAUCAAUCAAAGCACCGUAGUCCGAUAACGGAGGUGAAUUCAAUGCAUUCGAUUCUUAUCUCUUACAGAACGGCAUCACACAUCGGAGGUUAUAUCCCUACGCUCAUAGGCAAAUGGGAAUGGUGGAACGUCGCAUUGUCAUAUUGUAGAUGUUGGCAUAACUCUCCUAUCUCAUGCAAACAUUCCUCACUCAUUCUGGAGUUACGCAUUCUCCACGACAGCAUUUUUAUAUAACAUGACGAUGACAAAUUCAUUAGGUCACCGAAGUCCGCAUGAAGUAUUUUUUGGAGAAGCCCCAAAUUUACAUGAUCUUCGAGUAUUCAGAUGCGCAGUUUAUCCAAAUAUGAGACCAAUAAGGAGGCACAAAUUUUCAUAAAGAACAAAUCAACAUAUUUUUUUAGGGUAUCCAAAAGAUUAUAAGGGUUAUUUAUGUUACAAUCCUAUAACAAAGAAGUUUUUUAUUUCCAGGGACGUGUUCUUUAUGGAAACAAAUUUUUCAGCAAAAAAACUUCUUAAGGAGGACCCCGUAGACAUUUCCCAUAUUAAAUUUGUGUACCCAAAAGUGUUAACAACUCCGAUUGAAAGUCCGUGUUCGCCUCCACCUCCUACAGAACACAGAUCGAACCUGAAUAUGAUCAAUAUAUUGAAGAAACAUAAAUUAAUGAAAUGGAAGAAGCAGCAGAUACAAGAACACAUGGUAUGGUCACCCGGUUACAAAAAGGAAUUUGAAGACCAAAUCCAAAAUAUACACUACAUCUAGCGGCAUCCUCUCCCGUACCAAUAGGAGCUGCGAAGGCGAUGGAAGAUCCAGGAUGGCGUUCCAUGACGGACAAAUUCAAUGCAUUAGUAGCAAAUAAUACAUGGGAACUUGUUCGGCGGUCAUCGGAACAGAAUGUUCUAUCAUGCAAAUGGGUUUUUCGUAACAAAACAAAUCUAGAUGGGUCUUUCGAGAGAAGGAAAGAACGACUCGUUGCUAAUGGGAUGCGACAAAGAGACGGGUUAAAUUAUAACCUCACCUUUGCUCCGGUCAUCAAACCAGUCACGAUUCGUAUCAUCCUAGCUCUAUCAGUCAAGAAUGAUUGGAUAGUGAACCAGUUGGACAUAUCCAACGUUUUUCUUCACGGAUUCCUCGAAGAAGAAGUGUUCAUGAAGCAACCCCUUGGUUUUAUUGAUUCGAAAAAUCCUAAUCAUGCUUGUCGAUUGACUAGAUCCAUUUACGAAUUCAAACAGUCACCUAGAGUGUGGUUUCAUCGUUUGAGAGACUUUGUUGUUACACUUGGUUUCAAAGAAAGUUUGAUGGAUCCAUCUCUGUUUGUCUACCAAAAUAAAAAUAUCAUAGCAUAUUUCUUAGUCUAUGUUGAUGAUAUCAUAUUAACAGGAUCGUCAAAGUCAUUUCUUACUCAAGUUACAACAAAACUGUCAACAGAAUUUGCAGUUAAAGAUCUUGGAGAAAUUCACUAUUUCUUAGGGGUUCAUGUAAAUCGUUCAACAAAUGGGUCUCUAAUUCUCUCUCAAUACCAAUAUGCUCGGAACCUACUGGAAAAAGAAAAUCUUGAAAAUCUAAAACCAGUUCAUUCGCCAAUGGAUAUGAAAACUGAUCUAUAUGAGGAGGCAGAAGGUUUUGAAGAUCCUACAAAAUAUCGACAAGUUAUUGGAGGAUUGUAAUAUUUGACAACAACAAGACCGGAUAUUGCGUUUCCUGUCAACAAAUUUUCGCAAUUUAUGCAAGCACCUUCAGUUAUACAUUGGCAAGCUCUUAAACGGAUUCUUAGGUAUAUAGCCUCAACUCUUUUCACGGGAAUAAAGCUUCAAAAAUCAACAUCAAUGACGCUUAAAGCAUUUUCAGAUGCCGAUUGGGGGGGAGAUAUUAUCGACAGAAAAAGCCAAGGAGCAUAUGUUUGCUAUUGGGGCUCCAACAUCAUAUCAUGGAGUUCUAAAAAGCAACCGAUCGUGUCAAGAUCGACAACGGAGGCUGAAUAUAGAAGUACUGCAGAUACAACAUCAGAACUUAAAUGGAUAAAAAUGUUGUUAAAAGAAAUUGAAAUAACAAUACCAUCACCAAUGAUAAUAUGGUGUGAUAACAAGGGGGCAAUCUCAUUAUCCAGCAACCCGACUCAUCAUAUCACAUCCAAGCACGUUGGUAUGAAUUAUCAUUUCGUGAGGGAGAAAGUGGCAGCAAAAUCUCUAAAUGUUCGAUUUGUAGGCUCAAAAGAUCAAUAGGCUGAUCUGCUCACCAAGGCACUCGCAGGAUCGACAUUUUCAUAUUUACGCUCCAAGCUUACUGGUGAACUGCCGUUAAGCUUGCAAGGAUGUAUAGAAGUAUAAACUAAAUACAUGUAACUGUAAUUAAUUAUAACAAAUUUAGAGAUUGCUAUUACAUCCUCAUAUAUAAAAGGAUGGGAAACCCAUUUCCAAUAUACGAAAUACAGAGAACAGUUUCACAUCGUCAAUAACCCAUUUACUCGGCUAGUGAUCAUGACCCCUAGUCGAGUAAGUGUUUUCUACUCGCCUAGUGAGCUUGAUCACUAGUCGAGUACAUCUUGCCAUACUCGGUUAGUGUGGAUUGGCCACUAGUGGGACUCACUCGUCUAGUAUGGCUUAGAUACUAGUUGAGUGUGACUCAUUCGUCUAGUAUGGCAUAGCUGCUAGACGAGUGAGAUCCACCUCACUUGACUUAAUCAUUGUCGAGCGAAUCGGGUUAAACCUGGAUCUUUUGCCUUCUUAAUGUAUCUGGAUUGGGUGAUCUCCGUACAGGUCAAUCGUGUGCUCAUAUUGUCAUGGAGAGACUUUCUCAGAACUCUCUUCGACGAGCCGGUUAUUUCUAGAUUGGUCGGGUCCUUCCGUGUGAUAUUUUGGGACCCAACUUAUACAUUUAUAACCUUAAUCGUGUUGAGUCUAACUAAAGGAAGAGAGUCUCUAUCAGGAUCCGAUAUCAUCAGUUAUCCCCCCUUGAAUUUAAGGGGCUUGAAGUCAAAAGUAGCGUUUUGGCAUACUCAUCGUAACUCUUUGAUUCUGCAUGCAUGAUCUGUUGGAUUCAGGUAGCGUUGGAACAUAAGCAGCGUUGUAAGCAUGCUUUAAUAUGCUUUUUUGACAGCAUUUUGCAUAUCAGCCUUUGAUUUAAGGAGUUGGCAACGUUUGACAUACCAAUUCUUUGAUCUGAUAAUUUUCCGGCAUUCUGAAUAUAUAUAUUUGAACCCCCUGGCAGCAUUGUCUUGCCUUCUCAGGUUUAUAAUUUUCUCAGGACAACGGCUUUGCAUAUCCAUCGAUAUCUAAUAGCAAUAAUAAUAAGCAGGAAUUUUCAGAGACGGACGUCUGUCUUCAAACUUAGUUGCGAACUACAAUCCCAGCCAUCCGUUUCAUCUACAAUUUCACGCGAUUUAGAUUUUUGUUCUUCUUCCACACAUGGUCCACUACAAGAAAACAGACUUUUAGGGACGGCCAGAAUCCGUCCCUAAUCAUCAAAAGCCAUCCCUGAAAGUCGCCUCGCUGACUUUUUGGGGACGGCCUUGAUAUCCGUUCCUAAUUUCACAUUUAGGAACGGCUUUUUCAAAGGCUUACCAAAGAGAGGUUUUCUUGAAAAUUACUUUAUAUAAACAUGUUAAAAAAACAUUACCUGAACAAAGGUGAACUCCAACUUGAAAGCGAACCAGGGAAAAAAGGAGUGGCAAAAGCAACAGGUAAUCAAUGGCGGUGGAGGAAAAUGAAUUGAAGGUAAAAAAAAAGUCAUCGGACGAAAUUACUCUGGAAUCGAUUCUUCCAAAAUGUGAAAUGAAGUGAAAAACCUUGUUGACCAGAUUGUGUAUAUACUAUAUAGCCAUAUAGGAAAAUCAUAAAAAAUUGAAUUGAUGUCAUUGAUUGGUAGGCUGUAUAUUGGACGGAUUCGGCUCGACUACCUUGUUAUUCGAAUCCAUCGGAAGAUAGAAAAAUUCUAAUAUUAAUUUGAACGAAUUUUCGAAUAUCCGAAAAAACUGAAUUCAAAUAACUUUUUAUCGAAAACCUUAAGAAACUCUAAAAUAAAAUUAUAAAAGUAUAAAAUCAACUUUAAUAAAGUUAAUUAAUAAUCAAUUAAUCACCUUAAAAUCUUAAAUAAUAAUAUAAGUUAAUUAAAUUUAUAAAUAACAAUUAUAAAUAACAAUGAUUAUUUAUUAUUACAUAUUUAUUCGGAUGUUCAUAAUUCAUAUCCAGAAUUAUCAACCAAAUUCGAAUUUUAAUGACGUUUAUUGUCGAAUCUGUUCAGAUAAUUUUCGAAUAUUAUUUUUGGUAUUCGAAAAUCAAUACGAAUAAACAUAUUCUAAUUCGAAAACGAAUACAGAUUUCGAUAUACCAUUUACAUUUUUCAAUCAAUAUAUACUUUUUAUUGCUAAUUGUUGGUACCGGGGCCCGUUGAAUCGGGCCCCGAACCGAACAGGCCUGCUAGGCCCAUUAGGCCAUAGGGCAGGUGUUAUAAAUACCUCCCAUGGUGCAACAGGGAGGGAGAUCGAUUACCUGGAACAGUAAUACUAGAGAGUUGUGUGUGAGAGAAUCCGAGGGCAAACCCACACACCAUCAGUGGUGAACCUGACGUGAAACGAACACGCAACCGGAGAGAGGAUGGUCGGAAGAAGCAAGUUCCGCACAGGGGAAAGCUCAAGGCACCUCGGGCAGAAAGUUGAUCGCGACAGGGAGCUAAGCCCAACCACCACAAGGGUAGAGCGCCAGCGGAAGGAAGGAGAAGACUCAAACAGAUCUGAGUCGUACCUUUCGUACAAAAGGCGUACAAAAGGCAGAACGCAGCCUGGGCACUCGAGACCCAGGAGGCGGCAUGGCGGGCAAAAAGGGAAGAAGCGGACAGGGCGGCCCGACGUAUGGAGAGGGUCGACGCCGAGGAGACGACCCGACGCUUGGAGAGGGCCGACGACGAGGAGGCGGCCCAGCGUAAGGAGGAGAGGAAGCAGAGACGGGAGAGGCGAGGCCGCUCCCAGACCCUCAUGGAAAGAAGGGAGCGUCGCCGGAGGAAGCACUCGGAAAAUGCGAAGCUCUCGGCGAUGGUCUCCGCCCUGUAGAACAACCAACGACAGUUGCAAGAACAACUCCUCCAGCUAACCGCCGACUGGUGAGCGCUGGAGUCGGAUGGAGCAGGGGGAGGCGCAGUAGGGGGGACCCCGCAAGUGGAGCGUUGAUUGCGAUACCCGGAACCGAGAAGCCCUGACACAGCACCUGUUGGAGGGCGAGUAUCCCGUUGGAUGGAGGACCCCGAAGAUCCCCGCGUACAAGGGGGAUACCGACCCGAACGAUCACUUGCACUCCUUCAAAACGAACAUGGAGGACAGAACCGACCGGAACGACAUCUGGUGCCGGAUGUUCCGAAGAGCGCUCGCAGGCGACGCGGUGGCAUGGUACAAGAACGCUCCCCGCGGCCUCGGUCCAUACCUUCGAAGACCUGGAAAGAAUCUUCCUGGCGGCUUUCGCCCACAAACGAAGGAAACCGAAGACCGAGGCCACCCUCAGUGCAAUAGUGCAGGGGGACUUCGAGAGUACGCGAGCGUACAUGGACCGCUUCGCGGGUGAGGUGCAGAAAAUCGAGGGACUAACAGAAAAGGUAAUCCUGUACGCCCUCACCAACAGCCUGAGGCCCACGUUCUUCGCGGAAGACCUCGUCCGGAAGCACCCGAAAACGUUCGCGGAGGCCAUUGAAAGGUCCCACGGAGAGGCCAACGUGGAGGAAUACCUGGGGGCGAGAACACAAGAGUUCAACAGGUGCCAAUAGAAAGCAAGGGGGACGUAGGCAGGGGCUAGCUCCAGCCACUCACCGGCAGUAGCAGCCGAAGGUCCAGCCAGCCCCAGUGGCGGCCGCGUAUAGAACCCCAGCCGCCGCCAGCGGGAACCGUCGAGAGGCGGGACCAACCCCAGCAGCCAUCCAGAGGCAAGUCUUCUUCACCCUGGGAGGAGUUGGAGCCCUUCCGCCAGCGAGGCCCAUGAGGAAGAACUCGGCCGCGUACAGAGACGAGAGCAGGUUCUACGAGCACCACCAGGACAAGGGCCACACAACCGAAGAGUGUCUGAACCUGGCCAAGGUGUUAGGCAAGCUGAGCGCGGCACCCGAAGCACCCCCAGCCCCACCAGUCAGGAGAGCCGCGGUCAUCCCAACUGGACACUGGGUGCCCAAGCAGGAACCAGUCGGGGACAUCCUGACAAUAGCGGAAGAUGGUGUAUCACGCGGCGCGGACCUGUGGGAAGAACGACGAUACGCCGCGGACGUCGACCGAGCGGCCGAAGGGAAGCGCCCGCGCCUGAGGGCAGACAUCAUGUUCACAGAAGCGAAUAUGAAGGGCGUCACCACCCCCCACGACGACCCCCUGGUGGUGACCACCAUUUUCCAAAAAGGGAACAAAGAUAGCGUACGGCUGCACAGAGUACGCUAGGUCUAUUAGAGUAUGACUGGGGCCCGUCGAAUCGGAUCCCGGACCGAACAGGCCUGCUAGGCCUAUUAGGCCCUAGGGCAGGAGUUAUAAAUACCUCCCAUGGUGCAAAAGGGAGGGGGAUCGAUUACCUGGAACAGUAAUACUAGAGAGUUGUGUGUGUGAGAACCUGAGGGCAAACCCACACACCAUCACUAAUAUUCCUUACUAUUAUAUAUUUAGGAUGAGUUUCAAGUGUGCCACGCUCUAUAUGAGCCAUAAUGUGCCAAAAAAAUUCGGUUGUAGGAUCAACAUCCAUAUAUUUUUCGACAGUUCACAUUUCGUUAUUCAUCAUCAACUAUACCAAGUACAACGACUGGGUCGGAUCUUGAGCUUCUACCAAAAAUCGUACAUCAUGUUCAGGAGGCAGUCUUCUACACGUUGUAUAAUUUAGAUGAUGUCUAAUCUAGAUUUAUGUCUGACAACCUACAUUUGUUUUUGUAAAGUUUUUUAUUACAUAAUUAACUAAUUAAUAUUUUUGACAAUGCUAUAUUACACUUUUCCUUUGAUUGAUGGAUGUACAUGUUUUAUUCAAUUUAUUUUCCUACUUAUCAUCAUCAUAUUCCUUUCUUUCUUCCAUAACUAUUAACGAAAUGAGGAAUUUAUUUUAAGUAUGUCGUUCUAAUGUUAGGUCGUAUGUAAUUUUAUAUUUUAAUUGUAUCGAUUUAUGUAAUAUAUUGUAUUUCAUUUCAACUUAUCAACUGUACCUCGUACUACUAAUCAGUAGUAUGUGCACAUUUUACAUUUUCUUAUUAAAUAUGAAUUUCAGUUUUUCAUCAAUGUUGUUACCAUUUCGAUAAUAAAAUGUCCUUAAGUAUGAAAUAGAGAUUUACUUUAAUUCUGUACUUAUGUUAAUGCAUUUCAACUGCUUCGUUGUACAUUACAUUAUCUUCGUUCCGUACCCAAUUCUACCAAUACGUCGUACUUUGUAUUCACCAAUUCCUUUUCAAACACCCUACUGAUGACUAGACAAGACAACUCUUUCUACUAUACCUAUUACAUCCUACGGCUACUUAUUAAAAGUUAUUAUAGGUACUACGAUGAAUCCAUUAAAUAAUAACUUCACUGUCAUCACUUCAUUAAUUUUGUACCACUAAAAUCAUUAUUUAUAUUACGAACGGUUGUCAUUAAAGUAUUUUGAUCCAACGACGUACAACGUUUUGACUCAUUUAAUUAGCACACCAAGAUUUGCGCUAGGGCAAACUUCAUAGGGCAAACUUCCUGUGCAAUAUCUUUAUUUGCGCUAUCUGUGCCGUAUUCAUUCUGACCAUUCGAUCUGUUGAUGUAAUGACAACCGUUUAUUCUUUAAUAGUAGUAGGAUUCUAUGAUUAUGUUUUAUUUGCUGGAUAAUGGAAUGUACUUGGAUGAAAUUAAUGGGUAGUGUCACUACAAAAAAAAGGACCUUGUAUGGCGGCCUUUUGAUGGCGGAAAUCCGCCAUCAAUACUUCAAUAGUUUAGAUGGCGGAUGUCCGCCAUCUAUUCUUUCAGUCCGCCGAGGAAACGUUUUGGCUCGACGGCGGUUCGGAAUUUUUUUCGAUGGCGGUGUUUAGAUGGCGGAAAUCCGCCAUCUAAACUAUCCCGCCCAAAAUUUCGAAUCUCCCCCCAAUUUCCAGCCCGAUUNNNNNNNNNNNNNNNNNNNNNNNNNNNNNNNNNNNNNNNNNNNNNNNNNNNNNNNNNNNNNNNNNNNNNNNNNNNNNNNNNNNNNNNNNNNNNNNNNNNNNNNNNNNNNNNNNNNNNNNNNNNNNNNNNNNNNNNNNNNNNNNNNNNNNNNNNNNNNNNNNNNNNNNNNNNNNNNNNNNNNNNNNNNNNNNNNNNNNNNNNNNNNNNNNNNNNNNNNNNAUCGCCGCCGCUGCCGUCUGCCGUCGUCGUCGAUCACUUGCCGUCGUCCCAUCGUCGUCGUCCCCUCGCCGUCGUCCCCUCGCCGUCGUCAUCCCCUCCCGCCGGUCUUCGUUUCCGUGGUGUGAAGGUAUGAUUUCUUCCAUUUUUUGAUGUUAAAUGAUAUUUGUAGUUUAUGAAUUUGUUUUUGUUAGUGUUUGGAUGUUUAUUAGAUGUUUAGAUGAUAAUGUUUAUGAAGUUUCAAAUAUCUAAUAUCUAUGAUUUGUGCUUUUUAUUCUAUUUGAGUUUCUGAUUUUUGUUUGUUUAUGUUUAUGAUAAUGUUUAUGAUGUUUAUCUAUGAAGGUUAUUGUUUGUUUGAUCAUCAUAUCAUCUCCAUCUGAUAUGAUUGCUUUUUCAAUAUGAUUUACUUUAAGAUUAUUUAUAAUUUGGUGUUAUGAAGUAUUUUCUAAUUUUUGAAUUGAAUUUGUGUUUGGAGUUUUGUUUACUUUCUAAGAUUAGUUAGAUAAAAAUGAUAGAAAUGUUUAGAUGUUUGGAAUGUAAUGAUAGAAAUGAUGUUGAUGAAGUGUUUUAUAAAUGAUAGAAAUGAUAUGAAAAUUGAUGUUGUAAUCUAUAUAUGGAUGUUAGAUAUUUGUAUAUCAUCUAUCUUUUAGUUGAUUGUUUUUAUGAUAUAUUUUAUGAUAUAUUUUAGGUCGUCUCCGCUAGCCACCACCUCCGUCCUGAUUUGAUCCCGUCGCCGUUCUUGGUGAGAAGGGUUUUAUUAAUUAUACUGUUUUAUAUUUAAUUUAAAGUUUAUAAAUAAAAUAAAUAAAUAAAUAAUUAUUUAAAUAUAGAAUUUAAUUUAAUUUAUUGAUUAUUGAUUAAUUUAACUAAAUAAUUACUGUUUGUACAUAAUUUAAAUAUUAUUUGAUUAAUAAUAUAAAUAAUUUUGUAAUUAUCAAUACUUUAAAUAAUUUUAUAUUUUGUAUUUAGGGUUAGGGUUAGGGUUAGGGUUUUUAAAUUUAGGGUUAGGGUUAGGGUUUUUUUAAUGAAUAAAUUAUUAAAAAAUUAUUUUAUUUACUAUUUUAAAAUAAUUUAAAAGAAGUUUGAAUUGAUUAAUUAACAUAUUGUUUAAAAUAAUUAAUUAUAUAAUUAUUUUAUUUACUGUUUAUAAAUAAUGAAUAAAAUUUUUUAAUUACUGUUUAUAACUUAAUUUUGUAAUAGUUAAUUAAUUAAUAUAAUGUUUUGAAAUAAUUAGUUAUUGUAUUUUUUUCAAACAGAAAAUAAUUAAAAUUUUUAUUUAAUCAACUAAUUUUUUAAAUUAUAUAAAUAAUUGUAAUUAAAUAUCAAUUUAAUUAAAAUUUACAUGAAUCUAUAUCUUAAUUAAUUAUUUGCAUGAAAAAAAUAUGUUGUAAUUAUUUUAUGUUUUUAAAUAAUUUAAAUUUUAAAUAAAAUAUUUAAUGUGUUUUUGAUUUUGUAUAGGUUUUUUAAAAUCAAGAUUGAAGUAAGUUUUGGAUUGAAGAAAAUCUAAUUUGCGGUAAAAAUUAAAUAAUUUUAUUUAAUAAAUUUAUUAUCAAUUUAUUUAAUUUGUUGUUAAAAUAAAUUAUUAAAUUAUCAUUUUAAUUAUCAAAUGAAAUAAAAAUAAUUAGUAUUUUAUUAAUUGAUUGACAAUUAUUAAAUAUUAAUAUUUUAGAAAUGAAAUAUUUGCAUGAAAUAAUAUAUGAUCAUUUUAAUUAGAAAUUAUUUAAUUCAUUAUUAAAUUGAAAUAAUAAUGAUUAAUUUGUAUGAAAUUAUUAUUUUUUUAAAUAAUUAGUAAUUAUUAAAUUGAAAUGUUAAUGAUUAAUUAGCCUGAAAUUAAAAAUUUGUUAAUUUAUUAAUAAUUAUUAAAUUGAAUUGUUAAUGAAUAUAAUUUGCAUGAAAUAAUAGAAAUCAUAAUGAUUAGAAAUUAUUUAAUUAAUUAUUAAAUUGAAAUAAUAAUGAUUAAUUUAUAUGAAAUUAUUAUUUUUUUAAAUAAUUAGUAAUUAUUAAAUUGAAAUGUUAAUGAUUAAUUAGCCUGAAAUUAAAAGCAUUGGAGGUAUGGUCGGAAAAAUUCAAAGCAUUGGAGGUAUUUACAAUAUAUUUUAAUAAUUUUGUUGAUUACCGAACUCAUUGUUGUUUUCAUUUUCAGAACAAGUGUAACGAGAGUCAAAAAGACGUAUCGAAAUACAAGAAAAAGUUCAAUGCUAUGAAAUCCUAUAUGAAAAAAUUGAACAAAACUUUGAAGACUUCUGGACUAGACAUGACGCAGAUGGCUUCUACUUCAAAGUCAACAAUACCGUCUGCAUUCGGAUCAGAUAAUUCUGAUUCUGAUUCAGAAGACUCGCUUUCAGACGAGUGUUGAUAAACAAUCUUUUUUUUCUUAUUAAAACUUCGAAUGUUUAACGAUUCUGUAAUUUAAUUUCUUUUUAAUAAAAAACAUCGAUUUCCAUUUCUAUUUCAAAACGUUUCCUCAAAUAUCGCUUUUAUUUCGACAAACAACGAUUCGAACGCACAAUAUAGAAUCCUGAUUUAAAAAAAAAAUUGUAAAAAACAUUGUAUGGCGGAUUUCCGCCAUCUAAACUCUCCUACUAAGUUUUAGAUGGCGGAAAUCCGCCAUCUAAAGCUGGGCACAAUCGCCCUCUCCCACGAAUAGAUGGCGGAUAUCCGCCAUCUAUAAACUAAGGGAACCGCCUGCUGUACUUUAGAUGGCGGAAAUCCGCCAUCUAAAGGUCCAGGGAUAGUCGGCGGACAUCCGCCGUCAAUGAAAUUAACCGUCAUCAAUGAAUUGGCGCCAAACUAUUCCCGCGCCAUAGUUUAGAUGGUGGAUUUUCGCCAUCUAAAACUUUUCAAUUCGCGCCAAAAUUUUCAGUUUAGAUGGCGGAAAUCCGCCAUCUAAACUAUUUUUGGUGGAAAAUGGGGAUGGAUAAUAGAUGGCGGUCUUUAGAUGGCGGUUUAUGGGUUUUAAUGGCGGUGUCCAAGAUGGCGGCCUUUAGAUGGCGGAUUUCCGCCGAGGAUCACUUUAGAUGGCGGAAAUCCGCCAUCUAAAGCCCGCCAUACAAGGUCGGAUUUCUUGUAGUGCAAAUUCCCUAUCGACAAUGAAGGAUAGAGCGGUUGUAUAUUUCAGCACACUCUUCUCAGCGCUUGACAUGCCUCCUCCAAUACCAAACCUAAAUGUAUUCUUUGAGGAAGCGCCGACGGUGGUUGAAAACGCCAAACUCAGGGCGUUCCCAUCGAGUGACGAAAUCUGGAAUGUGAUAAAAGAACUACCAAAUGCCAAAACUCCUAGUAUAGAUGGCCUCACUGCAGAAGUUGUAAAGCACCAUUGGAGUAUGAUGAAAGAUGAUAUUUCAGCAGCAAUACUUUAUUUCUUUACCACUAGAAGAAUGCUGAGUUCGUUGAACCUAGCUACACUAACUCUCAUCCCAAAAAUCAGGCUGCCGGAGAGAUUAGAGGAUUUUCGUCCAAUAUCAUGCUUGGGGGUUAUAUACAAGAUCUUCUCCAAAAUUCUAUCGUCCAGAUUAACAUUAGUAUUUCCGGGGAUCGUGAGUGCCAACCAAACGGCCUUCAUCAGAGGUCGUCGGAUCAGCGAUGCAAUUGGCCUUGCGCAAGAGUUCACUCAGGCUUUCGAUUGCCGGAGCAUAUCGAGGAGAGCAUGUAUCACCAUCGACUUCGCCAAAGCCUUUGAUACACUCUGAUGGGAUGCCAUCGAAACGGUGAUGGAAUCAAUGGGAUUUGAUCCAACUUUUAGGCAGUUAAUUAUGGCCUGUGUCAAUACUGCACCUCUCCCCUCUUAAACGGGGACUCCAGCAGGGAGACCCACUCUCUCCCCUCUUGUUUGUGAUAGUAAUUGAAUACCUCUCCAGGUUGGUAAACAAAUCAGUCAAGGAUAGGAAAAUUGAACUAUACACGAUUGGAGAUGCACUAGUUGAGAGCCACCUCGCAUUUACGGAUGAUAUCACUUUCUUUUGCAAGGCAUCGACUAAAUCCAUCAAAGCACUUAGUGAUGUACUAACUGAAUUUUAGAAUUUCUCCGGCCUUAAAAUCAAUCCUGCCAAAAGCUCAAUCAUCUUCACCAAGCGAGUAAUGGACGGGAACCAGUUGACAGCAAUUCUUGGGUUCCAACUCAAGGAAUUCCCAAUCAAAUACUUGGGUACACCACUAACUGGUAAAAUGAUCAGAUUCAGAGACUGUGAUGGACUUCUAGCCAAGCUAAGGAUCGUCCUUACAAGAUGAACCACCAAAAAACUUUCGUAUAUGGAGAGAAUCCAGCUGGUAGACUGGAUUUUUCAAGGCAAGUUCGGAUACAUAGCACAGAGUAGUGUGGUUCCACAAGCCGUUCUCCAAGCGAUCCAAUCGAUCACCUAUCAGUUCAUUUGGGGAACCCAACGUGAGGUGUCGUGGGAGAAUAUGAUAAAACCGAGAAACCAAGGAGGCAUAGGCAUCUGGGAUUACAAGGCCACCCAACAAGCUGCAAUAAUAGAAAGAGCAUGUAGAAUGUGGGAACGAAGGGAAAUAUGGAGCCAAUGGAUGUGUCAAAGGUACAUCCGAGAGCGGCCCCUAAAUCAAAUCGCAAAAAGGCAAGGUGACUCGGCAAGCUGGAAGGCAACACUGAACCAGCGAGAACAUAUAGCAAAGUGUGCAAACCUUGGCCCCCAAUAUGCAAAGAACUGGAUUGACGUAGGUACGGGCUGCUCGAUCAAAAACGCCAGACACUCAGACCAGCGCUCCCGACUGAUGACUUAGCAAAGGGAAUAUGGGCAAACAAAAUUGGGAAGGAUGCUCUUAAUCUUUGGAGGGUAAAGAGCAGAAAUCUACCAACAAAGGAUAGAUUAAUCGGGAGAGGUAUGAACAUUGUGGGUGAUUGUGAAUUAUGUAACAAAGAACAAGAAUCCAUCGGCCACCUUUUCAUGAACUGUGAGUAUACAAGGUGGAUCCUUAACGAGGUGAUGGAGGCUGCCGGUGCACUGGUCAAGCUCAGCAUAGCAACCAACUUCGAUGAGGCUGCUAUUGAGCUAAAUAGGGUAACUAAAGGGACACCAGCUUGGGGUCUCCAAUGGAACAUCUUCGGAAUCACUCUAUUCCAUAUCUGGAAACAGAGAAACCAGAGGCGAAUGAAGGCGAAAAGCGAUUCAAAACAGGAAGUUCUUCGACAGAUAAUCGGAAUGACCGAAAUUGGUUUUGAUGGAGAUAAAUUCAAGCGACAGAACAUGAAGACUACGGAACGACAAACGUUGCUCCAGUGGGACGCAUUGUUGAUGCUCAUCCAUGAUACGGAUGAAGGAGGUUAGCCUCGGCUAACUUCCGGCGAAGGUAAUUAGAAAAUUAAUUAAUUAGUUUCUUAUUGCAAUUAUGUCGAACACCUUAUAUGCACUGUUUUUAUUAAUAUCAAGAGUAACCUUUACCAAAAAAAAAAAUAAUAAUAAUGUUGCAAAAUAAUUAGUCCUCGUCAAAAUACAGUCACAGUCCUCGUCAAAAAAUAGUUAGUAGCGUUCCAAAAACAGAUCCAUUUUUUUUAAUAUAUUAUGCAUUCCCCACUCCGAGAGUCGAGACACUUUUAUUUCAUCAAAUAAAAAUAGAGAAAACGUUGAUAAAGAUAACAAAAUAUUUAAAACCAUGCAUCAUACAAAGAAACUGAUUACGAACUUCAAAUUGGUGGAAGAUACUGAUGUCAUCCAAUCUAAACCAUUAACGUCAGCUAAAACAUACUCAGACACAUUCAAAUGUUCCUUCACUCUACAUUCACAUAGAAAAAACAAAAUACAAAUAUCUAAAACAAAAACUUAUUUGAUAUGUAAAAUAAAAUAGUAUUCAAAAGUUUGAUCUCAAAUCUCGACAUUAUAAUGCACAAUUAAUGUUUCCUAACUAAAUUUACACAAUUUAGAGUUUUCUGUAGAAAGAUUAGUGCUAGCAGUCGGUACAAGUGCCAACAUCUGGUUUUUAAUAAUACCCAUGCACAGCUCAAUUUCAUGGAAGAUCGGAAUGUUUUGAGAACAACAAGGCUGUAAACUGGCACCUGCAGAUUCGAGAAUCUGAGCAACGUCAGCAGGUGGAUACUGCCUCUCUGUACAUCUCUAACAGUACCAAAAAAAGCAGGAUAAAUCCAAAAUGAUAGAAAAUACGGAUAGCAUGAAAACUAUUUCACUGGCAGCAUAAUUUUUUCAAAUAUUAACGUCAAUUCUAUAAAUUACCUGGAUCAUAAGUAAAGUGGAAACACACGAAGAUAUCAAUUCAGAAGGAAUCUCGAUUUCAUUUCCAUCGGAUCUUUUAUUUGAUAUUAAGACGUCUUCAUUAACCAUUGUUGGAUCCGAAACAGCAGAAGAUGCAGGUUCUUGAUGAGACAAAUUUAAAUGUCCCGAUUCAGUACUCUGGAAAGAUUUCAUUCCUGGCAUUCCUGAAUCCCCUCCAGAAUACAAUUUCCUAGUAGAAUCUAAAACCUCUCCAACCCUUGAAAAAACAUCUUCUCCUUCUUUUAGAGAUGCCAAUGCCUGAAGAGACACAAUUCAUUAAAGCAUUAGGGCCGGAAUAAGGAUAGUAAUAGCCAAGUACUAUAUCUAAACACUUAUCAUGGUUAGGAAUAUUCUUCCAUACUAACAAAGUAAAGAAACCAAUUAAAAUAAACAAAGGUCACAUUACCUGAACAGACAGAUCGACCAUAGUUUUUGCUUUACAUCGUGAUGACUCAACUAUUUCCACUACAUGAGACCCUGAAUACCUGUCUAUAACAACAGAUUCAUUCAAUGAAUUGGUAGGUCCAGUGGUUCCAUUUGAACUAUCCACAGUUCCCAUGUGAGGAGAUGUUGAAUUUCCAACAAAGGUAUUACGUUUCCUUAAAUAAAGAAGUGCCGAAGCAACCUGCAUUUGGCAUAAGUUAGGAUAAACAUCAUAUCUUUCAUAAAUAAUAUAAAGAAAGACACUGUAAGAGCAAUGUACUGAAAGAUUCACAAAACAACUAACCGUAUCAUUGGAAUCACGCAGCUGUAACAAAACCAUUGCAUACUGCUUUCGAAAAUUUUCUAUGUCUCUAAUAGGUUCAUCUUCCUUUUGCUUCAAAGCAACCUCUUCAUUCAUCUGCCUCAGUUCUAUUAGCAAAGCUUCCUGAUAAAAGUUAGAGAAUAUUAAUGAGCUGAUAUCAAGCUCGCUUAAAAUUCAACUAUUGUGUAUAUUUAGUUGUUUACAUUAUCACUUAUUCAUUGAAUUAUUUAUAUUAAAAUUUAAGAUAUUUAUGAAAAUUUCAUAUAACAUAUAAAAUAGUUCUCGGCUUGAUUCAUAAAAUUUAAAUAUUUUCUUAUUUCAUGUCAGAAAUAGAACAUAUCAGCUAUUUGUUACAUAACUACAUAUCAUAUGUCCUCGGUAUACGAUGUGCUAUGCACUAGUAAUUAAUUUAAACCAAACCAAUAAUUAUGAAUAAUGAACAGUUUUAUAUUUUAACAUGCACUUUACAAGAAAUCUAAUGGAAAAUCUAACCACAUGAAUCAUGAUAAUGUCGAAGAUAGAGUCAUCACCAUAAGAAGUCAGCUUAGAAUGAGCUGAUCCUGUUGCUUAAAGGAAGGAAUCAAAGAGAUUGGCAUUCCCCUUUUCUUAUGAAGGUAAAAUUUCAUCAGACAUGAAAAGGGCCUUGCCCAGGAUCACAAAUAUAAACAGAAUAAAAAUAAAAUAAAGACAGCUCCCUUAACAGACAAGCUUGUGAAACAAGUUGUGUCCUCUAGGGUAGCAAUAAAGAAAAACAUAGAAGUGCAUAGACAGAUCUCCAUACCAAAACAGAAGUGAUCCUAGAACAAAACAAUAGUGAUCGCAGAACAGAGGACACAAAUCAUUGCCUCAUUGCAUUCCCUUCAGCCAAACCCAAAUCUGGGGGGUUAGCUUUAACCUCACCUCAUACUUUCUUCAGCCAGAUUGGCAUUCCAAUAUCCCCAGAAAAAUGCAGAGAAUUGAGCUUUCCAACUGAAAUAGUUUCCCUUUUCAAGGGUAAAACAUUUUAGGAUCUUCGACUCUUCGUCGUGAUGACUAAGAUUUUACAUGCAAAUAGACGUUCAUGCGAUGAUCUUCGAUUUCUUCGACCUAAACGUCGCCUAAAACAUAGGGGGCUUACCGGAGUGGGAAUUAGGGCUGUCCGGAGUAGGAGAGGUCGAGGUUUGCCGGAGCAGGCUGGACGAUGUUCGUCGGAGCUGACCAGAAGUCGCUGGAAUCGCCUUGCGACGUUCGCCGAAGGUAGCCGGUCUUCGGUCGCCGGAGGAGGUUGGCUGAAAAAGAGGUGGGAGAAAAAAAAAGAUGGCUGGAAAUUUGGGAGAAAAGAGAGGAAAAUGGGAGAAAAAAAUAUGAAGGAAUAGGGUUUUAAAACCCUAACCCCCUCUUUUUUUAAAAGAUUUAAUAAGUAUUUGGGUUCGACAGAUCCGGCCUAACCUGCCUAACCUAUGAAGGCAAUCGCCUACAUGUGCUAGGUCGCAUGAUCGCCUAGGUGAUCGCGUGUAAAACUACGGUGAUGACUUUUGUUGACGAAUCCAGGGAUUCCCUCUCAGAGACGUGAGAUGCAGAGAGAUUAACAGGAUUGUUGAAAAAAUGCUCUUCUUCAGCAAUGAUGCUAUAUAUAAAUAUCUGAGAAAGAUAGUAUUGGGCGGAAAUGUGGAAUGAAUUCUAAAUAUAAGAAUACAUCUCCACCACCAAAGGUGAUGGAACACUACCGAGUGGCUACUGGUUAGUACCUAAUGAAUACUGAUAUUACAAAAAUAUUAACAAUUAACCAAUCCAGCUAUUAGUAUUAACAUUGAGAUAAUGGAAGAACAAUUUCUUCCAAAUGGAACAGGUAUAACAUAGAACUGCAUUAUUCAAAAACCUAUUGUUCUUCUUGAUCUGCUAAAACAUAAAAUGAUCCGAGUCCACCUUGAGUGCAAUAUAAUCUCUAAAUCAUAGGUCAUCCAAUGGCUACUGGUUAGUACCUAAUUGGUGAUGCAGGAUCUAACACUCAAAUCGCAUCAACAAGACCAGGAAGUAUUCCCCCAGGAAACCCAGUACGUAUCGAAGGGGGGGAGUACUGGUGAUACAAUAUCCAAGACUUGAUCACGACACCAGCAAUCAGAGAUUGAGAUAACCCGGAAUGGAUAGUGAACACCUGUGUAGGCAAUGGGAGGCCCCAGUCGACUUUUAAGGAAGUCGAGGACAAAAGUCGACCCUGAGGAAGUCAACCUCACAAAGUCGAUCUGAGACCAGAUCUGGGCAGUUAGGCGGUUACGACCCUAAUGACCAGAUUACCCCAUAAGAGACCUAUAAAUAGAGGUCACUCCCAUUCAUUAGGGCUAGGUUGAUUCGAGUAAGAGAGAACCCCUGCCAAAGUGAGCCUAAGCGACUGAGGUGUCCAAGCUGUUUCCGGCGAAGUUCCUGGCCCAACGCUUGUUCGAAGCGUCAUCCAAACACUGAUCGGGAUCCACCCUUAUCACUAAUGAGUAAUGAAUACUGAUAUUACAAAAAUAUUAACAAUUAACCAAUCUAGCUAUUAGUAUUAGCAUUGAGAUAAUGGAAAAACAAUUUCUUCCAAAUGGAACAGAUAUAAUAGAGUAGAACUGCAUUAUUCCAAAAUCUAUUGCUCUUCUCUAUUUCUAAUUGAUCUGCUAAAACAUAAAAUGAUCCGAGUCCACCUUGGGUGCAACAUAAUCUCUAAAUCAUAGGUCAUCCCAAGCAAGAUUGUAGUUGUCGAUGGUGCAACGUAUACCAGACGAAGACACCUUCAUGGUUCAGGAUGCAAGCUUUUGCACCUGCGUGCCCCUGAAGGGUAAUACGUCUAGCGCAUCACCCUUAGACUCUGUCUAAAUCGCAAAGAGUCCCCAAAAAAGCCUCCCCACCUCUUGAUUUCCCCCAAUCCGGCCAGCUCCUCACCCAUCCUCCGGCAACCACGAUUUGAACCAGAACAGAAGAUAUAUAUAAAAAUAUGUUUUUUUAAUAUAAUUUCAAGUAUACCACUGGCGCAAAAGCACUUUUGGGUCGUGGGCUGUGCAGAUGCUCCAAGAGUCACAUUUAUAGGACAGCCAGUAGUUCCUUUCCAAAGAGCCAGUGCGAAUUUCACCGAUGCUCAGUUUUUUCUUGGUUGAGACGGUAACCCAACCCAACUUCUUCUUCCAAGUGGGUUUCAUGGAUCCUUUGCCGCCGACAUGAAGUCAGCAAUUGCCAGAACAGUAUUUUUAGUGAAUUGAAAAACCACCAUAAAUUGGAAAAACUAAGUAAAGAUUUAUCAAAAUCGUAAAAAAAAAUAUUUAUUUGGGAGGUAAAUCACCACUGGGAGAUAAUAACAAAAAUCAAUGAGCUAAGCUUAUUAUAGAAACUGGAACCUUUUUAUCAAGUGCUCGAGUCAUUUCAGCAAUAGCACGUAUAUCAUGCUCUUUCGCUUGAAUCUGUGCCAGUGUACAUGGCUGAGUGAACAUUGCACGAUGUGUUGCAAUAGAAACUUCAUUUGCUGCAGUCCUAGCCUGUAUAAUUGCGUCAAUAGAGUCCUCCUAGAGAAAAAAAGAACUCUUUAAACAAAAAUAAAUAGCAAGAAAAAAAUACUUUGAAAGUCAUCUAUUUAAAAUGAAAUAGUAAAAUACAAAUAGCUGACCUUGGCAUGCUUCAUUAAGGUAUUCAUUGGAUAAUCAGAUGUGGAACAAUGACCAUGCCCAUUUGUAGUGUCCAUAUUUUCAUUUGAAGCAACAAGACCACUAUUUUUCCAUUCCUUGAGAUAAUCAUAAGGUUUUCUCUCUUUUAAACCUUCAAAAAAUCUGUCGCUUGCAAGAUUAUGUUUCUUCAAUGCAUCAGGCAUAUUCUCCAAAGGGUUAAGUGGCAUACAAUCAAUAUCCUGAAAAAAUAAAAAAUAAAUCUGAAGAUCAGGAGCCAUAUUUAACAGAAAUGAAAGAAAGGAUUCAAAAUUAUUAGAGAGUUAAGUAGGUAUUAAUAUAAUUAGUAUGUGCUAAUCUAUAGUAUAAUGUAAUUAGACCCUAGUAAUCUAGUAUAACAUCUAGAAUAUUCUAAUGGAUAAACUAACAGAAAGUUAGUUAUUCUGUUUAGAUCUAAUCCUUCCUCCUAAUUGUAAUUGUAUAUAAAUUACAUUAAUGACAUUUUAGGAGGGAUCGAUCAUUUGAUCUCCCCCACCUUUGCUAAACUCUAUCUCCCUACGGAAUUGAUAGAAAUAUAACAAUAUGGCAAGUAUGAAUCUAGCAAUUCUAACUCUACACUUUUAACAAACAUUACUGUUGAAAUUACAUUAGAAUAUAAUUUAAAAAAAACGUAAUUUAAAAAAUAGGGGAUGUUAAUAUUGUUACCAUUAUCAAUUCAACACCCAACUCAGGUUUAGAAAAUUGAACCCUACAGCGGUUACGGUCGACAGUUAAAACACUUCCAUCAUGAAUUUCUCUUGUUUUUGGAUGGCAUGCAAUAACACGUUGCCCAACUGAUAAAGGACGAGCAAGAUCUGUUGGAAGCCCAUCCCUGAUGCCUGCCCUCAAUUCAGUGUAAUGUGUCCUAACAGACUCGCGAUAUUGCUCAAGUUUCUGCCGUUCUACAAAAAGGAAUUGUUUGGACAAGCGCCGAGGUUUGCCAAGAGAACUGCAACAACAUCAUAUGAUUAUGUAAUAAGGUAAGCUUCUUAAUGUUUAAUUUUAAAUAAAAUAUGUCAAGUACCUUCUUAUGACCCCCCAUUCUACACGAGUCAAUCUUGGAACAUGUCCUAGUCCGACAUGAUUUAAGUAAUCAACAAAUUCACUUUUAGCAAACCAUGGGUAAUCAAUUGCACUGUAGAACCAUUCAAAGAUGCACCAUCUACGGAACAGAGGUGAAGACAGACAGUGAGAAAACAUUUCCUGCAUUGAAAAAAAGAUAUGAAUUACAUUGUACAGUAAUGUUUGAAUUAGUAGUAAAUACCAUUGAGCUUUAAAAAUUGAAUCUUAAUUCUUCUAACCUUGAAAUCAAUGGUAGAUUCAUUUGUUGUGAAUUUAUCAAACUGAUUUUCUCCAGCUCCCUCAAAAGACUUUAUUUCCUUUGAAUUUGUUGCUUUAUAUAGAGUUCGCUUACGCCUAUUCUUGCUUUUAGUUAUUGAAUGAGUCUGGAAAGAAACAUGAGGAACUGCUUCAGCCACAUCAACUGUAGCUUUACCUGGGUCAGUGCUUGAAGAUGAAUUCUCAGGUAGCUUUGUAGAUUUCCCCGGUUUGGAAGGAGAGCUAAAUUGGCUGACGCGUUUACUUUUGGUUAUAUAUUUCUUUUCUUCAUCAACUGAAACCUAGAAGAAAAACACAUACCUAUGAAUUAGCAAAAACAAUUUAGCGCAACCCACAAGCAUAGAAUCACUGAUUAGUUUAUUCAAUAAGAAUCGUGACAAAUGACAAUAAUGAAUCAAGUAAUUAAAAAAAGAACUCAAUAAAUCUAACAGAAUACAGAAAAUUCACUGCACACUCCAGCACCAGAAAGACAAAUACAUAAAGUCAAACAGGCACACAUUAAUCCAACCAAUGCUUAUAGCAUUUGAUUCAGCCAAACCCAGAUCAGGAGGUUUAGCCUUGACUUCAAAACAGGUCCCGCAGUCCCUUAUGAUCUCAGUCACCACCACUUCCUCAGUUCUAAAAGACUAAAACAACCAGUUUUCCACCUUUUAUUCCUCUCCUGCCACAAAUAUCAGGUUAUACCUCUAAGUAGUGUCCAAAGCACCCUCCAGCAGUUGGAACCUAUCCUUAGGGAUUGGAUGCGAUCUAUCACAUCCACCAAUCUGAUGUCUCCUCUCUGAGGUACUUGUAAAUUCCCAUACUUCCAUACAAUAUGAUUGAUAAAUUCAGAGCAAGCUAGUGGUAUGUGCCUAGAAUAUGGGCAAUUGAAAUAGAUGUGGCUAGGGAUGCAAGUUUGAGCUUGAGCUCGUGAGAAGCUCGAACCCGAGCUCGACUCGAUAGGUGAACAGGUUGCCUAGGGGCAGCUAAUGCUUCACAUAACUUUAGUAGGGAGUCUCCUACCUUAAGACCAGUCAAGUUUAGAUUAAAAUUAUCUCCUAUCAGGCUUGCUUUUCAGAACAUUUUUCCACAUAAUGAAAUCCCUGGUGCCAGAGGCCUGAAUUACCUCCAGGCUCCUACCUUUUAUAUAUUCAUCCCUAACCCAGAGGGAAAUAAUUGACUCAUUAUUAGACCAAAAAUAAUGAGCUCUUUUUAUAUGGGAGGCAUGUGCAGAGGUUUCAAAAUUUCUGACCCUAACCUCUAGACCUGAGAAUCUAGAAAAUACAUUAAGGACUUCCUUGAUAGAGCUCAGAGACUUUGGGUUGGCCUUAGAAAAUAUAAGGAUGCCAUCUGCAUAUAUUAGAUGAGAGAUUGAUUUGGCACCAUUGACCUGGUAGGUAUCAAUUCUACCCUCUUCUACUCCUUUCAGGGUGACCCUGCUAAGGUAACCUAACCAAAUUAAAGAGGAUUGGAGAAAUGGGAUCCCCUUGCCUCAAUCCUCUUUGGGUUUUUAAAAUACCAAUGGGAGUACCCUCCACCAAAAUAGAAAGGAUGCAGAUUGGAUACAAUUUGAUAUAAGGGUGAAUAGGUGAUAAUAUGUUGUGAGAAACCCAUCACACUUAAGGUUUCCAGAAUGACAUCCCAUCUAAUUGUAUCAAAAGCCUUCCUAAGGUCAACACUCAGCAUACAAUUUUUGGGGGUCAUCACCCUCCCAAAGCCAUGUAGCAUCUCCUCAGAAAGUACGGUAUUAUCUGAAAUGACCCUACCUUUCAUAAAAGUAGUUUGCUUGAGAGAGACCAGCAGAUUUGCCACCUCAUUUAUUCUACUAGCCAAAAUCUUGGAGAGGAGCUUAUAUAUGAGGUUCACACAUGAAAUUGACCUAAAGUCCGCCAACUCAGAGGCGGUUGGUUUCUUAGGCACCAAGGCGAUCCAUGUGUGAAGUGUGAUUAGCUGCUUGUAAAUAACACUACAUAUGCAAAUAACAUUUAGUUAAAAUUUAAAAAGACUAUCUUCUAUACUGGAAUCAAGAAGCUACGCUGGAAAAAUACAUACAAAUUUGCAAUAAAUACCAAAUUAUUAUUAACUAAAAAAACAGAUAUUCUCUUCAAGUUGAAGCAUAUCUAUUCAACCUUGUUACAUGAAGAGACAUUCAAUAGCUCAACAACAUUGCACAGAUGUGAUUCAAGCAACCACAAGGACGAUAUACCAAUGAGAAAGUAUUGACAACCAGAUAAAUAAUAUCAAAGAUAUGAAAUGACAAAAGAAGCAGCAUUAAGACACUUGAAGUAUCCUCAGAAUACAUCAAUAUCAAAUUAUCAAACAAAACUGAAAAAAGUACCUCGAUUUCUUGAGAUUUCUCCAAGCAAUUAGCAGUAUGGAUAUCAAUUUCAGAAACCUAUGAACAAUAGAUGUAUAUUAAUGAAUUUAAACCUCAGAAAAAGAAGAAACUAAGAAAUGAUAAUUAGCAGAUUAAUAUCCAAGAACCAUAGCCUUAAUAAUACUUUUGGUAAUGGAGUCUUCCUUUUCCUUUUCAGAACCCUGUAGAUAACCUGAUCAGUUUCCUGCUUUGUUUCAGAAGAAAUAUUUGUAUCAGGCGGAGAGGUCUUAGACUUGGAAUUUUUCCUUCUAACGACAUCAACCCCAACUGAAGGUUGCAUUUUCUCAUUGUGACUAAACAAUUUAUUUUUAUCUCUUCGAUCAUUUUUUGAUGUUUUUUCAUGUGUUGCAGACUUGUAGGCAUCUAAGUUUCUUUCUACCUCUUUGAUAUGUGCCAAAGAAUCUAUACACACAGGAAAAAUGGAUUCAAUCAGCUGACAGAAUUGAAAGAUUGUGGGUGAGGGUGAUCGAAAAUGUUAUCCCUAUUCACUACCAUUUACAAUAGGCCAUAAAAGAAAAUAAAAUUAAACAUGAUUAUUACUUAUACAAUCAUCAAUAUUAACCAAAUAAAAGAAUAUUGCGUAGCAUGUUGACUUUUCUUCUAAGUAAAAAAAUUGAAAAGUUACUAAUGAUGUCUGACCAGGGAUGGAAGAAAAUGACGCACAACGGUCAAUCAGAUGAUUGGUCAAAUCCCUGGGUUGGGUCUGGCUGAGAACUUUGAGGGAAACCAUCCACCUGACAGUCCCUCUCCCUCUAAAUCCGAAUAUGAGAAGAUUUCAUCUUGGUCCCGACCGACUGGUCCAUUACCCAUUUCUUCUCAACCGACUACCCAACUCACUAUGAUGCAUUGAUCCCUCCCAUGUAGGACAUCGAUACAUCAUCGAUUUUAAUGAAUAAUUUUCUACAAUUAACCAAUAGUUAUCGCUAAUAGCUUAUCAAAAAUGCAAACUUAAGUGACUUUUGACACUAUUAAAAAUAUUUUCAUCUUUGAUCAUCUGUAAAUAUGAAAAACAUGAUAAUCAGAAUAGAAGAAUAUCAAUCCUACUUUCUAAUGUGAUGGGAUUUAUGGUUAACUACCUGUCUUACAACAUGCCCAACGACCUCCAUUGAGAUAGGCACCUUCAACCAGCCUUUUUCAGCAUUGGAGAGUCUUUAUGUAAUGUUAGCACAUUAAGCACAUCUAUACUCAUUUCCCCAAGUACCAAAAGACGUGGGAUGCUAGUGUACCGUUAGGCCUGUCAAAUAAAUGAAUUCGGUCUGGAUACCCCUAUAUCUGAAUUCAUCUAAAAUGAUCCGAAUUCGAUUAAAAUUGUCAUAUCCGAAUCCGAAUUAUAUUUGUAAAAAAAAUAUUUUUACUAUUAUAAAAUUAUUAAUAUAUAAUAAUCUUUUUUUUGAAAAUAUAAUACUUAAUCGGAUAUUUUACCGGAUAUCCGUAUUCGAAUUUGGAUAUUACUCGAAUUCGGAUAAUUAUCGUUUAUCGGCAGAUAUUAACAGUAUCCGAAUUUGAAUUCGUUUAGCUUCAGAUAGUAAUUUAGAUAUCCGAAUUUGAAUAAGCUCAAAAGAAAUCGAAAUUGAAUUUCGGAUAUCCAUUGAAGCCCUAUGUAACGUGUCUCAGUGUAUCUUAAACAUUGCUUCAAACCGUUUAUUGAUAUCCAAGCAAAGGAUACAGACCAAAGAAGGAAAAUUUACAUGAUUCCAACAACAAUAGAUAAAUAAAUACUUAUCUUUCAGUUUAGAGAGUUAGCAACAAUAUCAAGACGAUUCCUAAAAGUGGAAAGUGCAUUUAAUGUAUUCUAAAAUCUAAACUGUAUAUUUAUGUUCUAUUUUUUCAUUUUAAAAGAAAAUUAUAUGGUUACAAAAAGUUAGAACUUGAAAGCAAAAAAAAAAGUUAAACAAAGCAACUAAAUGAAAAACAAACCUGAUUCGACUCCAGAAGAUUGGCAGACCAUUUUUAUUGAUAUAUUAGCCAAAGUUUGUAAUGCAGAAAUUGCAGUGCUUUCAUCUGUGUAAAAAAACAAAUUAAUACAAAUUUCAAAAUUAAUAAUGCUCAUAAAUGAACAAAACAAUAACAUUUAAAAUUUAAAUUACAGAAAUUUGCUUUGCAUUGGGGAUUUAUUAACUGGUGUCUGAUCAGUGGAUAGAUUCUAAUUGGUUGCACCAGUUAGCCUUAAUGGAAUAUUUGGACCAGAUCAGUCAACUAUUUUAUCAACUUGAAAAACUCAAGAAAUUGUAUAAUAUUAUUCUUGAGAAUGCAAUUUAUCUCUUUUGUUCAAAAUUUAAAAUAACUAAAUGGCUAAUAUCUAUUUUCUACAACCCGUCAUAGUGCAGAACAGCACAAAGAUACACUAUCAAAUAUAAACUACAGAUUGAAAAAUAUUUAAUAUUUGCAAAAAAAAAUAUAAACUACGGAGAAGUAUACAAUGAUUUGGAACUAUAGGCAAACAAAUCAAGACAUUCUAACAAACAUAUUUAACCUUGAAUAUGUCACAUUUAGUUCAGAUUGUUCCUUCUUAGUGAAUCAUUUACCUAAUAGUCUGUUUGAUGUUUAUGAUUAUCCAUUAGUCAUUACAAAAAAUCAAAAAUAGAGAAUUACAGUACACUUCUUCAAAAUAAGUUGAUGGAAAAACAAAGCAAAUGGUAAGUUUCCAUAUUUUCGUUGUAGUUUACCAUGCAAGUAUGCAACAUAUAGAAGAAGAAGAAAUCCGAAGUUGUUUCAAAAGCUAGCUAUGUACAUGUAAAGAUGUAAAAUACUAAAAGAUGGAAUUUUAGAAGCAUGAUUUUAAGUUAUUCAACUUGUAAAGUAAGAUUGUAAGGAUUUGAAUGGAUUAAGUAUAAAAAUGGUGUAUAAUAUAAUUAACAUAUUAUCUCCAAUUGUUGAAAAUAUCAUAAUCAUUUUAAUUUAAUCACAAAGAUUGAUCGUACGAUUGUAAGGCCAAUAGUACGAUUGUGUGGAGAUCUGAAUAUCUGAUACUCUUAUAAGCAAGUUGGGGGGAAUGGUGGAAAAUAUUAGAGAUAGAAGUCAUAAAGACAAAAUUGGUCGAGGCAAGUACGAUUGCGCUAGCCAAGGGAAUUUGGUUGAAUAUGCCGACAAAAUUCUCUAUUCUCUUGUGGAGGGUGAAAUGGGAUCAUCGAUCAUUUAAACACGUUCAGGAAGCUGGAGAGUGCAAGUACCUCCUGCUUUCUUAUGCAAUCUGGAAGAUGAAUUUAGAAGUUAUCUCUUUUUCAACUGCUCUUAUUCAAGGUCUCUCCUAAUUCCGUUGGCUGAGCAUCUGAAUUUCAUCUUCUGAAGAAUAAUGAAUAUUUCAGUUCUCACCCAAUCUAGUCCAGAUAUUAGAUUGGGGGAUCUUAUGGAGACUAUGCAAAAAGUCACACAUUAAUCUCCCCCUUGAGGGCUACUAUGGAAUGCUAUUGGGUGUCUGUCGUGGCAUAUAUGGACAAAAAAAAAGAUAUGGACAAUACGUUAGUAGGCCUUCUAAGGUAGUCCUUAAGGAGGUCAUUAAAGACAUCAGUCUUUCCUUUGAUCCGGAGUAUUACAAGAAGAACUGUUGUCAUCUUUUGAAGACAUCUACGAUGGAAGUAUGGGAAAUCAACCUUCUGAAACAGCGUAUCUAGUUAUAAAAUUUAAUGAGUUUUUUGCUCAUUUCUUUUUUACUUCUAUUUUAUAUUUUUAUACUUCAUGUAAUUUGGGCAUUGCCCUUAUUUUUAAUGAAAUUUAAUUAUUUUCAACAAAAAAAGCGUACCUCCAGAGAAGAACUGGUGACUUUUCCUCCUUGAGCGAUUAGAAGAAGGUGUCCCUCUUUGUUCAAACUCUAUUUCAUUUCUUAUAUUUCUGGCAUUAAUCCCUUCUUCGGUCCCACUACAGGCUUCCCUUGAAUCAUCAAAAUGGUUCUCAGUUCCACCCUUUGGUUUCUUUCCUUUUGAUUUUUUCAUUUUUGAUUUCAAAGCAUUUGUUCCAGCACUUUCCAUAUCAAAUGCGUGGAUAAUAUUUUUAUUAAAAUCAUCAUUUUCAGCUUCACGACUUCCUAAACUGCCUUCUAGACCCUCAUCCACGUGAAUACUAAAUUUUGAGUUAGCCACUUCUGAUUCAGCAUACUAUUAUCAAAAAGAAGAUUAAAUCAUUUUUCUUUUAUUCAGAAAAAAGGUAACAAAGUAAUAAAAAAGAACAUGUUUAGAUUAAUAUUUUACUUUUCUUUCACCACUAUGAAUGUCUGUUUUACUUCCUGGAGUCCUUGAAACCUGCGGUGAGCCUCCUCUCUGGCAUGCCUCAGUUAGUGCCAGUGCUGCCACGUGAACAACUUCAUCAUCACUCUCAGCAUCUCUCCCACACUUGAAGCUUUGUAAUUUAGGUGAAACAGUCUUAAUUUUAUCAGAUAUAUAUGAAACAGGGAAUCGAGGUGUCCGUUUUCCAACAGCACGAGGCAGGGUACCUGUAAAAAAUCCCACAAAAAAUAAUUAAUGGUUGAAAAUUUAAAAUAAUAUUUGGCUAGACAUUAAUAUUUGGCUUCAGAACUACAUUCUUUCACAAUCUCAAAUUUCAUUGUACAUAGUACAUACGAUAUGUGUAUUUGAGAAUUGAGGUAAUAUAGAAAGAGAACUUAUAUCAUAAGUUAUAACCAAUAACCAUAAAAACAAUCUAUUAAAUUCUGCACUUUAAUCCAAGAAAAAUAUUCUACACCUAAAGGUCAAUAAAAAAUACUCUAUUAAAAUAUAUUAUAAGUAUGCCAUUAUGUACAAAAUUAUUCAGUCUAAUACCUCCAGUUGAAGAAGAUGUUAACUGAAGUAGAUCAGGACAGCGUCCAGUCGAUCCUUUGGAAUAGUUACCUCGAAGCUUUCCCCGGCCACGUUUUUGUGACUUGUUAGAAAUCUUUAACUCGUCAAUGCUCUCUCUUUCACUCUCACUUCCCUCCUGUCACAUGUAAAACCACUUACUUUGAUAUUGUGAUAGCAAAGAAAAUCAUAAAUCAAUAUGUAUCACCAUUUUAAAAGGUUGAAAUUUCAAUUUUUUAAGAUGCAAGAAACUUUAAUAUAAAAACAAAAACAAAAUGAAACUAAUUAAGAUUAAGAUUACAAAAUAUAAAUCGUAUAAUUUAAAAAAUGCUAUUUUUUCUCUAAUUUGUCAUCUCUAUCAGUUGAGUGAAUUUAUCAUGGUAUUCAAUUAAAAAUACAACUUUUAAUAUGCUAAUGAAUCAGGUAAAUAAUAGAUGAACCUAAGUUUUAAAAAGUGAUGAAUCAAUAAGCAAUUAAGCAUCAAAGUCUGAUUCCAAUUAGCACAAUGACAGACUUCGACACCCCUAAGCUUUCCCUAGGCACUAACUAGGCCCACCCUCUUAUCGUCUUGGUGCAUGGAGCCAUGGACUUCUCAAAAUAUACGGUAAGAUUGAAAUACUUGGUAAUUUUUUUAAUAAUUUAGUUCAAUGUUUCCAAGCUAACCAGAAUAUUGUAGUGAUCAGUCAUCAUUGCUACCAGGCCACUAGCAGAUGCCAUUCCAUCAGGCAAAGAUAAAUAUGCCUGAAAAUAAAGAAACGUCCAAUAUAUUAUCUGGGGAAAUAGAAAUGACAAAAAAGUAACUGUAAAAAAUAAAAUAAAAUACUAGAAUUCAAUGGUGUUAAUGAGAGGAAUAAUGAAAAUAUAUAAAAAACGACAUGCAAUGAAGAUAUUUUAUUUUCAUUUUGCACAUACGAUAACAAAUAAACACCACACCACAAUGAGAUCUUAAAUCCAAACACACAAGAAAAAUCUGGCAGGACUUGAGCAGAGAGAAAUCAGAAAGCACUGUACACCAUCUUCAAAGUCAAACCAAUUGGGAAGAAAAGGUGUGAUCGAAUCCGCAAGGAAGAGAAUAAUAAUUGGGAUGUAGUUUGGAAAAGAGUACAAUCUGACUGCAGAUCGGUUUUAUAAAAACAUAAAAUCAAUGGACUUCAUGGAGAGAUUCUCCUUAACUCCCUGGCAAAAAAAUACCUGGCAACUAGGUGGGAUAGACUGAUCAAACAAGGGUACACAUAGCAUAGCUGCAUAGUUCUGUUUAGUCAGGGUGCAUGGUCAGUUAGUUGUAUGCAAAUGAAUUCAUAAAUUUGUGUAUAAUUGAUGUAGGAGAAGACAGGGAUUUAGGAAAAACAGGUCGAAGAAGGGAGAAUGAUCUUCUUCGUAGGGUGUAGAAACUUGGAAUCCACCAAGAAUUCUAGGUUUAGAUCUAGAAUUAGAGAAAAAGGAAACUGUAGAAAAUAGAAAUAACUGGAAGAAGAAAAUAAGGAAUACCUUGAUUUGAUAAAAUAAUUCAAUGCCCCUUUCCCUCCAUGGCCUAUUAUAUUUAUACUCACAUCAAUGGUAAUAGGCAACCCAUUUGAUGUGAGUUUAAGGCUCCUUAAGAAAAACGUGGGUUGGCUUGACCAAGGUCAAACCAACUAGGGCCCACUUGACUAUCAAUAACUUCUCCUGCAUCAUGCACCCCUUCAAUAGGUGCAAUUGUCCUCAAUUGCUCAUCAGAUUCUGCUGCAGGGAAGUAUUUCCUUAUGUCACUGACAUUAAAAGAUCUUGACAUGUUGUACUCAUCAGGUAGUUUUAUGACAUAAGCAUUGUCAUUUAUCUUUUUCAGCACUUUGAAAGGUCCAUGGUUUCUUGGUUUCAGCUUUGAAUAGGUUCCAGUAGGUGUUCUGUCCUUGCUAAUGUGAACCAUAACUAACUCACCUACUAAGAAUUCUUGUUUUCUUCUUUUUUUAUCAACUGAGGCUUUAUACUUGCUGUUUGACUCAAUUAAGGCCUCUUCCACCAUUUUAUAAAUUUCUUGUGCUUUGUUUACCAUGCCUUCUACUACUGGUUGGUUUGAUGGAAUAUCAGAUAUGUCUACUGCCUGCUUAGGUUGGUGUCCAUAGGCUGCUACAAAUGGGCUGAAACCAGUUGAUCUGUUCACCAUAUAAUUAAAUGCAAAUUCAGUCUGUGGUAAACACACAUCCCAUUGUUUCUUAUUUUCUCCCACCAGUGUUCUUAAUAAAUUUCCAACAGAUCUGUUUAUAACCUCAGUCUGUCCAUCAGAUUGUGGAUGGCAAGUUGUGCUGAAAUUUAACUUAGUGUUGAAUCUCUCCCAUAAUGUUUUCCAGAAAUGCGAUCGGAACUUUGUGUCUCUGUCUAACACUAUCGUUUGAGGUACUCAAUGUAGUCUAACCACUUCUUUGAAGAAUAAUUGUGCUAUAUAAACUGCAUCACUACUUUUCUUGCAUGGUAGAAAGUGUGUCAUUUUAGAAAAUCUAUCUACCACUACAAAUAUUGAAUCAAAUCCUGUUUUUGUUUUUGGCAAGCCCAAAAUGAAGUCCAUUGACAAGUCAAUCCAUGGUUGAUUAGGGACUGGAAGUGGAAUAUAAAGUCCAGUAUUUUGCUUUGUUCUCUUGGACUCUUGACAGAUUUUGCAACUCUGAAUGAAUAGUUCUGUUUCAGUGCUCAUCUUUGGCCAAUAAAAUCUGUUUUUCAGUUCAAUUAGUACCUUGUCCCUGCUCAAAUGUCCUGCCAAACCUCCAGCAUGUAAAUUUGCUAUUAACUGUUUUCUUAGGGGACUAAUUGGGAUGCAAAGUCUGUCCUUGAAGAAGAGAAAACCUUCCUGAACUCUGAAAUUAUUUUCUGCCCUUCCUUCUAUACAAGCUUUCCAGUGCUGUCCAAAAUCAGCAUCAGCAUCAUAAUUAUUUUUUAUUUUUUUCAAACUCUUGUACUUUGGCUCUUAGAAUUGUUAGCAAGUUGUCUUUUCUGCUAAGAACAUCUGCAACUCUGUUGCUGGUUCCAGUCCUAUGCUUUAGGGUGAAAUGAAAUCUUUGUAGAAAGGAGAUCCAUCUGGCGUGCAUCCUAUUGGAACUUUUUGAAUUAUUCACUUGCUUUAGUGCCAUGUGGUCUGUUUUUAUUACGAACUCAUUCUGUAAAAGGUAAGGCUCCCAUGCUUUACAAGCUCUUACAACUGCAUAUAAUUCUUGUUCAUAUGUAGUCCAGUUUCUCCUUCCUUCUGAUAACUUCUCACUGUGGAAUGCUAUUGGGUGGCCUUCUUGAGUGAGAACAGCCCAUAUUCUUGUUAUACUUGCAUCACAUUCAACUUCAAAAACUUUUGAAAAAUCAGGAAGUUUAAGAACAGGUGUUUGCUGUAAUUUCUUUUUUAGAAUUAUAAAGGCCUCCUCUGCUUGGACAGUCCAUUGAAAAAUACCUUUCUUGAGGCAGUUUGAGAUUGGAGCAGCCACUGUACUAAAAUCUUUUAUAAAUCUUCUAUAGAAUGAUGCUAACCCUAAAAAACUUCUUACUUCAGUCACACUAGAUGGGGAUGACCAGCUGUCCAAUGCUUCUGUUUUCUUUGGGUUCACCUUUAAACCUUGAGAUCCCACUAUGUAGCCAAGAAACUGUACUUCAUGCACUAAGAACUCACAUUUUUGUAGAUUUAAUUUGAGGUGAUUAUCAGCCAGUAGCUUUAAAACUUUCUUUAGUUCUUCCAUAUGUGACUCUUUAGCCUUGCUAAAUAUGAGAAUGUCAUCGAAAUACGCAACAACUGACUUGUUUAUUAGAGGCUCCAGUACUUCUGUCAUUAACCUCAUAAAGGUUGAAGGCGCAUUAGACAUACCAAAUGGCAUAACUAGCCAUUCAUAUAACCCUUUGCUUGUCUUAAAAGCUGUCUUCCAUUCAUCUCCUUCCUUGAUCCUGAUUUGAUGGUAUCCACUCUUAAGAUCUAAUUUCGUAAAAUACUUAGAUCCCACUAGAACAUCCAGUAAUUCUUCUAGUCUUGGAAUUGGGAACCUGUAUUUUACUGUUAUUCUGUUGAUAGCUCUACUAUCAACACAAAUCCUCCACUCCCCAUUCUUCUCAGGUACUAAUAGUGCGGGAACUGCACAAGGACUAAUUGAGUUUCUGAUGAGUCCUUCUUGUAGUAAUUCUUCAACUUGCUUUUGUAAAAUUUCUGAUUCAGCCGGACUCAUUCUGUAAUGAGGAAGAUUUGGAAGUGAUGCUCCAGGUGUAAGAUCAAUCCUAUGAUCUAUUAAUCUGUGUGGUGGUAAUUCUGAUUUAUUUUUCUCUGAAACUGUGGGAAAUAGCCUCAAUAAUUCUGCCACUGAUGCUGAGAUGCAUGCUUUAGUUGGUGCAGCUACCUCUUUCAGAAUUACUGCUAAUCCUUCCUGUUCAACACUUAAUAAUCUUUUAAAUUCUUUCUGGACAGAAAACAGUAAAUUAGACUUUUCAGAUGUGUUUCCUUCAGAUGGAAGUGGAAGCAAUGCUACUUUCAGAUCAUCUACUUUAACUACAUACUGAUUGGUUCUGCCAUUGUAGUGUGCACUUACAUCAUAUUGUCAUGGUCUUCCUAGCAGUACAUGGGCUGCAUCCAUGUUAACCACAUCAUAAAUAAUUUCAUCCUUGUACCUUCUACCGGUGGACAAAGGUACUUUGCAACUCUUAUCCACAGUUACUGAAUUCCCACUGUGAAUCCAUGGUACACUGUACGGAUUUUUAUGUUCCUUCACCUCCAAACCUAAUUUCUUCACUGCCUUCCACGAAAUCAGAUUAUCAGUCGAUCCAUUAUCUAUUAUAAUAUCGCAGACCCUUCCUUUAAUUGUGCCUCUAGUCCUGAAUAAAUUAUUCCUUUGACUUUGCGGCUCUUGUUGAGGUGUGUGGCAAACUCUGUGGAUGAUGCAUGACAUUCUCUGUCCUUCAUCUGGAGGUGCUUCAUCAUCAUAUUCACUAUCUGAACUAUCUUCCUCCAUUGGUGCUUUUCCUUUGUCAUCGACUACAUGUGCACUUCCUCUUUUUGGACAAGUGUUAGAUUUAUGACCCCAUUCACCACACAUGUAACACUUAAUAUUAGUGUUUCUUUGAUCGUAGUUUCUGUUAAUUCUAACAUCUUGCUGACUUUCAGGAUUAAUUUUUCUCUCUUCAGGUGUUGGUAGUAUACCCUUCUUAUUGGGUGGGUUGAAUCUAAUGUUGGAUGGGCAUCCAACAUUUUUUAUAAAUUUUUCAGCUCUUCUGUCCAACUGAUCAGCCACUCUGAUGGUGUCCAUGAGGGUGUAUUGAGGCUGCAUAAUUAAUUUUUUCUGAAAUUUUCCUUUUAACCCUUGCACAAAUCUUGCUAUCAGUUGUUCCUCUAUUUCAUUCAAAUUAUUUCUCGAAGAUAGACGAUGAAAUUCUUUAGCAUAUUCACUUACAUUUCUAUUACCUUGGCAGCAUUGGUGGUAUUGCGUAAAUAGGAUGCCCUCGUAGUCACUAAGAAGAAAUCUUUGCUUUAACAAUUUUUUUAAUUUUUCCCAAGUCCGGACAGGUCUUUGAUUGGAUCUCCUCCUGUUAGUUACUGUCUGAUCCCACCAGGCAGAUGCAAUGCCUUUAAACCUCAGCACUACCAACUUCAUUUGUUGGUCUUCAUCGAUUUCCAUGUAGUCGAAAAAUCUUUCCACUUCAAUUAUCCACUCUAGAAAUUCUUCAAUGUGUGUAGAGCCAUUGAAUGUGGGUAAGUCCAUUUUCAAUUUACAAUUAUUUUGAUUUCUGUUGAAAUCUCUUGGGGCAGCCUCAUAAUAUUCAUUUUCGUCCAUUUGUUCUCUCCUUGUUCUUUGAUAGCGUGGUCUCCUUUGGUAUGCUUGUUGAUGAGGAAUUUUUAGUCCUUCAUAUUCAUCCACAUAUGCCUCAGAAAAUUGAUCCAUGUAUGUAUUAUUUCUCCUCUGAAAAUUUGUUUGUUGCAGGUCCGCCGGCCGGUGCUCCGGUGAUCGUCGAUUAAGAGGGUAACCGUCCGUUUGUUGGCGGUUUCUUCUCUGAUAUGUUCUUAGAUGAUCUUCUGGUGGGCGACGAUGAUAUGUCCCCCCUAUUUCAAGUAUUUCUGGCUGAUUGGCGUUCCUUCCAUCCGGCGGUUGUCGGAUUUCCGGUUGCUCCAAGGGAAGCAACGACCUACGUAGGUCUUGGAGCGCAUUGCUGCUGUCAAGUCUGCAAUGGCCUUGUUAGUCGCCUCCCACUCUUGUCUUGAAACUCUGUCGUCGGCCGUCUUCUCCAAAAAAAAAAAUCGUGAACCUUGAAUCUGAUACCAGCUGAUGUAGGAGAAGACAGGGAUUUAGGAAAAACAGGUCGAAGAAGGGAGAAUGAUCUUCUUCGUAGGGUGUAAAAACUUGGAAUCCACCAAGAAUUCUAGGUUUAGAUCUAGAAUUAGAGAAAAAGGAAACUGUAGAAAAGAAAUAACUGGAAGAAGGAAAUAAGGAAUACCUUGAUUUGAUAAAAUAAUUCAAUGCCCCUUUCCCUCCAUGGCCUAUUAUAUUUAUACUCACAUCAAUGGUAAUAAGCAACCCAUUUGAUGUGAGUUUAAGGCUCCUUAAGAGAAACGUGGGUUGGCUUGACCAAGGUCAAGCCAACUUGGGCCCACUUGACUAUCAAUAACUUCUACUGCAUCAAUAAUUGUCAUUUAUUUGAAUUUGCUUUUCAAUCACGUAUCAUGUGUGUAAUGUUAGUUUUACUGUUGGUUUCGUAUAAAUGGAAGAAUAAAAAUCCCUUUAGAAAAAGAAAAAAAGAUGUAACAAAUAACAUUAUAACAAGUUAACAAUCUCACCUGAUUCAUUUUAUAAAGAGCAUCCACCAUGUCUACGGAACGGUUACGAAUAAGUGAUGCAACCUAAAAACAUUAAUUUUCAAAUUAAUGAGAAAAAAAAGGCAAAAUCCAAGGUCGGAUACCAUAAGAAAGAAAGAAAAUAAAUAAAUAAAUGAAAUGGUGGGGCGGAGAAUUUCCAAUCCCCUCCAUGAAUUCCAUUAUAUAAAGUUUGUGUUGUACCGAAAAUUAGUUACAACGCCCACUGCGGCUUACCAAUUCAAACCACAAAUAAGAACUAUGACUUAACUAAUUACAAUAAUCUGUUUCGAUCACUAAUAAUAAACAUAUAGAAAAAUUAACCUUCUUCCAAUCUUUCCCAUGUUUCCGAUAUGAUUCAUAAAAUUGCAUGAGUUCUUCUGGACUCCAUUGAUAACCAAGCAUAUCAGACCAUUUCCUCUUCUGCACAGGGAAAAUAUACAACAGUAAUCCGAAUGUUAUGCCACAACAAAAAUCAUACGCUUUGCAUCAAUGAUUUCAAAUCAUAUCGAUCGAAUAAUAGCCCACUCAAUCUCCUCGAUAUUUGCUUUUAAACCCAUCGUUAAGAAGUAAGAAAACAUAUUAGGUAGGAAAGCUAAAGCUUGCAAGGUGCAAUUUGGAAGAAGAAAAAAGAUGGAAAACAAUAUUCAGAAGCCAAAUGAUGUAAGAUAACACAAACUAAAAAUGUUAAAAAUUUAAAAUUGAACAGCAAUUUCACUCUAAACAAAACUCACUCGUCCUUUUCCUUUGCUUGCAUUACCCCCAGCCCUUUCUGGAGAUUCCUCAUUUGAUUUAGCAAAUUUCUUGUUCGGGUUUCUCACUUUUCGUGUAGAAGUCAUCGAUGAAAAUCAGUUUCGUCUGAUCAAAAACCAAAUCAAUAGAGUCAAAAAUUAAUAAUCAAUCUUAGAUUCUUAGAAUGAAUAACUGAACGAAAAAACAUAUACUUCUCAAAAUACCCUAAGACCCCAACACAGAAUCAAAAACAGAAGAACGUAAUAAAUUUAAAAUCCACAAACCAAAACCAAACACAAUUAAAACCACCGAAAAACACACACACAAAACAAGCAUUGAAAUAGCAUGAGAGGGAGAGAGAUCCUCCUAUUUCAAAGUUCAAAUUGAUUCGAUGCAAGAUAUGGAGAAAUUACAAUCGGAUUACCCGGAUGCCAAGAUGUAGCUCGAGAGAUUGUCUGGUUGUGCAAAGAAAGUAGAUCUAAUAUUCCAAGUAUCCAACAGCUGAAAAUCGGGAGGGACAAGGGUACCUGAGAAACCCUAUCAUUUGGAGGACGUGUAAAUAUUUGGGGGGGAGAAUGAAAUCGGUUUGGCGGGGAAGAAUGAAGAUAUGAGGUGAGAGAAUACGAAUCUAAAAAAUAAAUAUAACAAAUUACAGACGGAGGAGAUCAAUCUGAAGGGAAAAUUCAGAGGACGUUUAAUUUUUGAAAAUGUGAUUUGAAUGAAUGGAGAUAUUCAAUUUUCGUAAAUCGUUGCUACAUACAUAGAAACAACCUAACAAAGCACGAAUUUAGGAAAUUUAAAUUUUAAAAAACAUAUUUUUAGUGGAGGUAUAACACAUAGUCAUAUAGAUUGGGUUUGACCUCGCACCCUCGCUUCACCUAUUUGGAAUCAUGUGAUCAGUUUGAUAAGAAAAGAAAAAUGAAACUCAUUCAAACACACAUCCAGUCAUCCAUUUGUAAAAGAAAUAUUUUUUAUGGGUUUUUUACGAUUUUCAUUUUUAAGGCAUCUUAUUAUAAUAAAAUAUUUUUCAAGUUUGUUUAUGUAAAUUUUGAGGAGAGUUUUUAAUUUCUAUGUUUUAAAUAAAAAUAUAUUUAGUAUCAGUGAUUUUCAGAAAGCUGGUAAGUCCAAAAGAGUUUGUCAAAUCAUAAUCGUUCAUCUCUAUUUAAUUAAAAAAUAUAUAUCUUUCAUCUACACCAAUCCCUAAACGUACUAUUCUUUUUUUUACACCUACCUUACACUAUCGUCUAUUACUUUACAAUUGUAUUAUCUGUUACACUCUUUCUUUUUCUUCUUCUCUCUUCCUCUCUUCUCGUCUUCCUCAUUUUCUAGGUUUUUUCGCUCGAUUUUUUUAUAGAGAAACUUACAUAUUCGUGCAUUUAUCACCGUUCUCAUUUUACGUUUGCAUUUAUCAUUUUCAUGUCAUGUGUUUUCAUCGUUUCCUUCUUUUUUUUAAAUUACGAAAUUUUAAAAAAAUUAUAAGUGUACCACACUUGGUCCUAUGUUCCGCAACUUCUUCUCUUAUUUAAUAUUUACAAAAUAAAUGUGCAAAAUUUCAUUCAGUACAAAUAUGACAUUCAUGAUCACAUGCUUCAAUCUUCACAAACAACAACAGAGUGAAUAAAGAAUAAAAGACAGUUAAAUUGAAUAAAAAAGAAAGCGAACCUAAACAUCAGAAACAAGAACUCCGGCGAGCACUUCCAACAGAGUUUCGACGCCAAAGAAUGUAACUACAACGAGAGUGAUAGAUUGCUACUGAACAAAAAGGCGAUUCUGAAGGACAUCCACCAUCAACUGGAGCAGAGCAGGACAGAGAACGCGAAUGCGGUUGCUUAUGAUGACAAGAACCAGAUUGGUCAGCCAGUGCUGAAGAAUAUUCAGUCAAUGCGAUUGAGGGGAUUUUAAUUAAAUUAGUUUUCAGUUAUGGUUCAUUACGGUCUACUUUGAUUUGUGCUCAGGAGAGAAUAUUUAUAUUCGGCAAGCAUCAGGUGCACCGAGGCCUAUAUGCACCAUCGUGCGCCGAGGCAUUAGGCUUCUAGCAUUUCCAAUCCAAUGGUCUACCUUCUGUCCUAUUGUCUUCCUCAUCUUUGAACAAACGGCGAUGAAGAUCUUCACGGUGGGCUAAUAUUUAGCCAAAUGUUAAAUCGACCGACUGAUAGUAAAUGCGCAUUUAGCUAAAUAUUUAUAUUACUCUGCAGACUGACCCCCAUAGCUUAUGGUCCGUUUCAGCCCAUGGGCCUUGGUAUCGUGCAGUCCAUGACCCGGUACCAACAUGAAUCAAGAGCAUCGGUUCUCUCACGUAUUUUGUGACUCAUUCCAAGUUCCAUCCAUCUCGGCUAGUCCAAAGGCGUUGUCACUGAUGGGUUUGUAUGCAUCGAUGGCUAGACCAGUGGCAAUGGUACUCAUCAAUAGAAUACGAGUUGUUAAUAGAGGAGCUGUCGGAGAUUUGCUGGAAUGCUGCCGACGUGUGGAGGAACAUGGCUCAGAUGACCUAAUUUCCAAAUUAAGGGAAGGCGAGGGUUCGAGGUCGUUGGGAGCUGAAGAACUAGGGUUGAACAACCCUAAACCGGUGCGCAUGCAGGCUGCUCCUGUAUGAGCCAAGGAUUAUGUACUGAGCUCAGUUCAAGAUGGCUAAAUCAGAGUUUAAUCCAUUUAAGGAAUCUUUUACAUUUAGAACCUUAAGUUAUUUUAUUUUAAUUUCAUCCUGAGUAUAAAGGAUUGUAAUCAACUAUUAACUCUUUAAAAAAUUAUUAAUUAAAAAUCCGUUUUGCUGUCAAAUCACCAACAAUGGCCAUCCGACCUAGGUCGAGUUCAUCAUCCAUACCUUCAUUUCGCCGUCACCAAUCUAUCCGAUCAGUAUUACUAAUCUCGUCGCAUCAAUUCAAGCAUCCUGCCGGACAGCUUAACAGCUAAUCUCCAGAAGGACUAAGCCUUGGUUUCAGAAGGAUAUCCCUGAUCUUCGAUCUAUCGUCGCAUGGUUUAGUUCCUUGAUAUCGGGUAUUUCAAUUUUGUUUUAUUUGGAAAAAUGAUAUAUUUAUUGGAUCACUUAUAUUAUUUAGAUCCUUACAUAUUUUAUAACGACAUUUAGACCUCUGAAAUUUGGGAAAUUUUAGAGAAGUAAUUUGGUUCUUCAUGUCGCCACUGACCAUGAUCCUUGGAAAUAUAAAUUAUCAAUCUCGAUGUCACACACAUUAAUAUUCUGACUAACCUGAAGAUCCUCGAAGGAUGAUAGAUAAAUAGAGUUUAGAUUGAUUUCCAUGUGGAGACCAUGGACAGUCGGAUGGACAGACUUUAGAGAAAUUGAGGAAGGUUUUCAGUUUUCAGCCAUCCUUAAAUGCAUGCACGCAUAACAGUACUCCAUGCAUGGACAAAUUAAUGGAUCGAAGAUAACGCCUUUGAUUUAAAAUUUUACUCAAACUCUAACGUUAAUCAAUCAAUAUAGGAUUUCCCGAUCAUACUAGGAAAACAGACAAAUGUCUGAAUCCGGUCUUUCUUUAAUAGGUGUUGCCACUGAUUUCAAACCGCAUGCCAACCCAGUAUUUUCUAAAUCCAUUGGCUUGCUCGUAGAAAUUUUGAUACAAGACGUCACUGCGCUUUUUAUUUUUAUUUUAUUUCAUUUCCCAAUCAAUCAAUCAAAUCAUUCAAUUGUUUAUGGUUAAAACCAUGGUCGUCUCACAAAUGGUUUUCCAUUGAUUUAUAAUGAACAAUCUUCUGCACUGCUUAUUACUGCUUAAGUUUUUAUUUAUGAAAGUUGAAACAUGAUCAUAGAUUCUGAAUUACCUACCUGACCAACUAAAGCAAUUAUGAAUUAUCGGUCGGAAAAAUCGAAUUUUAAAUUGUUUUCUUUUCAAAAGUUGAAAUAUUUUUAUACCUAAUUAUUCUGAUACCACAUUGUCAUUUCUCAGUAUGACAGUAUCCUUAUGACUUUUAUUUCUGGGUAUUAAAUUACAUCGAAUUAUGUAGCUGAUAGUUUUGGGAAUUUAAUUAUAAUUUUUUUCUUUUCCGAUUGAAAUAUUGAUUAUUUUGAAUUGAGGAUGAAGACAGAUAGUCAGACACGGCGGAAUAAGAAAAUUACAAAACACUGGAACUAAAUCUGCGUUGAUGACACGCGCAGCGGCUCAAGGCAUGCUUAUCCAAAAUGACUUCCACGAUACGGUUGUUCUUCAUUUCCAACUACUGCUGUCAUUCUGUCAAAACACUUUAAGAAAAUCACACCCUCAGCUUCAACUUAUUUACAUUCAAACCAUACCUUCUUGCCACGUACUAUUUAAUGCCCGCUCUCACAAACAUCCACCAUAGGCAAUCACGGCCAAACUGUAAACCACUCUCUGAUAUCCUCCCACUUCUCUGCGGAAUCUGUGUACAUGGCCGGAGGGUUGAUGUCCGAUGUGGUUGUGCAGCUAGUCAUACCUAUUGCUGCCGUCAUCGGAAUCAUAUUCUCGCUCUUCCAGUGGUAUUUGGUGUCGAGAGUGAAGCUGUUCGGUGAGCGAGAGCAUGGAGUUGGGGCUGAAAGUAAGAACGGAUUGAAUGAUUACCUGGUUGAAGAGGAGGAUGGGCUUAAUGAUCAAAACGUUGUAAACAAGUGCGCCGAAAUCCAAACAGCCAUCUCUGAAGGUCUGGUGAUUGGUUUGAUCUACUCUGUGUUUUUUUCUUCUUUAAAAAAACUUGCAUGUCUGUACCGAUUUCCGUUCUCGUUUUUAAAUCCAUGAUUCUAAAACCAGUUGUUGCAUGCAUGCAUUCAUAAUGCAUGUGUUGCCAUCUUUCUUUUCAUACUUUCUAUUUCCAUUUUGAUUUCGUCCAUGAUGGUUGAAACUUGAAAACAGGGGCAACCUCUUUCCUUUACACGGAAUACAAGUACGUUUCGAUGUUUAUGGGUAUAUUUGCAGUGUUGAUCUUCCUGUUCUUGGGUUCGGUAGAAAGUUUCAGUACCAAGAGCAAGGAAUGUACCUACACCAAAGGCAGGAUGUGCAAGCCUGCUCUGGCCAAUGCCUUGUUCAGCACCAUAUCGUUUAUACUUGGUGCCGUUACCUCUCUGGUUUCUGGUUUUUUCGGAAUGAAGAUCGCAACCUAUGCAAAUGCCAGGACAACUUUGGAGGCAAGGAAGGGUGUUGGUAAAGCUUUCAUCAUCGCGUUCAGGUCCGGUGCAGUUAUGGGUUUUUUACUAGCCGCAAAUGGGCUCCUGGUUCUCUACAUAGCUAUCAAUCUGUUCAAGAUUUACUAUGGAGAUGAUUGGGAAGGUCUUUUUGAAUCCAUCACUGGGUAUGGUUUAGGUGGCUCCUCCAUGGCUCUUUUCGGAAGAGUUGGUGGGGGGAUUUACACUAAAGCAGCCGAUGUCGGUGCCGAUCUCGUGGGUAAGGUUGAGCUGAACAUACCAGAGGAUGAUCCACGAAAUCCUGCUGUAAGAAAUUUUUAAUUUUUUUUUUUAAACUUAGAAGUCGGAAUCUUAAUCUUAAUUUUUCAGGUGAUUGCCGAUAACGUUGGGGACAACGUUGGAGAUAUUGCGGGGAUGGGUUCCGAUCUCUUCGGAUCAUACGCAGAAUCAUCAUGCGCCGCACUCGUCGUUGCUUCGAUUUCUUCUUUCGGAAUGAAUCACAACCUGUCUGCAAUGUUAUAUCCAUUGCUUAUCAGCUCGAUGGGCAUCAUUGUCUGCUUGCUCACUACACUGUUCGCAACUGACUUGUUCGAAAUCAAGGACGUAAAGGACAUCGAACCGGCAUUGAAGAAGCAACUCAUCAUCUCUACGAUUUUUAUGACCAUCGGAAUCAUAAUUGUCAGUUUGGUUGCUCUUCCUUCUUCUUUCACCAUAUUCAAUUUUGGAGAUCAAAAGGUCGUCAAAAAUUGGGAAUUGUUCUUCUGCGUCGCUGUCGGGCUGUGGGCCGGUCUGAUCAUCGGGUUCGUUACAGAGUAUUUCACCAGCAAUGCGUAUAGGUAAGAGAUAUAUUAUGCAUCCAUCCACGAUCCAUCAUACAUUGUAGAAUAGAUGACAAUCUUCAUCGGUCAUUUGGUUUGGUCGCAGCCCUGUGCGGGAUGUUGCAGAUUCAUGCAGGACAGGAGCAGCGACGAAUAUCAUCUUCGGACUUGCAUUGGGUUACAAGUCGGUCAUCAUUCCAAUUUUCGCCAUUGCCAUGAGUAUCUUCAUCAGCUUUAGCAUCGCCGCCAUGUACGGUAUAGCCGUUGCGGCGUUGGGAAUGCUGAGCACCAUUGCCACUGGUCUAGCCAUCGAUGCAUACGGACCCAUAAGUGACAACGCCGGUGGAAUAGCCGAGAUGGCUGGAAUGAGUCACAGAAUCCGUGAGAGAACCGACGCUCUUGAUUCCGCCGGAAACACUACUGCUGCAAUUGGAAAGGGGUUUGCCAUUGGUUCAGCCGCUUUAGUCUCGUUGGCACUUUUUGGAGCUUUUGUGAGUCGAGCUGGGAUUGUCGUAGUCGACGUUCUCACCCCAAAAGUCUUCAUUGGGUUGAUUGUGGGGGCGAUGCUUCCGUACUGGUUCUCCAGUAUGACUAUGAAGAGCGUGGGCAAAGCAGCUCUGAAGAUGGUGGAGGAAGUUCGCAGACAAUUUAACACCAUCCCCGGUCUUAUGGAAGGAACGGGAAAACCAGAUUACGCCAGUUGUGUUAAGAUAUCAACAGAUGCUUCCAUCAAAGAAAUGAUCCCUCCUGGUUGCCUGGUCAUGCUCACUCCUCUCAUUGUAGGUACAUUCUUCGGAGUCGAAACUCUGUCCGGUGUUCUCGCCGGAGCUCUUGUUUCUGGUGUUCAGGUUCGUCUUCUUCUUUAUUCAAUUUAACCAUCUUUUGUUCUUUAUUCACUCUGUUGUUGUUUGUGAAGAUUGCAAUCUCCGCUUCGAACACCGGUGGUGCUUGGGACAAUGCGAAGAAAUACAUCGAAGCCGGUGCCAGUGAACAUGCAAGGACGCUUGGGCCAAAGGGUUCCGACCCGCACAAGGCUGCUGUUAUCGGUGACACUGUUGGAGAUCCACUCAAGGACACAUCUGGUCCUUCGUUGAAUAUUCUCAUCAAGCUCAUGGCCGUUGAAUCUCUAGUCUUCGCGCCUUUCUUUGCCAAACACGGCGGUCUUCUGUUCACUUGGUUUCAAUAAAUUGUGUAAUAAAUCUCGAGAGAACCAGAGAGGAAGGAGUUUCCUUUCAGAAUUUCCACGUCGUUUUGUAAUUUAUUUAGUUUUUCCCGACCAACAGAUCCGUCAUCCGUGGCCUGUUUUUUGCUGUAUCGACGUUUUCCAUCUUUUAUGAAACAAAUGAUUGCUCAAAUAAAAAAUAAAAAUUUUCACUGACCUAUUUUAUUAUUUAUAGUUGUAGGAUUAAAAUAAAAAUUUCUAUAGUGAAAAACCUCACUAAGGAUUUAACAUUCAGUCACUGACCGAUCGACCCAUCUUUUACACCUUCCAAUUAAGAGCUCAUCGGAAUCCAAUGAUCGUCUGUAGUUAAAGAUCCGGACAUCGGCAGUCUUUAUACACCGGUGAAGCACCGACCAUCCUUUCAUUUUAGUGCGGCAACACUUUCUCCAUAUCUUCCCCAUCUCAAACCCUAAUUUGGCGAAACACUAAAUCCCCAACACUGAAUUCUAUCCACUUCUAGGCUCUCCUACGUUAUAGUCUCUCUUCUUUCUUUUUCUUUGGAACAAAAAACCCAGGUUGGGUGAGAGUAAUACGCAGAUUUCUGGAUUUCUGAUGGGUGUAGCGGCAACGGCAAAUGCAACGGCAACGGCCACAACAUUAUUAAAGCAAUUCUCCACCACGAAGACAAGUAUAUUUCUUCCCGUCAUCUUCAAACGAUUCCCAUCCCAUUCUUUAUUUUCCAGGAGAAAACAGCUCCAAUUCAAACGACCCGCAUUCUCUUCCUUUUCUUCCAGAACCAUCUCUUCUGCAUCGACCAAUGAAGGAAUUACGCAAGGAGAAUUAUCCCCCAAGCCGUCUAUUCCAGAUUUGUGUUUGUAUAACACCAUGACCAGGCAGAAAGAGGUGUUCCGCCCUAGGGUUCCGGGGAAGGUGGGCAUGUACGUUUGUGGAGUCACCACUUAUGAUCUCAGUCACAUUGGUCAUGCCAGAGUGUACGUCACAUUUGAUUGUCUCUACAGGUAAACUAAUUGAUGCUUGUAUUUGUUUAAUAAAAAUAAAAUAAAAAGUUUAUUUUUUUUUAUGGCUGAAUUGAACUGAAAAGAGGAGGAAAUUGGGAUAAGUGUUUUAUUCGUUUGAAAAAAUCUUGUAUUUCUUUUUGUUCGUCUUUCAUGUUGGUUUCAUACUUCUAUUCUGUCGGAUCGCUAAAACUUGAUUAUCUUUUGAGUUUUGAUAGUGUUACUAUUUAACACUUUGGCAGAUAUCUGAAGCAUUUGGAAUUCCAUGUGUGUUACGUGCGGAACUUUACUGAUGUCGAUGACAAGGUAUGCUUGCUGUAUUCAAUGCAUUUUUCUUCUUCUAUCUACAGAAAAUAAUCGGCAACAGGACUGAGCUUUGCUAUUGAUUUUUCUUCUUCUUUUAGAUAAUCGACAGAGCAAAUAUUCUUGGAGAAGAUCCGUUGAGCUUGAGCAGUCGUUUUUGCAACGAGUUUGAUAAAGAUAUGGUGCAUCUGCAUUGCUUGCCUCCAUCUUUCGAUCCACGUGUGUCAAAUCACAUGACCGAAAUCAUAGAUAUGAUUAAGCAGGUCAUACAGAAACAACUUAUGAUCAACCUUAGUUUUUUUUUCUUUUUUAAUUUUUCUUCUUCUAUUGGUAGAUUAUCGAUAAUGAUGCUGCUUAUGAAAUUGGUGGAGAUGUGUAUUUUUCCAUUGAUAAAUUUCCAGCAUAUGGUCGAUUAUCUGGACGUAAACUGGAAGAUAAUCGAGCAGGGGAGCGAGUUGCAGUAGAUUUGAGAAAGAAAAAUCCUGCCGAUUUUGCUUUAUGGAAGGUGAUUUGAGUUCUUCUGUUUGUCUUAGAUUACUAAACCAAUCUAUUUUAAUUAGUUCUCUUGUUUGCAUUAGACUGCCAAGCCUGGGGAGCCAUGCUGGAAUAGCCCAUGGGGGCAGGGAAGGCCAGGAUGGCAUAUCGAGUGCAGUGCCAUGAGUAAUGCCUAUCUUGGAACUUCAUUUGACAUACAUGGGGGAGGAAUGGACCUUGUCUUUCCUCACCAUGAGAAUGAAAUUGCACAGAGUUGUGCUGCCUGUUGCAAUAGCACUGUAAACUAUUGGGUUCAUAAUGGGUUUGUAACAGUUAACUCCGAGAAAAUGUCGAAAUCACUUGGGAAUUUCUUUACAAUUCGCCAGGUAAGCGUGGAAGAUCUUAUCCUUCCUUUUCAUCUUGUUUGUUCUUUGAUUUUAUUUAUAAUAUUGAUAUGGAGGGUCAUAUUGUUUAGGUCAUAGAACUAUAUCAUCCACUUGCUUUGAGGUUUUUUUUGAUCAACACACAUUACCGUUCUCCAAUAAAUUACUCAAAUAUACAGCUUGAGACAGCAUCCGACCGUUUGUUUUACAUCUACCAGGUACUUUAUAGAUAAUUAAACUUGGUUGAUCCACAAAAUCCUCAACAUAUAAAGCUUGAAUUCUUAGUCUUUUUUUUGGUGUGGCUGUAGACACUGUAUGAUGCCGAAGAAUUUCUGGUCGAGCACAAGGGAGGCAGUCUGGCUGAUUCCAUUCCUCCAGUUGUCCAGGACUGCAUUAUCAAGUUUAAAUCUGAUUUCAUUAACUCCAUGUCUGAUGAUCUGAACACUCCAGUUGGUGUGGCUGCUCUCUCCGAACCACUUAAAACAAUCAACGAUCUCUUGCAUACUCGUAAGGUUGUACUUUAUUUUAUUUGCAAUUAUAUUUUAUCAUAUUGCUGCCCGAAGCAUAUAAAAUAUACAUCCUGGUAAGCAGGGAAAGAAGCAAGCUCUAAGAGUUGAGUCUCUUCUGGCAGUGGAGAAGGAAGUCAGAAAUGUUCUUGAGAUCCUUGGAUUGAUGCCUUCAGGUUAUUUAGAGGUAACUUUCUUGUUCUAACUUUAAAAAAAAUGCAUACAUAAUAACAGACCCAUUUCUUGUUGUUGUAGAGAUUUUUUUUAUUGAGGUUAAUUCUACCUUUUUACAAUUACAAUGGACUUUUACAUGGUUGUAGAUUCUAAACCAAUUACGAAAGAAGGCACUGAAAAGGGCUGGGAUAACAGAAGAACAUAUAUUGCAGAAAAUCAAAGAGAGGACAUCAGCAAGGCAAAAUAAAAUGUAUGAGAGAUCUGAUGAGAUCAGGAAGGAAUUAGCCUCUCUCGGUAUUACUUUGAUGGAUGGUCCUGUAGAAACAACAUGGAGACCAACUUUGCCUCUUGAACUACAAGAAAAGUAGUUAAAUGAUUCUUUGGCCCAAGUUAUCUAUACUGGGUCGGUAAUUAUAUCAUUCUUGUCUUGUUCAUCAAACCCUUCCAUCUUUUUCCUCCUAAAAUAAGCAUGGUUAUUUUUACGGUAAAUACAAUCAGACAAGCAAAUUGUCUCUCGUCUUCUAAUUUUAUUUAUACUCAAGCACCGAUUACAUUACAAUAUUACAUCACUGAUGGCUUCGCCAGAUGAGUAAAAAAAGAGUUGUGAUGAAUUCAGAUGCAAGCAGGGACAAAUGAGUAGGGGAAAUGAGCAAAAACAAUGGAACAUGGAGCAACAAUUAUAGGUUGUGAAGAAGAAGGAAUAACGACAGGGUUCAGUGCUGGGAUUUUCCCAUUGUCUUUUGUUAUCAAUGCUUUACCAUUCAACAUCAUUACUUGACUGUGUAAGUCCCCAUCUUUGGCUGUAAGAUGGUAUUCUUCUCUUGGGAAUUCUACUAGUCGUUCUAUCCUAUUGUAACCUAAUGAAGGUGAUACAUAUACAGUGGUAUCCAUGUCAAGGUUCAACAGCAACAGUGUCACCCCUUUCUGAAAAUUGAUGUUUUGAAGCAAUUGUAAGUGUAACAAUCUUCUAAUAAGAUGAAGAUGGUAAAAUUUUGUUUUGCAGACUUACAGAUUGUUUGGAGCAAUGGGCAUACACUCUUAUCUUAUCCGUUCCAUUAAACGUAGCUGAUAAAACCCUUCUUCCCAUUAAUCUGUGCCAUAGAAGAGCACUGCAACCAAAACCAAGAUUGAAUGAAUGAGCCUUUGAUAAUUAAAAUGAACAGCAUUGAUUGAUUGAUUACCUGAAGUAAUCGGGAUUUGGUUUGUAGGUUGUAGUGUUAAGUAUGCCAUAGUUCCCACCUAUCAAGCUUUGUCUGCAGUAUGUCUUGGUAUCGAAAGUUGCUGACAUACCAAGCUGAUCCAAGUACCAGAAACUGAAUACAAAUGCAUUGGUCACCAGAUGAUGGCCACUGUUGUAUGCACCGCCUGCUUCUCCAACCCACGCAGUGGUUGACGUUUCGGCGUUUAUGAUAAUUUGUUGGAGUUUUCUGAAUGUAUUGGCCUCGCCGUUGAGAUAUGAGGGAUCAAGGAUCUUGCUAACGAGAUGAGUAUCGACACCUGGUAUCAGAAUGAUGGUAUCAGAACGUGGGUUUCAGAAUCUGAAUCAAGAAAAACAGCAAAGAUGCGUCACGCAUCUAUAUUAAGAGUGACAAGUGUAGUGAUGUACCAGGUCCAAGGUUAUAAAUGUGGUGGGUUACAACAUCCAUGUAGUUUGGCUUUGUCUUUUCAAUAAGAUAUUUAAACCAAGUAGCAUCGAAGAAGCCUCCGGGAGAUAAGACCAAAGGUUUGGACAAAGAAUCAGCAUAACUGUUAUCCACCAUUGAUUUAAGCUUGAUAACGUCGGCGGUAUACUGAUCUGGUUGAACUCUGGUCCCGACCCCAUGUCCACUCAAUUCGUUUCCUAGCUCCCAACCAUGGAUGGUGUAGCCAUUGUUUACAGUGUAAUUAAUAAAAGCGGCAGCAUUCGUGGAAUUCCAGGGGCCUUUACAUGAACCGUCUUUGAGAUGGAUUCUCCCGUUGAGAGCAUUCAACCCAAAGAUGACGACAGCUCUGGUUUUUUUGAAGAAUCUAUUAAGCUCGUCCCAUCGAGACAUGGAUAGACAUCCCUCUGUGAAACCAAACAUCUGGGAUGUGUUCUUUUUGAAGGGAAGACAUUUUAUUUCUGGAUCGUCCACGGCGUAUAUAACUUUAUCUUGCAAAGAACCACCUAUCCGGAGUUUUAUCGGAGAAAAUUCUGUGGAAGACGAACAUAAGAAUUUAAUAUCGAAAACUUUAACAAUUAAUACAACUCAUUAAACACGUACCUUUGACAGCAUUUAUUAGAAUGGGGUUGGAAAGAUCCUGCAUUUACAGGUUUGCAUACUUAGAUCUAAUUACUAACCACCAAAUAAAAAUGUGUUGAGAGUUGGGAUUUCUUUUUCUUCUUCUUACCAAAUUGAGAAUAGAAGCAUGUCCCCAGCUGCAUGUUCCAUAAUCACACUUCUCCGGAGGCCACCAAUCCAUUGUAGCACAGAUAAAAUCCUCAUCGGUAUACCCAAUGGCAAACUUUCCAUCAACAAAUGCCACACCAUCAGUAGACUCAAUACUUUCUAACGCUUCCCGGCAGACCACUGCAGCAAAGCCACCGGAAAACCAAUACACCCAAACGCAAGAUCCAAGAACAGCUGCGAGAAAACCAAUACCCAUCUUUGAGAUUUGGAUGGAUGGGUUGGGUUUUUUUUUUUUUUUUUACUUAAAACAUUCUUCCUGUGGUGGAUUUUCUUAAACAACAAUUUUAAAGAGAGAAAGAAAGGAGAUAAGAGGAUGAAGAGUGUGAAAGGGGAAAUGAAUGCAAGAAGAAAAGAAUGAAUGAGUCUUAGAAGCAAGAGUUGGUGGGGUUUUGUUGGUAUGUCAGCGAAAUGCUUCGUGAUUCAUGAUUCGUUAAGCAUAGCAGCAUUUUCAGAAGAUGGAUGUGUAAUUAUGAAAUCAGAUUAUAUUAACACAUGGACUUAAAUAUAAGAUCUAAAUUGAUGUUCAUAGUAAUGUAAACAAGUAAUGGACAGAGAAACCUUCCAAACUACUCCAAACUACUGAACUAUUUUCAUUAAUACAAAGUAAUGAAGUUGAUGAGUGGGUGGUGGGAGUCUAACUUGUCCACCCGCACAAAUGUCUUCUCUAUUCAUCCCAAUAUCCCAUUCACAUUUAUUUCUUUAGUUGUUAUGACUUUGGAGGGGGAGUUGUUGGAAUUAUUGACAUUCUCUUUUCGAGCUUUUUACAGUAAAUCUAAGUAAAUAAAAUAAUUACACAUGACUGAGUUGUGACGGACUUGGGGUCUGGCAAAUGUAUAUGUUCAAUUCUUCAGAAUUCACAAGAAAAUAAUAAUAAUAAUAUAUUUUGAUGACAAUCACACACAAAAAAAUUCAAAUGUUUUUUAUAGUAGAUUUUCCGAUAUUACUGUAAAGUAAAUUAAGCUUUUGGUGCCAAAAAAAAAAACUGGAAAAAGUAUAUGCAAAGAAAUUUCUGCUCCAAAAUUAAACUUUCUCCCAGAAUUAUCUUAUCACGUGAUACCCACCUCUUUCCAUAUUCAUGUAAGUGAUAAAGUGAACUUCUACUUUCUUGAGUUCAUCUUCCAUCAUCUCAUCUGACUUCGGACAAUAUGGUAGGUGGGUGAAGAUUGAAGAAUAAUCUAUUUCCUAAAUACCAUGGGCUAGGCCCAAUAACAUAAUAAAUCCAUCCAUUAAUCCAAUAAAUAAUAAUCCAUUGUUUUUAGAUAAUAUUGUAAAUAAGUAAUUAUAUUUAUUCGGUCAUAACCUAAGCUGAUUUAAAAACCUAAUUGAAAAUGAUGUUAAAAAUAAAUAAAUAAAUCGAUAUUUAGAUUGAUGGAUUGUAAAGAACGAGAAGCACAUCAGAAGAUUUUUAGUUUAUGGACGGAUGACGGUUAGCGAUUUAUGGUUGUAGAAGCUGUUAUGGAUUGAAAUAAUUGAAUGGUAGUUGUAUCAUUCAUGUGGUCCCAUUAACUUGACCAUAAUCAUAUUAAAACAAGAACAUAGAUAGAAAAAUAAAUCUUAUCUUAUCAGAUAGUAUGUUAUCCAUAUUCUUGUAGUGUCUUCCACGUAAACGCUACGUACUUCAACUGAUCCACUUCCACAGUUCCACAGUUGCACCAGCACUACACAAAUCCAAACGAGUUCCCUUUCCCGGUUCCUAUUGACAUCGCCUUCAUUUCAUUUUUCAUACUUUUGCUCCACACAGUGAAACAGAUUAGAUCACGUUAACCAAAGAGGCGUAGAGGAACAUCACUCGCUAAAAUCUUAGUAAUAGCCAAUAGCCAUGUCGCGUACUCACGUGUCUGAUUUUAAAAUAUUUCGCGAACGAUUUAAUUAAUCUCGGUGAUGGUGCGUUGACGAAGUAGAUAAACUCGAACCCUUCGUUCGAGGCCGGAAGUGAUGAUCUAUACCAUGUUCAUAUUAUUAUCGAAGAAAAUGUGGCGAUAAUCGGUUGCUUCGGCUCGUGACUCGGAUUUUCACAUCUGGUUCGGCACCUCUUUUUAUUCUUUCCGAAACCACCCACUCUAUUUUUAACUUUCUACUUUAAUUUCUUUUGUUCGUCAGCACAAUUUUUUCCACUUCCUGAUUUCAUCGGAGGUGAGACUGAUCCUUCACCGUCCGUGUUGUUGUUGAUUAUGAUGACGAUGAUACCGUUUUUAAAGGUUUUUCGUUAUUUUUCUUCUUCUUCUUUUCGAGUUUUGAUUAUGUUCUUCUGUUCGGGUUCGUUUGAUUUGAUGAUCAGUGGAACGCUUUUUCCUCUUCUAGAUUUUAUUAUUAUUUCGUAGCAGUAUGUAUUGAUUGGUUUUUGGGGUGACCGAUUUAUUAAGAUACAGUGAGUGAAUCCGUAAAUGAUCGAUUUCUAUCUUUUCUGCUGAGGAGAAACCGUAGACUCCUUGAUUGUCUUACCUCAAAAAAAUAUAGAUUCCUUAUUGAAAAGAAGAAUCUUACGUUUUUUUCUUCCAUCUUUAUGUUUUAUCUUCGAUUUUUUAAGUCAUUUUUUAUACUGAGCGAUUGCUUAAAUUGGAUGUAUCAUACUAACUGAUUAUUUUUUCCCUUGACUUCCUCAUGAUAAUCUAGAAAAGAAGUUUUCUAUUAAUCUAGCACGACCUGGGAAAAUUCAACUUCCAUGGGGGGUGCUUGCUCAAGGAAUAAGGUUCACUUGAUUAAUGAAGAUGCAGCAGCUAAAGGUAGAACUGGGAAAUAUUACAAGAAUGGAAGUUCUAAGUGGUUAUUGCGGUCUCUCAGUAGUUCUUCUAGCAUUCGACAAAAGGAACUAGGCAAAUAUCCAUCUCUUAUGGAACUAUGCAUUCGCAAAGUUUGCGAGGUUUCAAUGUUCAUCCAACUGACAACUUUUUUUGCCUUUAAUUAAAGUUAAUUUAGUUGUUUGAUUUUGCUAGCUAUGUUGUAUUUGCAGGAUAUUAGGAAUUAUUGUUGUUUUUCAAUGCUCCCGAGGGAUAUAAGCCAGCAAAUAUUCAAUAGAUUGAUCGAAUCUUAUCGCCUUACUGAUGACAUUCUUGAAGCAUUUGCAGAUUGUGCUAUUCAGGUAAUAUCAUAAUGAUAAUUUGAUGGGGAACAACUCAAUAAUCAACAUUACCAGAAAAUGUGUCAUUUAGUUGUAGUAGAUGAAGGUUAAAAUUAAGAUAUAAAAUGAUGAUAUCACCAGAUUUAUUUAGAAGGAAAGAUAAUAAGAUAAGAGACAAAAUGAGAUACUCGUGAAGCACCAAGAGGCCUGGAAGAGUUGAUGAAAAAUACCACUACGGGGAGGUCCUGUGGGGAUAAACAAUCACGACAAAAUGAAAUACUCGUAAAGCACCAGGAGGCCUGGAAAAGUUGAUGAAAAAUAUUACCACGGGAAAGUCCCGUGGGGAUGAAAAAUCAACAUUUGAAACUUGAAAGUUGGAAUCCAUCAAGAAAAAUAUGGACAGCCAAAAGAGUAAUUAUCUUGAAAAUUAUCAAAAUGUGAGAUGCUUUCUCCAUAUUAUGUACCACCUAUUUAUAGUAGGAGGCAAGACUCCUUGCUAUUAAUUAUGGGAUUUUGGGUUUUUGAUCUUCCCUGCCUCCACUGUUCAAGUUCAAUGUAACAAGUCUUGGACUUUCCAAAUGUCUACAUCAUAAUUGCACAUAUCAAUUAGAGUUUUGCCUUAAAUUGAUUACUAGGAAGUUUGUCUAUCUAUGUUUUUCAUCCUUUUAAAUUUUGUGUAAAUUUUCAUUAGUAAAUUUACAUGGCUAUGCAGUGCAGCGCAGUUAAGUGCAACAUAUUGAUUAAUGAUUAGUGUUUCACUGGUUGAUUUAUCAAUAAAUCAAUACUUUGCUUAAUGGGUCAUGAUAUCUUGCCACUGAGAAAGUGAAAAAACAUAAUGGAAUAUUCGAUUUAUCUGGAAUUUACAAUGAUUUAUAUUAUUUCAUUUGGGGUUUCUGGCAGGACAUGGAUGUGGGAGAAUAUCCUGGGGUUAAAGACAAUUGGAUGCCCAUAAUUUCUUCACAAGGGACAUGCUUGCUAUCUCUUGAUAUAUCAGGUUCUGAAGUGACAGAUUCAGGGUUCUCCUUUCUUAGAGAUUGCCCAAAUCUCCAGUCUUUAUUCUUCAAUUAUUGCGACAAUCUCUCAGAUAAUGGGAUCCAUUAUUUAUCUGGUACUAUUUUGCACACUUGUAAACAUGUUUUUCUACAUUUUUCUUUGAUUAUUUUUGUAUAGAGACUUUUAUUAUUGCUCUUUUACCAUUUUUUUUUGCAAAUAUUAAAAGUUUUCAUUAAAAAUAAUGAAGGGCAAUGCCCUGAAAUACAAUUGAAUAGGAAAAUAAAAAUGCGGUGAGGUUGAUAUUGUGAUUUCCACUAUAUCGACCUUCUCCUAUGUAGAAAACUUUGUACAAUUAUUACUCUUUUACCAUUUUGCUCACAUAAAUAACUAAAUAUGAUGCUUCAAAAAAACAACUAAAUAAGCGAUUUUUCUUUGACUGUGUUUCUGUAAAAAUUUGUUUUUGAUCUCUUUCUGAUAUUUCCUUUCUCUUCCUUUUUUUGCCAUACUUGAUACCUGAGAAAAAUCAGUUUUUCAUAAUACUUAUUUCCUUCACUUUUCGAAACCAUAAGCAUUUUCCCAUGUUUACUCAUAACUUUAAAUUUAAUCAUAAAAAUACAUUUUCCUAUGUUAUUUAAAGCGCAAGGUGAUAAUUGUAUAUUAUUAUUGUAUGUAUAAUUAUAUAUUAUUAUCCAUUUAAUUUCAUGUCACUAAUUUAAUCUGAUUUCCAUCUUCUCAGGUCUUUCAAAUUUGAAAUCUUUGAGUUUUAAGAAAAGCAGUUCGGUUACUACAGAAGGUAUGAAAGCCUUCGCAAGCUUAGUGAACUUGCUAAAGUUGGAUCUUGAGAGAUGCUCUCGUAUUCACGGUGGACUUUUUUACAUUAAAGGUUUGAAUUUAUCAUGAGCCUUGGUGACUAAAUAUUUCUAUGUUUAUGCACGAUGAAAAUAUAAGGGACGCAUAAACUUCCCAGCUAUAUUUUGCAAAUUGCUCAUUAAGCACUUUACGAUCUCCUAUAUUAGAGUUUUUGUUGAAUAAAAAAAAUCGAAAAUGUUAAUUGUCUAAUUUUUGAAUAUAAGUUUCAUGAAAAAUCAUGAAAUUUUCAAGAUAAUACAUUUCAUAUUUGCACAUUUCAUUUUGACUAUUUAUCUUGUACUUUCAUGCAGUUUUUCAAAAUACACCCUAUUAAGUAUUAAUCACUAUUGCUAUUACAGCCACACUACCACAUCCUUUCAUCCAGACAACCUAUACUCAACAUUUACAGACCCCAAUCACCUUGACCUCGACAUCACACCAAAAUAUAUCCGUUGCACACAACGGAUAUGUAUAAUGAGGGACUCACACCCAGAACCAGUUAACAAAUAGACCGUAAACAUUUUUACACAAUCAAGGUGCUUCCCAUCACGAAGAACCAGAUCACAGCUGCAGGACGAUCGUCAUUCAGCAACCAUUCACGGCAAUCAUCAAUGAAGGGAAGAUGGAUAAACUCAGCUUCACCUUCAACAGCACACUCACUGGACUCAACGGUGAUAUGCAUCCACACAUCGGUGGGUGCAUAUCACCGCACUCGUACUCACUCAUUUAACUUAGAUCAUCUAUUUGCUUUCAGUAUUAUAGUUUACUUAACGCAUGUAGCAUAUAAUAGCUUCCUUUUCAAUAAGAUUAGCAAUGUAAUAGACAUGAUUCAUUUGCUAAUUAAGUGUCCAAGCACCUACUUUUCCACACAGUUGAUUUGACAAUUUUGCAUUGGAAAGAUUUCCUUUUUUAUUUUCAAGGGGGAAUCCCAAUCUUGCUGUUUUUGAUGUUUUGUGAAUCGGUGUCGAGAAAUGAAAUUCAAGUUUUAUUUUUACAGAUCUAAAAACACUCCAAUCUCUCAACAUCAGAUGCUGCAAUUGUGUUACCGAUACUGACAUGGAACCCCUUUCAGGUUGGUUUAUUUCAUACCAUUAAAACCUUAAAUAUUUGGUGUGGCACACAUAUUCAGUAGUAAAAUGAUUCAUGACAUUUUGGAUUCAGUUUUUUUUGGUAUUGAUUAUAACAUUUUACCUUGUCUCCACUCUUCAGGUCUUAUAAACUUAAAGGAGUUGCAAAUAUCUUAUAAUAGAGUGACUGAUAAUGGUAUUGCUCAACUUAAAGGUAUGUAUCAUUAAGUUUUUAAAAAAAGAGAGGAAACUUUUCCUAGAGGGGUAAAACCUGAGUGACAUCUAAGGUCCACCUAAUAUAACAGUCGGUGACUUCAAAGUGGGUAGGUACUAGGUACUCAUUGGGGUUAAAACUCAUAACCUAAUGCAAACUUUUAUUGUCAUAAAAUCACUUGAGAUUUCCCUUUUUAGUUUGUAUUAUCAAGUUUCUUUUAUUUGUUAAUUCCUUUAAAUAUGGCGUUUCUAUAUUGUAUCAUUGUUCCUCAGGUUUGUAUAAAUUGGAGUUGCUUAAUCUGGAAGGUUGCCCUGUUACUGCUGCUUGUUUGGGAUCAAUUUCAGGUUUUAAAUAAGCAUUGCUUGGAAUACAUAUUACCUUGAUUGUUUUAUAUAAGCAUUUCAGGUUUUCACAAAUAUUUUUUUUACAUUUUUAGAAUUUCCACUUUUAACAUAUCGUAUAGUACGAGUUAGGUUGUCGGAACUCAGAAUCAGGAACAAUGACUAGAGUUUGUGAUGAGGAGGGUGAAAAUUGGCAAUUGUCUUAAGGUUGCACCUGAGAGAUGAUAGGAAUAUAGGAUCAUAUUAAGUAACUACAACACUCAAGAAAGGGCCAUAAGAACCAGAUUGGUCUUCUAUAUCCAAUUGCAAUGCUUCGGCGAUAUGAUCCAUGAAGUCACAUGCAGCAAAAACGUCAAGGAUCUAUUUCCUUCAACAGAUGUACUUCUGCCGACCAAUGUGCUCAUGGAACCUGGAAGUAAUAUCGAAUGACAUCAGAUUGGAUACGAGGUGGUUCGUCUGUGCAGAAGUGUUUUCUUCAUCUUUGAUCAAUGAUGCAUCUGAUUGAGAACUGGAAGGGAUGAUUGAUAUCCCUUAUGACUUCUUUCAGUACUGUUUUUGGGGGGUCUGAGUGGGUAUUGCUUUAACUACAUAUUUCUCUUGAUCCAGAUGUGCCAAGGUCCUUAUUAUGGUUAUUAUCUUCUAAUCAUAAAUUAACUUAAACUAUCUUAAUGAUGGAUUUUCGACCGUGUUUUAUUCCUGUCCUCUCCUUGUGGGGGGGGGUUGCAUAUUAAAACAUACUCUGUAUAGGGAUCUUGGGAAUUAGCUGCUAAUGGGCCUUGCAAACUAGUUUGCUAUGGGUAUAUUGAGCAUGUUCGGUCUGAGUGUUACGGAAUUAGGGUUCGACCAAUGUUACUGGUUGACUCCUUUUAAAGUUACUAGUUUUACCUCAGAAAAUACAAUGUUGAGUUUUUCCUUUUAAAGUUAUGCAUGCAUGUAGACCUCUCAAAGUUCUAACCUUAAAUUUGUCAUCUUCCAAUAUAACUGCAUGAAUCCACUAUCUGCAAUCCAAGAUUGUCAUUUUCUGUGGGGAAAAAGAACAAAACUGUGUCAUUUUUAUUAGAUGUGUUUUUUUGUUACUGUAUUAAAUUUGGUGCCUGUAAAUGUAAUUGCCUCAGAUUUUAAUUGUCUAAGUCAAGAUAUGUUCAUCAGCUUCAUUAUACCUGACAAUUCACAUUACUAUCAUUAUGUAAUUCAAAUUAUAUAUGAAUUAUUAUUAAUAUACAUUUGACUACAUUAUGGGGCCUCAACAUAAUAUUUUUAUUCAAUUAUAGUGGCUUAUAGAAAAUUUAUUACAUGCUUAUAUCUGUUUUUAUCAUUAUUAUAUAUUAAAAAAUUAACCUCUAAUUUUAUAUAAUUAGAAAAUCAUUUGGGAGAUAUCAUCUAAGAUAUUGAUCUUUACACUCUUUAAUGAAAGUGAUGUAGGCCACUACAGUGAACUAGUAGGUCUUUGGCUCGAAUCAAUUUGAACCAUGGGUCUGGCCAUCUAAUUUUUCUGGACUAUACUCUCAUUGUGGACUGUCCACUUCCCCACAAUGAGAGUAUGAAGCAAAAGUGGACACAUGGGAAAAACACCUUUUGGAUUUUUAUUAACUACAUUGAAGUAAUUCCUUAUGGAGUUGAUACUCUUUAAUGGAAGAAAAAAAACUAGGGUCCAACAUCUACACUAGCAAGUUUAAAUUUAUUUAUGAUGAAUUUAUUUUUUAGAUGACAAUAUGAUACAAAUCUAUUUCCAUUUUAGUAAUUUCUUAUUUGUGAUUUAGAUUUGGAAGUUGCCUCUUUCUUGCAGGACUUCGUGCUCUUAUGUAUUUGAAUCUUAAUCACUGUAUGAUUGCAGAUGAAGGAUGUCAAAAUUUAACAAGUGAGUGAUGUUAAAUAUGAAGUUGGUAUUAGUAAUUCCUCAUCUAUGUAUUAUUUUUUUUAUAACGUGUGGCCAUACAAGGUUUUCUUCUGUCUUCUAUGAAAGUUUUAUAUACUUAAUCUUCCUUGUAUAACUUGUCACAAAUAAAUAGAUGGUAAGUUUAAAAAAGAUUUUUUUUUGCAAGAAAUAAAGGUAAAGGAAAAUGCCCUGUACAACAGGUGAAAAUAGAAAAAAAAAUAGGAAAUGUGCUGAAACCCAUUGACACUUUCCUAUCCAACUGUAGCUUUGCCUCAGGUGGUCGGUCUCCCAAACCUACAUAGUAGUCUUCUCUGAUUGUGAGCCACAACUCUUCUUAAAGAUCUCCUGUCUAAAAGAAAGGGUAGUCUCUUAUAUUUUCAUGGAAUAAUAAUUCUGUAGGCCUUAGAGUAUGCUGCUUUUGUUUUAAAGUAAACAUCUUGAUUCCAACAAAAAUGUGCAUAUUAACUGCCCUACAGGUUAAACACACUGUUGUAAUAGAAAUCACUUGGAAUGAAUUAUUCACAUAAAAACGUCACCCUUUAGAAUGAUUGACUUUAAAUCAAAUAAUUUAAAUCUAUCUUGUUUUCUUUGUAGGUUUUCUAAAUUUGAGGGUGUUGAAUUUGGGCUUUAAUGACAUCACAGAUGCAAGUUUGGUAUAUAUUAAAGGCAAUCAUCCCUCACCUUUGCAUUUCUGCUUUCUUUCCUACAUUGAGGAAUUCUUAUCAAGUCAUUUAAGUUGAUCUGAAUAAUUUUUUAAUGGUUUUAUAGGUUUGACCAAUUUGGAGAGUUUGAAUUUAGAUUCUUGUGUAAUAUCUGAUGAAGGUCUCAAAAAUCUGAAUGGUAAUUUUUUUUUUACAAAAAGCAAUUUUUUUAUUUAUAUAAAUUCAGUAAAACUGACAACAUUAGAUACGUAAUUGAAAAGAAAAUUCAAAGAAAUGCUAAUUAUAUACAAAUACAAAUCCAUAGAAAUACAAAAUCCUAGUCAAGUCUACUAAAAAAUACUGCCUUAGCUCACCGGAGCUGGAGCUGGAUCUGGAGCUUGCCGAAGGCUACCUGAGGUGGCCAGACAGAGUAGAAAGAAAAUUGUGAUUUCAGAAAGUGGGUGGUUCUGAAAUCACGAUUUUAGGGCACCUCCUAUUUUUUUUAACAUUCAUCCGGGUUCGGAACCGUCUAAGCGUGUGUAUUAGGAACCAUGGAUGCAAUCGAAAAUAACUCUGCAAUCUGAUUGUAAUCUCUCCCAAAUUACCUACUAAUUCUUCUCAGUCCUUGUGGAUUCAUUUACACUUUCCCUUCCCAAUCCAGCCAAAAGUCCACUAAAAUAUGUUUUGUUUAUUGAUUCGUCGGAUAAUGACGGACCUAGGUAUCUACAAAGUAGUUCACCUUGUUGGAAACCAUACAUUCAGGAAACUAAUUAGGUUUUUGCAGCUACCUUAAAGGUAGAUGAUUCACUUGAGAGGACGUUCAGACCAGUGAAUUUUCUUAGGUUUUCUAGGGUCACUUGAAUAGUUAGUUAUUUGCAAGAUUUUAAAUGUGUGUUGUACAUCAGAAACCAGCGCACUAAUAUUUAGUCACGCUUCAGGUGUCAGUGGUAUUUUAGUAAUUAUGUAAUAAUAUUGUAUAUUACUUUAUUUUUGAAUUCUAAUGUGCAUAAUUUCUUUUUUAUUCUUUUGUUUUUGUGUAAUCUCAAUUCAGAUCUUCUGUGUUUGAAAACCUUGGAGUUGUCGGAUACUGAAAUAGUAGGGAGUGGUCUUCCUCAUCUCUCUGGUUUGUUAUUGUCAACCGAUAUAAUGUCUCUCAUUUUUUUAAUUUGGUAUUCUAAUAUCUGUAUUGGAUCAGUCAUGCUACAAUCAUCUUUUUUAUUUUCUUAUUCAUAUACGUUGUUAACUUUCAAUUUUAAUCAGUAAUAUCUCAUAUUUAUAUUUUUCCUUUUAGCAUAUUUUCAAGUUAUUUUUUCAAUAUUUUGAUUACCUUAAGUUUUUAAAUAGUCUAAUGUACUCACUGUCUCACCCAUGACUAUUAUCGUGAGUGUAAGAGGUUAGUAAGUUUAAUCUCAUUGAUAGUUUGCACUCCGUUGAUUGUCCAUUCAUAUAUUAGGUGGAGCUCAUCCCUAUGGUAAGUCACAGAAGUGUCAAUAAUUUCUAUAUUAUGUGACUGGAUAUUUUUUGUAUUUUAUAAGUCAUUUGGUAUUUUUUCUUUUAGAUCCAUUCGUUCAAUUACAAAUGAAAGUUUUUUGAGACAAAUCUUUUAUUCCUUUUUUUGCUGAAUCUGGAUUUAUCGUAUUUUGUUGCUUUAAAUUAAUUUGCAGGUUUAACAAGGCUAGAGAGUAUAAACCUCUCGUUUACUCAGAUCAGUGACCAUAGUCUAAGGCAUCUAUCUGGAUUAACAUCUCUACGAUCUUUAAAUCUGGAUUCACGUAAAAUUACAGAUGCGGGACUUUCAACACUUACUUGUAAGUAUUAAGUUUUUAUUUGUUUAUUAUUUCUAUGAUCGUCGAGUGAAAUUAAAAAUACAAGUUGAGUGAUACUAGAGUGUAGAAUGACCUGAGUAAUGAAACAAUGCAUGUUUUAAUAUGGAGCAAUAUUUCAUACAUUAAGCUUGGUUGAGUUUCUUAGGUCAGUUGUGUUAGGAUAAUCUUGAUUUAGGGUUUAUUUUUGAUAAUGGAGAGUACCUGUCCACAAGUAAAAAUGCCUACUACGACUGAUAUACCCGAGUCACAUAAUAUAUCACUGUUUACAUCGCUCUACCUUCGGGUGAUAUACCAGAGCCACAUAAUAUAUCACUGGUUGCAUCGUAGUGAAAAUUUAAUGAAAAUUACGUAUACAACGAGAUUCGAACCUUAGACCCUUAUAAACCUUAAUAGUUACCGUAACCAAUUGAGUUGAUCUCUUUGUGUCUUGAUUUAGGGUUUAGUAUAAUUUUCGCUUGAAUAUUGAAAAAUCACAUUGUGUAUUUAAUUAUUUAUAUUGAAUGAUUGAUGCAGGUCUUACCAGAUUAACUCAUCUAGAUCUUUUUGGAGCCCGUAUCACAGACACUGGGACUAGCUGUUUCCGACGUCAGUUAUCUGUUUUAAUAUUAUUUAUUUUUGCUCAGACUAUUAUAGCUCAUCUAUUAUUUCAUUUACUUUUUAAACAUUGGCAGACCUAAAGAAGCUCCGAUCGCUUGAAGUGUGUGGAGGAUCGCUUACUGAUGUUGGUGUGAUGAACAUUAAGGAUCUCGCAUCCUUGAUUUUUUUGAAUCUUUCACAGAAUUGCCAUCUCACAGACAAGACAUUGGAAUUAAUUUCCGGUAAUCCGUAAUCUCUCGUCUCUGUGAAGGCGGCAUAGUGGACAGAAGUUAUCUUAAUCAAUUUUGAUGUUUGAAUCUUCCCAUUGCAGGAUUGACUGAUCUGGUUUCUCUGAAUGUAUCAAACUCACGUAUAACCAAUGAUGGGCUGCAGCACCUUAGAAAUUUAAAGAAGUUGAGAUCGCUCUCUCUUGAAUCUUGCAAAGUCACUGCAACAGAGUUAAAGAAGCUUCAGUUGUCUGCCCUUCCUAAUAUUGUAAACGUGCGACCAGAGUAGGGUGGGUAUUUUAAUGAUGAAGGUUGGUCAAAUCUCAUUUUAUGUAUAUAAAUGUAAAUUAUGUGGUGUGGUGGUUUUUAAGAAAAAUAAAAGUUUAAAGAGUGCUACAAAUUAAUAUUAAUAGCUCAAGAUAUUUAAAUAAUGAUUCAUGUAAUAUUUUUAAAUAAUGUGUAUAUAUGGAAAAUACGAAACAGUUUUGAGUACUUUAAAAGGUAGGGUGUUAAACGGAGAAAGAAGUAGUUUGUGAAGAGGAAAGAUGGGGUGUAUGAGAAGAAGAAGAGAUUCAUGAUGAAAACAAGGAAGAAGAGGUUCCUGAGAAGAAAGAAGCUGAAGAUAAAUGGAAAAUGAAGAAGAAGCUGAAGUUAAUGAUGCAGAUAUUGGAAGCAUCGAUUGGUAGAGGGGAAAGAAAAUAAAGAUAAAUGGAAAAUGGGUUUUGAUAUUGGAUACAAGGAAGAAAUAAACGAUAACAGAGUAAGUGUUCAGAGAGGAGAUAAAAAGGAAAAAAAUGGAUAUGAUGACGUGAUGUUGAUAUUGACUAAAAAAAAUGUAAGAUUUAAAUGAAACGCUCGAUUAUAAAUUGUGAGAUAAAAACCGUAUAUUAGUCUUAAAAAGGUAUUAAUCUUUUCUGAUAAUUAUUGUAUACAUUUUCUCUGUCUUGUACUCUUCAUUCUUGUCAUUCAUUAUCAUUAAUGAAAACUUUUACUGUUUCAAAAAAUAAUUAAGUUAAGAACAUCGUCAUUGUAGUAUAAAACAAAAAAAAAACAGCCAGAUAAAACACAUCAAUUUUUUCUUUUUACAAAAUUAAGUUAUUUGGAUGUAAAGUUACCAACUAUCGACAGAACAUACAUACUCUAACAAAUAGUCUUAAUUUUAACACAAUAAAUACUAGGGUAUGUAUUUAAUAUUAGGCCUACAUGGAAGAAACUUUGAAACCUAACGGCAUUUCAUAACAAGGAAUGACAAUUAGACUUUAAUGCUAUAAUGAAUUCCUUACAGCAAAAAUAACUGCUGGUUUUUCUGCAAAUGGGGGAGCAGCCAUCCGAGCAUAACCAUAAUCAGUCAAAGUAAAAUGAGGAAAAAAUAUUAAGAUGGAGAAAAAAAGAUGAACUUUGCACUUUGAAUCAUCUUCCAUUCUACUAUCUCUGUGGUUGAUCUGAACCUGAAUUUCCAGCGGGGGUUGCAGUGGACAUACUACUUGCUGAUCCAUUCUCAGAAGGUUGAGGAACACCCCAUUUUCCCUCUGAUUCAAGUGGCUCCAUAACAUGAACUGCUCCAUCUGUAAGCCCUAUUGCAAACUGACUGGGCUCUGUUGGAUGCGCUGCAAUAACCAGAGGAUAUACUGACGUGCUACAAGAACCAACAAAGAUGUUAGCAAAAAAUAACCUUUUCCGAAUUUAAGUUGGAUGGUAAACAAGAAUACCUAAAAUUAGCAGGUGAAUAAGCAGCAGGAUUUAUCCGGCAUCGCAAUCUGAGGUUUGAGGCAUUGAAUAUGCAAAUUGAAGCAUCCGUGAAGCUAGCAUAUACAAGCUGACUGUCGCAAGAAAAUGUAGCAUGGGAUAUAGAAGGAGAGGAUUCCCGACAUACCCACUAAAACAUUUUAAAAAAUGAGUCAGAAGAAAAUAAACUUAAAAGCCAGCAUACGAUGUUCUCACAAUCCAAGCAUGGGAGGAAUACCUGUUUCACACAUUCCAAUUUCAUGGUUUCAUAUAUUGCAAGCUGGGUUUCAUGCACGGCUAGGAAAUGCAUCUGGUCCUGAUGAAAUUGCACACGUGUCUCUGAAACUGUUGCAGGUGUGCGCCCAGCAGGAAUCUGCAAAAAUCUGUUCUUUUGUUUUUCCCAUCCAUCUGUACCCCAGACAAAAAGCUGCAGUGUGUACGGACAAUCAUGAGUCAGAUAAUAGUACUGUUUAAAAGAUCAUACAAAAACGUUAAGAACACUUCUUUUUUGGUAAUAGGCCAGAAAUUAGUUAAGAAAAUAUACCAGAAAGCAUAAAUAAGAAAUUACUUAAGUAAAAUGAUUCAAAGUUUGGUUAUGUGCUGAUUUCGUCAUCAAGUGGUGACGAUUUCCUCCUUUGCGAGCCUGGUUUGAUUGAUGAUCGGGGUCGUUGCACUCCAACUCGACAUUGCCUCCAAUGACCUUCUAUGAACUGCCUUGAAUUUCUCGGGCUUGAAGAGUGUUUCUACAUCUUGAAGCAUCCUUGCUUGUAUAGUUGUAUCACAUUUGGGGGUCUUGAUUUGCCUUCCUUCCAUCUUGCAUUUCUUCUCCGACCAUAGGUACCAUGGAAUUCACUAAGGUAUAUACCGUAUCCCCCCCCCGAAACAAGAAGAAUUCCCAUGAAUUCGGGUUGAGAAAGUCAUUCAAAAUAAUUUAGAAUUGAGGACAGUCUUCCGAUUUCCACAACCCAAGAUACAACACGGGGAGAAUUCGCAUGUAAACCUAAGGAAGACAGACAGCUAUUUUCAGAUGUCAAGUCAAUCAGAACCCAGAACCAAAGGUGGUUAUGGAAUCACUGUUGAUUAGAGGCAGGUCUGCAGGACAUUUGCUAAUUCCAGAACAUUUUUGUACUUUUUCCUAGUAACAAAAACAUAUAAUUCAACCAUUGUAGUGGCCAGAGAAGAGGGUGCAAAAUGUCUCUGGCUAUUUUUCUUCUAGUGCAGAGGAAAAAUGAGUCUUCUGUAAUCUUCUAUUUAUUAGAUGUAAUUUGUGCAUAAAAAGGUAAGUAAAACAUUGCAUAAAAUAACACAAACCUGAGAAUCAGCCCCUGAUGAGACUAGCACGUUCAAUACAUUUGAGAAAGCAAGACCAGUGAUUUUUUUCGAGUGACCUCUGAGUUUGCUCUUAACCUGAAUAGAUAAGAAGAAAUUAUUUUGAUGGGUGUUCAUCAGAAAGAUGUGAUAAAUAUUUGUUUAGUUUUAGAAAAUAGUAAAUAUUCCACAUGCCUCAUCAACUCGAACAUUAUAUAUUUGGAUUGUUGAAUCAUCCAUGCCUAUAGCAAUUAUAUUAUUAUCUUGUGGAUGGAAAGCAAGAAAUGUUGCCGCUGGUGGUGAAGGCAUAAAAGUUGUCAUGGUCUGCAGUUAGCAAAAUAUAAAGGAAAAAUUAUGAAUCUUGAAACAAUAUAUGAAAUAAGUCAAUGACGUAAUCAAAUAUUAUCAAAUGGCAAACACUAAAUAAUACCUUAAAUGUCAUCAUGUUGAACAAAGAAAUUUUUCCUCCUGAUGCGGACAUAACAUAAGAAUCAUUCUUUGAUAGGGCAAAGCAUGACACUGCUUCUUCAGAAUUUAUGUCUACAAUGUCAUUUGUCAUCAUUAUGCCGCUAGGCGGUUGCCACAUUUGAGGGGAGACGUUUGUUGUUGCCUGAAAUAUUUAUUAGUGUUAUAAUAAUAAGUUUAUAGCAAAGUGAUAGAGUAACAAGGUAUUUCAGCGAACUGUGCUAUAGACAUAUAUAAUGAAAGGAAGCAAUACAUGGUCAGAUAUUGAUGUUUAACAAUAAUACCAUUUACCUUUCCAAUUGAAUUUCGAUCACUACGUGGCCAUUUCCAGAGCAUAUGAAUUGCAUUUGAUGCCAAAGCCAGCAAUGCAAUACCAGAAUUGGUAUAAAUUAAUCUUGAAAUCUGUAAAAUUGACAAUAAACUCAGUUCAGACAUCAGAUAAUGUAUUGGAAAUUUUUGAAUCAAGGAUGGAGAUAAUUGCAAAUAUUGGAAUUAUUUUAUUUGAAAAUACAAAUUAUUAUCAUACCUUGCUUGAUCUCAAGUUAUCACCAAGUCUCAGUGAUCGACAUUGAGCUGGUUCAUUUAUUUCAGUAAGUUUCCAGAUCUUUGAUUUAUCCAUCGACUCGUCAAUUAUUCUUGGUUUAACGUCUACUAAACUUCUUGUUUCCCCAUUCUAGAGUUAAAUGAUUUCAGAUAACAGAAUUCAUUAUUAUACUGCUAUUAUUCAAUAACCAUCAUGCCAUCAAUUACAGGGAAGAAAAACAGGAAAAUGAUGUAAAUAAUAUAAAUACGAACCAUGGCAGAAAUAGGCAUUGAAGGGACCAUUCCAGUACUGGUUGUAGCAGCAACAGAUGGCAUUGGGCUUAUUAUUGGCUGCACAUACAAACAAGGUCAAUGAUACAUCUUAUAAUACUUGUCUUUUAGGAAAAAGAAAAUCGAUAAAGACCUUUGUAAGUGACUCAGAAACAUUCUUUGAGGAAUCAUAUGAACGAUUUUCCAGUGCACGAAGCAACCGAAGUCCAUCAGAAUUGCAUAAUAUCUUUAUUCCACCUUCAUUAGUGGAGACAGCCAAAAGUGUACCUUCCUUGUUGAAACGGAUCCGUGGGCUUGCCUAAUCAGAUUAAAAAGAAAUUCAAACAGUUCAAGAUAAAUGCUUUUCUUUUAGUUUUAAAUCAACUAACUUAUCAAUGAAAUUUUACCUGUAAGCCACCUUCAGCAUCAAUUGUAGUUAAAAGAUUGACAUUAUCCAUAUCCCAAAAUUUUAUUACAAAUUCAUCACCGGCUGCCAGGAAUCGAUUCUUGGUAGUAUCAAACUGAACAACACCCAUUGAACGUUUUCGGAAGCCCUGGUAGGUUCUUUUCACAGCUCCUUCACUUUCAUUCCAUUCUACAAUGUAUGAAUCGCCUUCUUUGCUGGUCCCACAAGAAAAUAAUCUGCACAAAUAAAGAAAUACAGUGAGAAUUUAUAUGGUUAAAAAAUGUAUGGUUUCUACUACAAAGGUAAAAUCACACCCAAACAUUGACCUGGUACCAUCAGCGCUGUAAGCCAUUGUCGUGCACCAAUGACCUGGGGCGUCAUAGUCAACUCUAGAUCCUUGAUUAUCGUAUAGCCAUGCUUUUAUUUUACCAUCUAAUGCUGUAGAGAAUAUAAACUGCACAGGGAGAUAGGAAAUUGAGGAAAAUAUCAUCUUUCAUUGUCAAGGAAGAGUAGAUAUAAUAUAAAAAUAUAGAUGCAUGACUGCAUGUAUUAGUGACAUUAUUACCUGAAUAUUUUCCUUGUAAUGAGGGCACACAGAAUAAACAGCUGCUUCAUGCCCUUCAAAAGUAAAUUGCAGUGUGCCAUGUAUUGCAUCCCACACCUGAUUUAUAUAAAAAUAUAGCGAUGAUUAUUUGUGUAUGACAACUACUGAUGGAGAUCUAAGAAUUCAGACAGACCUUAAUGGUUUUGUCAUCUCCACAUGUUAUCACGGAAAGUUGCUUAUUAGGGAGAGAGAAUGCAAGGUCAUUGACGCCACCAACAUGGGCAUCAAUCUGAGAUAUAUUCCAAAUUCCAAAAAUAACAGAAUUCAAAAUGCAUAAGACAGAAUUGAUAAAAGGUUAAAAAGUAGGGAUGUAGUAUUGAUGUUCUCCUCACCUCCAAGUGGUGCUUCAGGUCAUCACCACCAUUAAAGGAAUAUAUCUGGAUAAUAUGCCGUGAAUAUGCCACUCCUGUAGCAAUGAAAAAUGAGUGUUAAGACUCAUUUAUUUUAAUCCAUGACUUUGUUGCUACAGAACUAUAGAAAAUUACCAAACAAAGAGCCAUCUGGACACCAUAUAAUACGGUUGACUGAUACCCCUGGCUCUUUAACUAGUGAUGUCUGCAGUGUAUAAAAGAUAAUUUUAGAUUAUUAAGUUUCUAUAAGAGAAUAUAUCCAAUCUACCAUUUUGCUUAUUUAUAAGAAGUAACCUGAAGAGAUGCAGAACAUUGACUAAUUUCCCAGACCUUGAAAUUCUUCAAAACCAACCUCUCUCGGCUACCAACAUCCCAGAGUGCAAUAUCUCCAAUGUCCGUACCAACUAAACAAUCAUGGCAUUGCAUAAACAUGUUAGUUAUCGAGAAGUGUAUUAAAAAUAUGACAAAACAAGGAUGAAAACAUAAUAAAAAAGAGGCUGACCAAGUAAUACAGUUUGCUGAAUGGGAUGAAAAUCCAUGCUCAUUAUAUUUGACCCCUGAAUCAAUGUCCUUGCUACAGUUUUGGGCAAGUCAUCUGAGUUGUACAUUAAUUGAUUAUGAUUCUGGCCUGGAUACGUAGCUGCCAUUAUAUUAACGGGUAAAUUUACCUGAAAAUAAAAAUGAUAUAUCAUGUAGAGCCACUGAGUCAGUAAAAAAUUUGUCGAAAAUACCACAUGUGACAGUACCAUAACAAAUAUUACAUAAGCCUGCAUUUAAUUCAAUUCAUUCUAAUCCAACCUACCUCAUUAGAAAUCCCAUGGGGUCUUGUCCUUUUCGAUAUAUGAUCAGAAUCAGCUGAUUGAUAGUCUACAGAAGGAUUGCCUGUUGAUGCCCUGGGAUGCUUCAAAAGUGGAGCUGCAUUAAAGCGGAUAACAAUAAAUACCCAGAAAAAAAUAUUGAAUUUAUCAUAGUCGAUGUUUUUCUAGAUGCAGCAGAGUAUAUAAAUUACACUGAGAUGUAGCAGCAUUGAGUCCAAUAGUUGCACCAGAAACAGCAGGAUGUGUGAUUGUUGAUGGAUUCGACAUCCAACCAGCUAAGGGUGCAGGGACUCCGGUGGGUUGAAAAGGCUGUAUUUAAGAAUUGAUAAUUUUAUCUUGUCAUAUUAAAUGAUUUGUGGAGAAAAACAACUUGAAGAAAAAGUUUUUGUAUGAUUUACCCCAUGUGCACCUAGUGGAGGGAAACCACCAGGCUUUGGCAUAGUUCCUAGCAAUGGAUUAUUAAUUGGUGGUGGGACAUGGGCACCAUUUUGUUGUCCACAAGAAUGAUCAACAAACAGAGUUUUAAUAUCUGGAUUAGGUCUUGGAUUUUUGCAAAGUUGAUGCUGCCAAUUUAAGCUGUUAAAUGACAAAGUAGACAAAUUAAUAUAUUAGUUAAAAACGUAUACUCAACAGUCAACACAUAAAAUUUAAAUCCAAUCAUGAAAAUGUUAAGUUAAGAACUCCCAACAAGUAUCAAACAACCUUUUAUUGAACUUGAAUGUAAAACUUAUUUAUAGAGGGUAGCUCGAGUGGUGUUUCACCUACAUACGCUAAAGUUUAUAUGGGAACAAGAGUUCACCGCCCACUAGGAACAUACCACGUCGAAUUUAUUUUACCUUAUGAUUUAUUUGAUGGGCUCUGAUAUGCCCAUCAAGAGAUUUUAACCUUUUAUCACUACCUUGGAAAGGGAGAAUUUUCCUCUGCAACAAAAAAAUGGAAACCCCAAACCCUAGAUUUCUGAUAAAACGUCAAAAUUCUUAAAAAUUGACAUUUUAAAAUGGCAAACAUUUCCAUAGUUAACAUUCCAAAAUUAUGAUCAAAAUAUCUAGCAUCGCUUGUAGUGUGAUUAAACUAUAUAAACUUUAGAUUCUACUGCUAUUAAAAUUCAAGCAUAAAUAUUUUGACCAUGUUGUUGAAACAUAGGGUUAUUACGGACUAGUAGAAUCUAAAAUGUUACAUAGUGGUAUGAGAUAUCAGAACUCAUAUUAGCCAAAAUUUGUGAAAGCUAAGUGCUACACUUAAAUAGGAACGUGAAUUACCUCUGGAAUUCCACAAUGCCUUCGGAACUUCAAGUUUAAGUAUUUUGAGUUUUUGACUCAAUUGUUGAGUCUUAGGGCUAGUGGAAACUAUGAUAUUACAUCCACUAUAGGAAUGUGCAUUCAAUAAGUCAAUCUGAAUUCUGAAUAAAAAAUAUCCUUGCAAUAAAUAGGAAUAGCGAUGAUCCAGAGAUAAAAAGGAAUUACCCUUGGCUGAAUUUAUACACCAAACCCUAGAUAUCUAUAAAAAUAAUAUGGUUUUUAAGUGUGAAAACAUAUUUCUGCUUUUAUUAUCAUCUAUUGAUUUUUUUUAUAUCGAAAAUAAAUUUUAAAUUGUAGAUAGAUAUUCUUUUUAAUUAACAAUAACUUUCAUUCUUGUUUUAGAUUACCUUUGAUUGAUGAGUGUACGCAACCUGGAACUCUUGAGGUUAGGAAACUGCAACUUUUCGCGAAAAAGUGGAUUUGCUUCAAUCAACUUCUUGAGUUCGAGCAACAUGAUUGCUCUUGCCGAUUUGGUAUCCCCAUACUUGGAGAGUUGCUCAUUUUCCCUGUUUACAACAAGAGAAGCAGAGACAAUAUCAGGGAAGUAAAUUAAACUUACAGAAACACAGUAAGGAGCAAAAGAUUCGAAAAGAUACCUGAAAUUCUCAAGUGUCAAAAGAUGAGUUAUUUCUUUGAACAACUCUUCAUUAAAAGAAGCAAACACCUUUAAAUCCUUAACGAGUAUGUCAACAGCUUUGGACCGGUCAUGCCUAGAUCAAAAUGACAAGUUUAAAUCAAAAUCAAAUCAAUGCUGCUAUAGUUUAGUUAGGGUGAAAUAUUAUCAUAGUUGAGCAAAAGAUUCUUACUUAUCCAAUGAUUCGAGAUACUUCUGCUUCCUGAUUUCAAAGAAGAUCUUCAUGGAGUAGCGAUUAUCAUCCACUUUAGUAAACCCAGAAAGAUACCUCUCAACCUCAUCCCAGUUUCCAUUGUGUACUUCCUCCUCGAAAUACUUCAGGUUGAAGUAAAACCCUGAUUCCUGCUCGAGUCUGCAAUAAAUAAAACUCUUCAUAAAAAAAAGUUUCCUUGACCAACCCACACCCCUCACUGACUCGAUAAAAAUGAAUGCAGAAGAAGAAGAACCCAUUAAAACGACAACUUUACUACUUACUUAUGAACAGCUUCCUUGAACUUCUCCUCAUCAAGAAAUUGUAAAAUAAGAAACACCAGUUCCCUACUAAGUGAAGACAUCGCCAACUCCAGCUGCCUUUUAUUUUUGUAAACAGUACCCCUGUAAUAAAAAAACAUCAAAAUAAGUUAAAAGAAACUCAGAUCUCCUGGAAGAAAGAUUUUAAAAAGAGCCGCCUUUCCUUACGCCCCUGAGCAGAAGAAAAUAACCAACGAAUGAAUUAAAACAGCAAAAAUGUAUUCGAAAUCCAUCUCUUUGAAAGCAAAACAACAAUCGACAAACCAUUCUCUAAACCGCCUACCUGUUCAAACACGAGAAUCCUUGAAAAUCGCAUUUCAAGGCGAGAGAUCGAAAGAAACCUAGUUUGUGAGGAGAUCGAGAUCAAAGAGUAUAACUUUGACCAACAAAACGGACUAUCAGAUAGACAGAAACAAUAAAAAAAAUGAUAAUAGGAAGAGGAAGAAGAAAAAGGAGAAGAUAAAAAGGAAAAAAAAAAUAGUGGAAACAACCACAUCUUUUUAUCCCCCGACCGCAUCACAAAGAAACAUUCACAUCGACAAUAAAAAAAGCCCAAAUCACCAUUGCGAACUACUCUUCCCAAAUCUCACCUUGGAGACGACGAAUCCAACGACGACUAGAGAUCGGAAUAAACCAGGGGGGGAAACGAUAUUUCAGGAAAAAGAUUGUGUGUGUGUGAGAGAGAAGAGAGAGAAAGAGGAAAGGGGUAGGGUGAGGCAGUGAGAGAGAGAAAGAGACGAUACUUAUAAAUAAAAAAUGAUAAGUAAUUCUACUUAUCAAAAUAGAAAAUGGAUACGAUGAGUGAUCAAUUCGUGUAGUGUGGGGACCACAUUCGACGUGAUUAUCGUUUCGUUCCUCUCUUUAUGUCGGAGAGAUCCGAUGGAGAACAGCUAUCCUUCUAUUGCUGUGGACUGUGGUUACCUUCCUUCUUUUACCCUCUUGCCCACUUGUUUGAAAAUUAGUUAAUUUUCCAAAUUACAAUGAUAGAUUUAAAACGUCAUAUCAACGGUGAAAAUUAAAAUUUGUUAUUAGGUUUUUCGUUACUCGUUUUCACAGUUAACUAAUUAAUUGGAGAUUUUAAAAAGUGUGUAUGUAUAAGAAGAAAAAUAGAGCAAAGUGUCAAAAAAAAAAAAAAAAAUCACCGGUGAGAUUAAAGUCGGUGAACAUACUCGAACUCUUGAAGUCAUAGCCUGACAAUGCAGGUGCAGCAGUGAAAACGACAAGGAAACAAAACCAAUUAAUUUUGUAUUUAAAUAAAAAGAAAAUAAAGACGGAUGUAAAAUUACAAAAACUGCCACCACUUCACACUGCUCUUUCCCUCUCUCUUUCUAAAUUCUAAAUUCUAAUGGAGUUUUAGGAGUUGAAAAGGACGAAUAUUAUCACAUGAAUGAAUGAAUACACGAUGCGUAUCAUUCACGAAACGAGGACAACAACCGACCGUCGUGUCGCGAUAAUUAGACGAUAUUUAUAAAGUAAGAUAAUUUGUCCUUUAGCGAAGUCGGGGAUGGAUGGAUGAAGAUUAUGCACUUCCUUCGACUCUCCUAUUAAAUUCGAUUCAGAACUCAAUAAAACGAAGAGACGGCGAUAGAUUCAAGGAUUCUCGAUUUUGAAAAUUGGACUGCCAAAUCAUUUUUCAUUUAAACACACAACUAAUUAAAUAAUUAAAAUGAUAAGUACAUGGAGAUUAGAAUAUUAUUAUAUUACCCCUCCCCAUUUUCUGUUUUGGACGAUAACGUUGCAAACCAAGUCUAUCGAGUAUUCGAUCCGUUUAAAUAAACGAAUUUAUUCUUAAGUUUGAGUUCACAAACUGAAUCUGAACCGAAUAAUUCGGCGAAUACCGAAUUUUUUUACAUUAUCUUAAAAAUAAAUAUUAAAAAAAAUAAACAUUUCCAACUAUCUUUAAAAAAUAAACAAUAAAAAAAAUAUUAUUUAUAGUCUAUUUUCUUUUGUUGAGUCAAUCCUUAAUCACAACACAACCGUCUCAAUCCUAAAGUCACGGCAAGACUAAAACCCUAAAACCUAAAAAAUUAAUAUAUAUACUGAUCGCGUCCCUUUGGAAAGGUGGUUGAUCUCUAUUCCCGUAUAAUCACAAGUAUCUUACAAGUAUAUUCUAAGUGUAUUACAAGUGAUCCCCCCUUUACACUUCACCCUUAGGGGUAUUUAUACAAUUUCCUAUCGGACUCUGGGUCCUAUGCUUUCGGAUUAGGGUCCGGUAUAACGGAUCCGACAUACUUGGGACGCCAUCUUUGGGAAGUUAACCGCUCGGGCUGACGGGUCCUUCCAGUCGACCUGGUCGGGCGAGUGUUCGUGGGGCUGACGGGUCCGCCCGACCGAUUUGAACGGGUGAGUGUCCUUGGGACGACUUGGGCUUUCUUCUUUCAUUCAUCUCGCUGGGUCUUGCUUCUGGACUCCUUCGUGGGUCUGGGCUGGUAACUUGGGGGUACCAUCAGUACUCCCCCCUCUUCCUAUCCUAUAAAUAGGUUGCUUUCUUUUAUUUGAUUCACUUUCUCCUCAUUUACCAUGUCUUCUCUUGAUGAUUUGUUGCAGGAGCUGGGAUUCGAGUUGGCACGUCAGCGAGGUGUUUGGCCAGAUGAUCUUCUUCAGCACCUCUGUGACAUCGAAGAUUUUGCUGUAGGUAAUCCUCGUUUGUCUCAACUGGUCUCGGAAGUCUCGCACCGCAUUCGCGCUCUUCAGCAAGUCACCAAUGGUACCGGUGUUGUUGUUCCAGCAAUGGCAACUGUUCCCCGCAACCGUCGGCCUGCUGCUCCGUUCGGUCCUCCUGUCCCUGCUGCUGUCUUUAACGUGGCUUCUGCUCCUCCCCCCUCCCCUGGGGUUCCUGUGCCUGCUUCCACUGAGUUUUCUUCAACUGAACGCUCCAUCGCACCUGCUCCUCGUCGUCGCCGGGGACGUGGGCCGCGCGCCGGACGCUCGGGACCUCCUCCAGGCGAUCUUCGUUACUUCUUAUCUCGUGGCCCGCCUUGACGGGCUUCUUUAAUGUGUGUUUUUUUUGGGAGGCUUUGUGUCCUCCUUCCUAUUAUGUAUUUGAAUGUUUCUUUUGUUCCCUGCAGUUCCUAUGACUUCUACAAACUCAUUUGUGUCUCUCUUACGCACUGAUGUAACUUUUACCUUUAACAAUUUUCUUUUUGUACGAGUGGUUUUUUUUGAUGUGUUUAUCAAAUGUAACUACUUGUUGGUUAAGGAUCUGGCAACUUCCAAUUUUCAACUAUGAUCUUAUUUUCUCCCGGCAUUUCGACUACCAGGUUCUCUACGUCUGAUUUCCCCAUGAGCCAUUUGAGCAGGUAUUCCAGCUACUUUUUUUUAGGGUCGUGUGUCGCUUACUCUGGCGGGACUUUUUUUAUAUAUACGAUUGCUUUUCUUCAGGUAUCUUCCCUACGGCCAUUUUGCCCCACUCCCCUCGAACAUUCGAUCUGGCCCACUGUACCGUACGACCCAUCCGGUCCUUGGGUAUGAACUUCUACCUUCUAGGAAUACUUUUGAUUUCCCACCAAAAAAAUUCUUCAACGGUUGCUUCUCUCCAGGCUACUUCCCUACGGCCAUUUUGACCCCUCUCCUUCGAAUGUCCGAGCUGACUAUACUUGGAGAAAAAUGCACUUAAUCUUCCGUACGGUCCAUCCGUCCUUCGGGUAUGGAAUUUUAUUUUUUGGAAAUAUUUUUGAUUUCCCGCCAAAAGAUCUUCUAUAUAUAGUCUCUUCCCACUUCACUUAUCUUCACUUCUCUUUUUUUUUUCAGUAGGGUUUCUCUUCCGCUACUCGCCGCAUCUUCUCCCAUGGCCGAUCUCACUUCCUUCUUAGACGAUAUUUCCGAUUUCAACGGUAACUCUCUAAACUCCUCUGAAGAUCCUCCCUCCAUACUUAGUAGGCGGCGAGCCCGUCGUCAUUUCCAGGUGAUCGCUCCCUCUGUAGCGAUAGCUCAUCUUGAGAUCCCAACGAUGCUCCUGCCUCUUCGCCUCCAGACGGCUAUACUACCCUUUAUUCGGGUUUUGAGGACUUAGGGCUUCGGCUUCCCGCCUCCCCCUUCCUCUUGUCUUUUCUUUCGUAUACUGGUGUUGCUAUUUCCCAGCUUUCCCCCUCUAGUUUCGAUCGUGUUGUUUCGUUCGAGCGUUUGUGCCAUGAACUGCACUUGAAGCCCUUCGAACGUGUUUUCCGUCUGUUUUUCUUUAUCUCCCGACCCAAUUCCGCACGGCUUUUGUUUUCUUCUAGAAUAAGACAUAAACUCCUUGAUUCUUAUCCCGAUCGUUCGCAUCGGUGGAAAAGCCGUUAUUUCUUUGUAAAGAGCCACUCCGUAGGAUUGUCAGGGAUCCCUUCCAAGUGGGUAAACACUUCCUCCUUCAAUGCUGGGAACCUUUCCGUAGGGGAGCUUUCUCCGGAGGAACAUGAUGUGUACUCCCGCCUUUUAUCUGUUCGUUCAAAUCCUAUCGAUUAUUCUAGUUUGAUGACCGGGACUUGGAAAUCUGUUCACCCGCAUCUCGUCCCCUCUGGUAAUUUAUAUUUGACUUUGUUAAUUUUUCCUUUCUUUUUCAGGCGAACCUGACGGAGAAGGUUUGUCGGGCUUUUUUGCAGGAUCCGGAAAUGGUUGAUAAUGCUGGUGAUUCUUCCAACGUUCUUUCUGACGACGUCACUAAGUACAUUAACUUUUCUGAUGAUGCAAGUAACCAAAGCUUUGGGGAUCGUCUGUUUGUGACUGAACAUAUGCAAGCCCCUCGGAUUGCUGGGAUCUACGAACAAGCGCUCGGCCGAUUGGAUUCCACGGUUGAAAAGGAGGUCGACUGGGCGACCUUGGAAAAAACUGUCCUUGACGAUAUUGAUGAAGCGUGCUACAUCCGGGCUCUUCAAACCGUGGCUAUGGAGCGUCAUCGACAGAAAAGGGGGAUACAACGGACGCGUGAACUUAAUGAUGCCUUGGCUGAAAUUACUCGUUUGACCCAGGUACUUGCUUUGAAGGAUGCUGAGAUCGAGUCUUCUAGGGUGAAGAACGAGUCCCUCCGGGCAGAGAGGGACGAGAAGGCCGUCCGAGUUGCGUCCAUGGAAGCGGACAUCGCGCGUGCCAAUGUGAAGUUCACUGAGCAAGCCAAGAAUUUGGCCGAACGGAACAAGCGUGCUUGCUUCAAAAAUUUUGUUGAAGGCAUGGUUCACGGGCGGGAUAUGGUGAAUCUUCGGAGUCCUGAGUAUGAAUCCACCGUUGUUCCUAUUAAUCCACCAAUGUGGGAGCAGUGGAAAGCGACUGGGAUCCCUACGGAGCAUCCUGCCUGGCCCAAGACUCUCUCCGAUUUGACAGGUCAAGAAAACCAGUAGCUUGGAAGAAUUUUCAAAAAAAAGAACAAUUAAAACAUACCUUUUGUUUCUGUAAUUUGAAUUUUUAUUUCGUACUUUUGCUUAUUAUUUUCCUUUCUUCGUCCUUGUUUCCCUGCAAAUAUCUUCUUGUUAUAAUUGUUCAAGGGCGCCAUUAACCCUAUCUUUCGUUGAUAUUCCUUACGGUCUUAUUGCCCUGAGGUUUUGUUGGCUUUUUUUUUUUUUUUUUUUUUAGUAAAAUAACUUGUUUAAAAUAAAACUUUGUUCCUCUAUACAAUUACUUUUAUUGAAAAUACUUUGAUAAAUUGUCCGACUGCCAAGUUCUUUCUAUUUUCUGGCCGUCCUCGAAUACUAAUUUGUAGAUUCCCGGACGGACUUCCUCCACGACUACGUACGGUCCUUCCCAUUUUGGAGACAAUUUUCCUUUAGUUUGGUCCAGCCCAGUGAUUCUUCCAUUCCUUAGUACCAAGUCUCCUAAGUUUAUUUUCUUUUCAUUUACUUUUUUAUUAUGGUAUCUUGCCGCCCUCCUUUUGUAGGUCAAAUCUCUUAUUGCUGCGAUUUCUCUCAAUUCUUCACACCUUUCUCUGGCUAGUAAGAUGGCCAAAUUAUUAUCUUUUGGAUUAAAAUUUGUUAUCCUUGCUGUUGGCCAUACCACUUCUGCCGGGGCUACUGCAUCCAUUCCAAAUGCUAAGGUAAAUGGUGGAUGUCUUGUCGGCGUACGUACGGUUAUUCUGUACGCCCACAUUGUUUCUGGUAUUAAGUCUGUCCAUGUUCCUGGAUUGUCUCCUACUUUUCUUUUGAGUAUAGAUGUUAUUGUCCUGUUUGUGACUUCGACUUGCCCGUUUGCUUGUGGAUGAUAUACUGGGGCAAAGCUCAUCUUUAUACCACUAUCUUCACAAAAUUUCUUCACUUUUUUCCCCGUAAAUUGUGUUUCAUUGUCUGUUAUUAUUUGUAAUGGAACCCCGAACCUGCAGAUGAUAUUCCUAAAAAUGAACUGGAUGACGUUAUGUUCUGAUAUUGUGCUUGUUGGUUCGGCCUCGGCCCACUUGGUGAAGUAGUCGACUGCAACAAAUAAAAAUUUUCGACCCCUUGAUGCUACUGGAAAAGGCUCUACGAUGUCUAAACCCCAUCGGGCAAAUGGUACCGAUGUGGUAACUGGAUUCAUUAUACUGGACGGCCUUCUCUGGAUAUUUGCGUGUCUUUGGCACUCAUUGCAACUUCUUACUAGUUCUUCAGAAUCUUUACUUAUUUGUGGCCAAUAGUAGCCCUGCCUUAUUACCUGCUUUUCCAACAUUCUUGCUCCCUGAUGUGGGCCGCAUGCUCCCUUGUGUGCACUUGUUAGUAUUUCUUUCCCUUCUUCGCGUGUAACGCAAAUCCGUAAGGGAAUGUUGUCCUCUACUGCCCUACGGAAAAGAUUGUCCCCUACUAUUGUGAACCAGGCCGCCUUGUUCUUCAGUUUUCUUUCUUCCAUCGCGUCCGUCGGGACUAUUCCCUUUGUAAUGUAACUUUUUAUCGGUGUUCUCCAAUCUUCUUCUACUGCCAGUGUUAGAAUUUUGUUUCUUUCAAUUUUUGCUAUUGAUGGUACUUCUUGCUGUUCCACUCGGAUCCAUCGUCCCUUCGGCACAUUUGGAAACGCGUCCAACCUUGCUAAAAUGUCUGCUUCUUUAUUGUCCGUACGGCUUAUGUGAUGUAGUUCCCAUUCUGUGAAAAAUUGCAUCAUGUUGCGUGCUGCCUCUGUGUACCGACACAUCCCUUCUUCAUUCGAUAUGAAUUCCUCGUUGACUUGGUUUGCCAUUAAUCGUGAAUCCGUAUGGAAUUUUUCCCUUCUGGCACCUAAUGCUUUUCCCAGUCGUGCCCCUACUAAUAGUGCCUCGUACUCUGCUUCAUUAUUUGUUGUUUUGAAGCCGAAAUUAAUUGCAUGCUCUACCUUUUCUUUUGUUGGGGUUUGGAUUGUUAUGCCUGCUCCACAUCCAGAAUUGCUCGCCGACCCAUCAAUAUGAAUGAUCCACCAACCUUCAGACUCUUCCACGCUUGGUGUAAACUCUGCCAAGAAAUCAGCAACUGCUUGCCCUUUGAUCGCUUUUGCUGGUACUAUACUUACGUAAAAUUCACUUAAUUCUACAGCCCAUUUCGUUAAUCUGCCCGACACAUCUGGUUUAUGUAAUAAUUGUAAUAGUGGAAAUUCUGUCGGGAUGGUUAUUGGGUGUGCUUAAAAGUAAGGUUUUAGUCUUCUUGCCCUUGUUACUAUUGCUAAUCCCAACUUCUCAAUUUGUGGAUACUUCUUCUCUGCUCCCUGUAACGUGAGGGAGUAAUAGUAAAUUGGCCGUUGUGUGCCAUCUCUUUCAGUCAUUAGAACUGCACUAGUAGCAUUGUCGGAUGCGGCUAUGUACAAUUUUAAUGGUUCCCCCGGGAAUGGUGGCUGUAAGGUUGGUAGAUUCUUUAAUUACUCUUUAAGUUUUUGAAACGCUUCCUCGCACUCUUCUGUCCAUGUUACUUCCGGGCUUGAUGAUUUUAUUAAUUUGAAUAGAGGUUGUAACGUGUCUGCCCCCCUUGCUAAGAAUCUGCUUAAUGCGUUUAUCUUUCCAUUAAGUUUCUGGACUUCUUUUAUUGUCUUUGGCGGGGUCAUUGCCAUUAUUGCCUCUACUUUUUCCGUACGGGCUUUUAUCCCGUGGGGAGUUAUUUUGAAACCCAAAAAAUGCCCUUCGGUGACUCCGAAGGAACAUUUUUUUGCCUUUAAUCGUAAACCUGCUUUUCUGAUGUUAUCAAAAGUCUCCUUUAGAUCUGUCAAGUGCUCUGCGACUGUUUUGGAACAAACUAGAAUAUCAUCCACAUACACUUCAAGGUUCCUCCCGAUUUGGUCCAUAGCCCUCUGGAAUGUUGCUCCUGCAUUACGUAAUCCGAAAGGCAUUACUUUGAAACAAAAGGUACCUGUUUCUGAUAUAAAAGAUGUCUUUUCUUCAUCUUCCCUAGCCAUAGGUAUCUGAUUAUAGCCAGAGUAUGCAUCCAUGAAACUGAGUAGUUUACAUCCUGAUGCUUGGUCAACUAAAUGGUCUACCGAUGGGAGUGGGUAUGAAUCCUUAGGGCAAACUUUAUUUACAUUUGUGAAAUCUACACACAUUCUCCAUCCUCCAUCUGCUUUCUUUACCAUUACUACAUUUGAUAACCAUUCCGGGUAUUUCACUGGCCGAAUGAAAUUUGCUUCCCUAAGUUUUCGUACUUCUUCAGCCGCCGCCUCUUUCUUAUCUCCUCUUAACGGCCUCAUCUUCUGCCUCACUGGUCGCACGUGCUUCCCUACCGCUAAUCUGUGUUCCGUAAGGCUCCGGUCGAUCCCUUUGAGUUCUGUUACAUCUCUGACGAACAGGUCUUCGUUCUCUUUGAGUAGUUUUACGAUACCAUUUUUAAUUUCUUGCGGAAGGUCGGCACCUAUUUGUAUAUUGCCACCACUUAGUUCCACUGCUACUGUGUCUGAAGCAGACUCGAGUUUUGAGCGUUCCUCCUUGACAGUAUGCGGGAGUUUAUUUUUUUCUUCUGCUGCAGUCAUUACUUGCCCCGUCGAGUUUAUAUAGCAUUCUCUCGCUUUCUUCUGUGAUCCCUUAACUGUGCAUAUCCCUGCUUCCGAUGGAAAUUUUAAACACUGGUGCAGAGAUGAUGUUACCGCCCCAAAUGCAUGUAAUGCUAUCCUUCCUAAUAUUGCUUUGUAUCCGGACGAAAAUGGCACUACCGAGAAUUUCACUAUCAUUGUUGUUUCUUGCGCAAAUUUUCCCAAUGUUACUGGGAUGUCUAUUGUUCCUAGUAUUUGGACUUCUCCCUGGCCAAAUCCAGUGAUCGGUGUGCCGCAUGGACCCAAAUCUGCCCUGCAAAAACCCAGUUGAUCAAAUGCACUCCAGUAUAGCACAUCUACUGAAGCCCAGUAUCCACUAGCACUCUGUUUAGUCUAAUUCUUUGUUUAUCCUCCCUCUGUACAAUAGGUGUUAUGACCAACGGGUCAUGAUGUGGAACCGUGAUUCCUGUCAGAUCUUCAUUUGAAAAACAGAUAUCCUCCCGAGCCUUGAUUUUUUUAAUUAUUCCAUCCGUCCGACUAAGAUCCUGUGCAUAUCUUUUUCCUUCGAAUCUUGUUCCUCCUCUGGCUGCUUCUCCUCCUGAUAUUUCUAAUAUUUCUCCGAUAUUCCUUCCUUCCUGAUCGUCCCUACGGUUCUAAUAUCCUGACAUUCUGACGUCCCUGUAGUCUUGAUGUCCUGUAGGCACCGGUGCUGUCCGUCGCGGUGGGGGAGAAGGUAUCCUUUGCCGUACGGGUAGCGAACCUUGCCUCUCUUGUAUUCUUUCUAAUUCCUUUGCCAGAAUCCAACACUCGGCCGUAGUAUGUCCUAUGUUUUCAUGAUAUUCACAAUACAAGUGCGGAUUUCGAUUAAUUGCUAUCUCCGUACGCAUUGGUCGCGGCUCUGGAAGCAUCCUAUCUUCUUUUAGCGCUAAAAAUAUCUGUCGUUGAUUAGGAAACGGAGUGACCCUUGGCGGGCCGUAAUUGAUGAAGCUUCCCCUUGGGAAAGUGGUCCUUCUUGCAUUAUCCUCUGGUAACUCCCUGUUUUGCGGUCGGGUUUCCAGUCUUGGCUGCUUUUGCUGUAUAUUCUGGUCGUACUGGCCUUUCGGUCUUUGACGUAUUUGUUUAUAUUUUGCUUCGUGGUAAUCUUCUACGUUUGAUUCUUUGUACGAUCUUUCCAUAGCUUCUGCAAACGUUGAUGGGAGAUCCCAUACCAAAUCCCCUGAAAACCUAGUUGGUCUUAAUCCGUUAACCAGUGCCAUCAGGACUCCUUCUUCUGAACAAAUAACUUUUUGAACUGCUAUCGCGAACCGAUCCAUAUAUUCUCGUGUUGAUUCUCGAUCUCCCUGUACAACUGUUAACAAAGUUGUAUUUAAACCUUUGCGCCUUAUUUUAUGCCCGAAGGCAACUUUGAACGAUUUUUCCAAGUCUUUGAAUGAAUUAAUGCUUCCCACAGGAAGGUUCCUGUACCAUCCCACUGCUUCUCCCUUCAAAGUUCUCCUAAACAUACGACACCAAAUGUCUUUUCGCCCUGUGGUGUCCUCCAUUUCCAUACGGAAUGAAUGAACAUGAUCUUCCGGAUCCGUCGUACCAUCAUAUGAUGUAAUUUUUGGGGCUCUCCACCCCGUCGGGUAUCCUUCCACUAAAAGAUGUCGUGCUAGAGCUUCUUCAUUAUCUGUUGGUGUUAGUUGGUCCAGAUAACCAAUUGACGGCCGUACGGGCAUGUUUUCAUGUAUAUUUCUUUUUGCCAUUGACACAAUUUGCUCUUGAAGUUGUCUUUGAUUAUUUUGCAAAUCCGCGAUGACUGUUAGGAGUUGACUCUCCCUUGAUUCCCGUAAUAUGGGAAAUGUUCUUCCAUAUUCCCUCCUGUGUUGUUCUGGUGAUCUUGAUCGACUUUGCUCCGACCAACUUGCAGAAACCCAUCUUCUGACAUUGACUCUACAAAUAACCGAGAGUCUUCACACGCAUGUUGCUGAGGGUGAUAGGGUGCUUCUUCGAUAUUUUCUUCUAAGUGCACCGGUUCGCCUACACCUUGAUUUUCAAGAGGAACCGUUGACAGCCGAUUCCUAUGCGUCUCUACCGCCGAGUUUUCUAAGUUUUCUUCCAUCUGAAUUAUCCGCUCCGGCUGCCCUGACUCCAUUUUGCGUGUUCGAUUCACGUCAGGUUCACCACUGAUCGCGUCCCUUUGGAAAUGUGGCAGAUCUACUCUAUUCCCGUAUAAUCACAAGUAUCUUACAAGUAUAUUCUAAGUGUAUUACAAGUGAUCCUCUCCCUUUUACACUUCACCCCUAGGGGUAUUUAUACAAUUUCCUAUCGGACUCUGAGCCCUAUGCUUUCGGAUUAGGAUCCGGUAUAACGGAUCCGACAUACUUGGGACGCCAUCUUUGGGAAGUUAAUCGCUCGGGCUGACGGGUCCUUCCAGCCGACCCGGUCGGGCGAGUGUUCGUGGGGCUGACGGGUCCGCCCGGCCGAUUUGAACGGGCGAGUGUCCUUGGGACGACUUGGGCUUUCUUCUUUCAUUCAUCUCGCUGGGUCUUGCUUCUGGACUCCUUUGUGGGCCUGGGCUGGUAACUUGGGGGUACCAUCACCCCUAAUAGUGAAGGUGCGAGGAUACUGGUGGAAAUGAAAGCUCAUGGAGAUUUCCCACAAGAGAUCCCCAUUUUCGUGAAGGAAGGUGAUGGACUAGUAGUGGUGGAAAUCAUACAGUGUUAUUACCAUAAACCUCCCCCAAAGUGUUGUAAGUGCAAAAUCUUCGGACACUGGAUGAACCAAUGUUCAAGUCUGUCAAACCUCGCCAACAGCGAGGCACCGACGGCAAGCCUGGCCGGCGGUGAUGCACCGACAGUAAACUCCGGCAAGGGUAGGCUGGAGCUUGAACAUGCAUGGCCCAACUCCCAACGUUGGUGGAUCCCAGAAUACACAAACCAAUGCAAAACUUGGUCACAAAGUUACUUAACAAGGAAGUAAAAUCUAUCCACACUACAAAAAAAGGACAAACACAACCUAGAGGAGCUAGGCUUCUUAGGGGAUGGCAAAAGGAUAUGGGUAACACAAAGGAGAGGCAACCUAACCAACCUAAAACCCUAAGGUUACCAACUUACCAUUAAGGAAUGGAUAGACAUUAACAAAAUUAGAAAGGGCCCAAAUAGAAGACCUCAUGAAGAACCCAAUCCAACCCAAUACGGAUCCAAAACCCGCUCCAUAACAGACAGAUCUAGUAAAGAUCCGGAAAAAGGAGGAUCCGACAAGAAAAACAUUAAUGGAUCUGAGCCAAAAAAGAUUGGAUCUAGUAAGGAUCCGCCUAAGGAUCAAGGUAAAGAUCCGCCCAAAAAUCCGAAUAGAAUCAAAACCAGAACCGAGACCCGAAAGGAGGGUCAAAACAAGGUAAAGAUCCAAUUAAACACUAAAGAGCCGAAUAGGACCCAACAAAAGCCUGUCGGAUCUUGGAAUGAGCUAAAUACAGGUAAUCAGGUGUUAACCCAAAUGGAUUUAGACGAUAAGGAUCCGUCCGAGGAUCCGAAUACCUCCAAGAUCCAUGGAGAAAAUACCAAGAACCAUACAGAUCUAACUAGAAACAAUGGAGAGUCACUUGGGGACCAGGGAGAAUCACCCGAGGGCCAGGAAAAACAAUCCGGGAGCUAGGGAGAGUCACCCAGGGGCCAAGGAGAACUAACCGAGAGCCAGGGAGAGCUAACCGAGAGCCAGGGAGAGCUACCCGGAACUCAAAGAGAGCCAUCUGAGAACAAUAGCGAGCCAUUUGGGAGCAAGAAAGAACCACCCAAGAAUGGAACCAUCAAGAGCCUCUCAGCAUGGAUCUCGAUGAAGUCCUGAAGGCACUAAACUGCCCUUCGAGAGACCGAAGCGAAAACCUAAACAAGAAUCCGAGCAAGGGUUUUAGCUCCGACCUGAACAAGGGCACGGAUAAAACCCUAAAUAAGGACACGAUUAUGGAUCCGAUUAAAACGGCAUACACAGACCUGAACAAGGACUUGACCAUAGACCCGAAUACAAUUGAAACAACACUUAUGGAAACCUCGGUGCCUCUCGAGCCCGCGAACCACACCCAAAGUUCGAUCCUAGCGAAAAUCUCGAACCUCCGCGAGGAAGCAACCAAAGGACCCGCUCAAUACAAGAUAAAGAGGAUAAUUGGGGAUAUCUGGAUCUACAUCUGGUCAAGCUCCCAAAAGGAACUCAAAGAAAACCCAGCAAGCUUAACAAAAUAUGCUCUAAGGUCCAGAGAACUAACAAUAGAAAUUAGAACAAAGCAUACAUGGGAUCUAAUUAAAAAACCCUAUGGGACCCAUCAGACAACUCCCCCGUAAACAAGAUCGCAAAUGGGGAAGGGCACUCGCACCCAGAGUUACACAAUAACAUUUAAAGGAAAAGUAAAAAGAAUAAGAAAAAUAAACAAGUCAAUUUGGAAGAUGAGCAUAUCGAUAUCUCCCUCAACUUUAACGAAAUAAACCACAAUGCCAAGAGGAUUCCUGAUGGUCAAUCCAGAAGUAGGUCCAAAGGGCGAAAAGCCUUAAGUGCAGAAAGUUCAGAAGCUCUAGUAUCACUAGAGCCUUCUGAUAGCAGUUAGAUAGUAACUAGAAAAUAGUAAUAAUAAUAGUAGGAAUAGUAGUAGGAUUAAAAUAAAAGUUAUCUAUUUGUCUAUAGUAUCAUGGAAUAUAAGAGGGAUCAAUGGUAAGACUUUUGAGGUUAAGAAAUUCGUUAAGAAAUAUAGGCUACUGUUUGGGUUAAUUGAAACCAACGUCAGAUAGUUUGAGUUUAGCCAUAAGAGUAGAAUAUUUGGGCCGAAUGUUAAGGUGAUAUCUAACAACCCAGAGACGACUAAAUACACAAGGGACUCGAUCUGGCUGUGUUACGAUGUCAAUCUCUAGGAGAUAUCAGACACUAUUAAAAAACAACAAUACAUUCAUGCCAAAAUGAAAAACAAAGGUAACUUAAACUUAAAUAUCACCAUAAUUUAUGGAGAUACGAACUACAAAGGCGGUCUGAAGGUCCGGGCAGGCAAGGUUGCACAUGACGCGACAAUGCUCGUAACCUUUCCAGAACCCCGUACGUUUCUCAACCAGCAUCCGGCGCCGAGCCUCGUCCUGGGACUCAACAAACUUGGCCUGGAACUUGUCGGACAAGAAGGAAAUGGCCUCGGUGCGGUCAUCUUGGGCCAACUUGUCCGUGCGCUCGAUUACCCGGGCGAGGGUCUCGUUAACCUCGGCAGCACGGGUCUCCGCCCACUCCAAUCGGGACGAAAAGCCCUGGAUCUGCCGCUCGGCGUCGACGAGACUUUGACCCAGCGUGGCCCUCUCACUGGACACCUGCUCCAACCAAACCUGAUGGGCAUCUGCGUCUUUCGAUGCCUCCGACACCGCCUGGUUACGCGCAGCCACAACGGCAGAAACCUCCCUGGACAGACGAGCGACCUGCGCAUUAAGCCGGCUACGCUCCUCCUUCAAAUCAUCAAGACCCCGUUGAAGGCGCACGUAGGCAAGGGCUGCACCACGGAGGCUGUCAAUGUAAAGGUCCUAUCGAGCGCUGAAGUGUCACGCGCGAAGAGGUCCAGGUACUCAGGCUCGUCUUGGAGAAACGGCUGGAGAUGGUUGAAGCCCUUCAGGAGUAUCCCCGCCAUCUGAGGAAGCAAAGGGGUCAACGUGCGCGGGGUCGGCGUGAUACUUGCCCGCAAGAAGAGAGGAGUUCAAGUCGGCACUGAACGCCUGGCGGGCCAACAUUCUCGCCUCCAAGUCGUAGGCGGGGUUGGAAAGGCCUCUAGGGAAGGCUUAGGUGACUUAGCCGCCUCGAUCCUCCUUUUCUCCGAGCGGACGUUACAGAGGGGGGGCUCGGCUAUAUUGUCACCGACCUCAGCGGAGCUGUUGGCGCCCAAAUCCACAAAGGAGAUAUCCUCCAGGCGGACAACGCGUGUCCUCUUCUUCUUCCGGGGAUGGGAGGCGACCUCCUCCACCUCAUCAUCGAUACGGUCCCCAGCGGGCCUCAAGUGCCCCUCAAUGGACCAACCAUGCCCGAGGCGGCCGGGCCUCACAGGACCACGGCGAGAAAUCUCAACAAGCAGGUCGUUCGUCGCCAGUUCAUCAGCACUCAGACGGUAGAAAGGAACGAUACCAGUGCGAGCCUUCAGGGUGUCCAACGGAUCCCACCCCACGGGAGUGUACUCAAGGGGCCCGAGGCAAGCCAGCUCCACAAAAAAGAAAAGAUCCCGCCACCCGUGCGACAAGGACGUUGUUCCGAUCAGUAGUCAUCGGGUAAAUGUGGAACCAGUUGAGGAACAGGGGGACAGUGGGCACAAUGUCGCAUUCCACACAAAGGGCACUGAAAGUGAGGAUACUGAUGAAGCACUGAAUCUGCUACCAGGGCUCGCGGUGGUGCGAGGUUGAUGCCGGAGGCUUUGGAGUCCACGACGCACGCUCUACGUCAAAUACCUGCAAGUGGAAACUAGGCGAUUCUAAUGAGACUCGCCGAGUUUCGUAGUGUAGUGCUCUGGUGUGAGAGUGGAACUUGAAUCGUGCCUUUGAGUGUCCCCUUGGGACCCCUUUUAUAGGGUCUCGGAGGGCGCACUCAUCGGCGGAAAUCGCGCCUAUGGUCAUAUAUGGUAACAUUUAUGACGUUGGCUGCCGCCGAGUAACGGUCGUAAGUCGCCGAUUCAGGUAUGGAAGUCGCCUAGUUAAGGGCUAACUCGGCGAGUUUCUAGGGCCAAGAUGUAUAGUCUACCAUACUGCCGAUCUUGCCUUAACUCGGCGAGUUAUCCUGUAUGUCGGCGACUUGGUAGUCCAAUCGGGCGACUUUACGGGCUAACUCGGCGAUCUGGACGAUGAACGUGUUCAGCACCGUGGGAGCUCUCCGGGGGUCCUGCCAUAGCGACGGAGCCCUAGUCCUUGUUGAGAGGCGUUGAUGGGUAGUGACUGGUGUAAUCAGGCAUGUCUCACCAGAUACGAUCCGCAGCGGCCGGAGGGAACUGCGAGAGCGACCGCCUGCAGGGACUGAUGACCGCCUGAAGAAAGGGAGAAAGCGGCAAUGUCAUGCGAGUGUCUACAUAAAGAAUGUAGACCGCGACAUGGCCAGGUGGGGGAUGCGAGGUAAAAAGUUUCCCCGACAACUGGUACUUCGGUGGGUCCUUGUACUUGUACAUCUGUCGGAGGGCAUCCUGACACAUCGAUGGGGUGACCUUAGAGAGCGGAUUCUUGGUAUCCGCUUCAGGAGAGAACAUGCAAUAAAUAAGGUCCUCGACCAAGGCGUCAGGCGAGGCAAUGGGAGUGCGAGGAUCAGACAUGAGAGGCCUGUAAGGAAAUCGUCGGAGUUUAGAGAGCAAAACAGGAAACAAAGAGCAAAAAUGGAAAGUAGUAGGAAGCGAAGUGAAGUCAGUAAUAUUUAUAAAGACGGGGGGGGUUCAGAAGACGAAGAGUAGCGAAUACCUGGAUAUCCCAAGGAAUGAGGGCCCAAUAAGACGGCCCACAUAGACACGACCAGGCCCGUAACCCAGCGCGUCCGAAAACAAGGCAUACGACGAAACACGGCGCGGCCCCGGGUCACGUCCGAAGAGCACCCGGGCCAACCGGGAUACCGAGCGACAUGACUCGAGGGGGCGGCGAUUUUGUCCAACGGUUGGUCGAGGUGAGCACAGGGCGGAAAUGUUUCGGGCAACGCCCCGACAGGGGAACCAGGCCCGGAGCCGGACAAAUCCGGCCGGCCGAAAAGGGGUCGUAGGGCCGAAGGAGCAUAGCCCGAGGGCCGAAGGGCAUCAGACGAUUACGGGAGAGGAUCGGCGGAUGAGCGGAGCUCGAGUAGAACGCGGGCCAGAUCAACAACGGGCGGUGAGGGUAAAUCAACUGUAUGAACAUUGCACGAAAGAAGAAAAGGCGUUCAAAAUUUAAAAGUGCGCAAGUACCCAAACAUAAUUUUAAGUGAUGAGAUUCAUUACAAGCCCAGAGGCAAUACAAAAUUACAGCAGAAGCCACAAGUAUAUGCCAUAAGUUACAAACUAGUGUCAAAAGCUAAACGUGCAUUAAAGAAAAAAGAGCAGCGGGAGUAAGUCGGGGGAACCAUAUGGCCUCCCUUCAGGUAAUCUCAUACCAAAGGAAGAAGAGGAGGAAGUUAUCCCCAGACGACUCAUCUACAGGGGCCUAGGAACAGGCGAGACGCUGCUCGAGGGAGGGUGUCCGAUAGCGUUCGAACAAAAGCGGCCCCUACAUCUGGCAUAAACACGGGCCUAGUGGCCCAAUUUAGGUGGCCUCGACAAAAGGUGCCGCAAAUCGGUAGCUAGAAGGGACGGGGACCCACUUGAACCGCGACGACCGCGAGAUAACCGUCGCCAGCCACCACCCACAGUCGGAGCAGCGGCAGUGGUGUCGUGUAGAGAGAAGCAGAAGCUCGAGGUCACAGCACCAGCAGCAACAUCAGAAGCGACCGGCGCACCAGAGGAUGAGGGCGCGUCGGUUUGGCGAAGCUGGGCGAGGCGGCGGUGGAUAUCGAUCGAGACGGAGUUGAGCCGCUGACUCUCCAACACAGCAACGGAGUGAAAGGCACCGGUAGGUAGCAGCAGACACUCAGUCCAAGCAGAGUGCUGGAGUUUCACAUCGUGGCCGAACUCCUCCAAAAGAUCUUGGGUGCUCAUCGUUUUCUCGUGAGAUGAGAAAGUUGGCACAUGGAGUCAGCUAUUUAUGGACAAAAAGGGGAACAAAUAACGAAGUGUCAUAAAGAAGGUAGCUGAGUGGGCAUGGAAACAGGCCGGGCGAGCCUUAACCCCCUCGGGCCCAGAGGGAGUACUGUUAGUACCAGGGCCCGUCCAGACGGACCAUGGGCCGAACAUGACUAUUGGGCCCAGAAGGCCUAAGGAAAUGUCUUAUAAAUACUUCCCCUGGUGCAACAGGGGAGAGGGUCGAUUAUUAGUGAAAGCAAUACUAGAGAGUUAUGUGUAUGAGCACCCUAGCGCAUCACAUUCUAAUAUACAAAGGGUUCAGAUUUAAAUAUCUCAUAUCUGAGAUAUCUCAGUUGAAGUUGGACCUUGGUAAACUAUUGCCAACUUUAUUUUUCUCUCCUAAUUUCUCAUCUCAAUCAGGUAUGAACAUAGGUCGGAGAGGCUGCAUAGAGGGAAGAGGUACUUGAUAAGUGAUGUACAAAUUAGUUGAUAGAGUAGAUGUAGGUAGGGAGAAAAGUCAUAGGUAAGUGUGGAAGGAAUCUUUGUUUCAUGAAGAUGUGUGCAAAAAAUAAAUAAAAAACUCUUAAUAAAGAGGACGGUUGGGAUGAUGAGGACAUGAGGUACAACAUCCAACGGUGAAUGUUUUUGAGCUUACCCUAUGUUGAACUUAGUGGAAAAAAGCUGUAUGUUAAUAAUGCAGUUUGAUAUGGGUGAUUUUCUUAUUGGCAAACAAAGCAGUGGUAAAUUUCGUUCUUCUCUCUCUCUUUACUUUUUUUGUCCUCACAUAUUUUUUGCCAUGCAGGCUACUGUUAUCGAAAUCAACUAUGCUAUUAAUUAGAGUUGCUGGUGUGCGAGGAAUGCAAGACCAUAGUUGCAGUCUUACAGAUAAUGGAGAAAUGAUAUAUAUUCCAAUUUCUUGUUUCAGAGGUAACUUUUAUGUGUACAUUACUUGGUUGAUCUGUUUAAAACUGUAAUUAGCUAGGUUUAACAUUCAUUUGCUGGGUUUUGAUGAUGUGUAGACGUAACCAAGUAAAAUAUGCUCUGAGAUAGGUCUUUGCGAGUUCAAUGGAAUCCAAGGAGUUGGGUUAGUUCACUCAUACAUGAUUUCUUAGUUACGUGUUCUUGGUUUAAUAACAUUUCUCUAUGAACACAGUAUUAUUGGCAAUUUGGCAUUGAGAGUGUGGUUGAUGGUACCGGCCUUCGAAGUGAUGUUAUGUGCAAUGUCUGUGAGAUGAGCGUUGUAUGGAUUAAAAAUCAACUUAUACAGAAUCGAACACAAGAAUCCAUAUUAAAUUACGUUAAUGAGGUGAAGAAAAAAUAUCAUUUAAUGUUUUUUUAUAGGAUUUAUAUUUGUCAUUAAGAAUAAUCCAUUGCAUUUGCAGUAGUUAUGUGAACGAUUGCCGAAUCAGCUGUUGAUUGCAGCAACCAUGCUUCUAUGCCUACUGCUUCUUUCACUAUAGGAGGCAAAAUAUUUCAACUCAAACCCGAGGAGAUAAAUCUGCAUAAUUCUCCCGACAGCAGCAUUGGGCUGGAAAGGCAUGUUGCUGAUGACCUUCUCUGCUUCUUUAAUGUAUCCAUUCUUACACAGCAAAUCCACAACACACACAAAGUGAUCCAUGUCAGGUUCAAUUCCAUAUAAGCUCUUCAUAUCUCGGAACAACAACAUUCCUUCUGCCUGGUAAGAACCCUUCUGUUUCCGCCUGUUUGAAUUUCUGCAAUGCUCAUAUUCCAUGGCCAUGAAUCCCCAAUAUAUGCUGAUAUCAGAGCUGUCCAGGAAACCAUGUUCUUUUCACCCAUUUCUUUGAAAACUUUUAAAGAGCCCUCAAGAUUUCCACAUUUCCUAUUAAUAAUUAAUUUAUUAGUAUUUAGUAUUUAUUAAUUUAUUACUACCUGUCCAGUUCUUUAUUUAGGGAUUUUAAAAUUUCAUUCUCUCCUUUGUCGCCAUCCAUUCUUUUUUUUGUCUCCACUCUCCACAGCUACUCAGGACCACAACUUUACACCUUCAUUCAUUUAAUUCUUGAUCGAUUUUUCUUUCUCUACCUUACAUAAGUCUGACACAGUUUUACACAAAUAAAAANNNNNNNNNNNNNNNNNNNNNNNNNNNNNNNNNNNNNNNNNNNNNNNNNNNNNNNNNNNNNNNNNNNNNNNNNNNNNNNNNNNNNNNNNNNNNNNNNNNNAUUUUUUAUCCACAUUCUUUAUUGUUAAAUUUGUUAUUAAUUUAAUUAUAUAUUUUUUUACAUAUAUAAUCAAUGGAUAAAUUUAUAAUAAAAAUAGAAUAUAAAUUGUCUAAUCCACAACCAUAAUAUGGAUGAUAUUUGGUUGAAUGAUAUCUUUUAAAAGGUUUUUAAAAGAUAAUGAUACGGUAUCGGUAAUGAUUGCUUUUGGGUUUUAAAAGAGAAUAAAACAUCAAUGAACAUAGAUUUUCUCAACUGGUCAAACGAAGAGGAAUAUUUAUAAAUACACUUCACUUCCAUGGAAACACGUAGUUUAAAAUAUUACACAUUACUUAAUUAGUUUCCGGGAACGAAGUUUGUGGCAUAAUUCCAUGCGUUGUUUGCGACGGGAUCAGCGAGGUGGUCUGCAAGGUUCUCCAAUGGCCCCUUUCCGGUGACGAUGGCUUGAACAUAGAAUCCGAACAUGGAGAACAUGGCUAGUCUUCCGUUCUUCAACUCCUUCACCUUCAACUCAGCGAAGGCUUCUGGGUCUUCAGCAAGGUUGAGUGGGUCGAAGCUGCCCCCGGGGUAGAGUGGGUCCUCGAUCUCUCCAAGAGGUCCACCGGCUACACGGUAUCCCUCAAUGGCUCCCAUGAGAAUCACCUGGGUGGCCCAGAUGGCAAGGAUGCUCUGAGCGUGGACCAAGCUGGAGUUACCAAGAUAGUCCAAACCACCGUCGCUGAAGAUCUGCGAACCAGCUUUGAACCAAACAGCCUCGCCGAACUUCACUCCGUUACGUGCGAGCAAUUCAGGGAAAACACAUCCAAGAGUUCCGAGCAUGGCCCAUCUGGCAUGGAUGACCUCAAGCUCACGGUUCUUGGAGAAGGUCUCGGGAUCAGCUGAGAGACCGGCAGUGUCCCAUCCGUAGUCACCGGGGAACUCACCAGUAAGGUAUGAUGGGGAUUCUCCAGAAAAUGGACCCAAGUACUUGACACGGUCGGAACCGUACCAUGGGCUACCAGACGAAACUGAUUUAUUAACUGUAUUCCUCCUCAUGGUGAUUCUUCCAACACCGA
rnacentral:lncRNA from 1 species